CCAGGCAGUCGCCGGUGGAGAGGUCCGGCGUGCACUGUGCCAGGGAGAAGAGCGUUGUCGUGGUGCCGGGGCCAAUGGAGUCCAUGAACCCCGUGGCGAACCUCCUGGCCGCGGCGGCCGCGUUCCGCGCCGUCUGUGACCUGUCUCUUAUACACAUCUGACGCUGCCGACGAUGGUUAUAUGUGUAGAUCUCGGNNCCUUGUAGUUUUUGCUUCAGUGUUAUUUGAGCUGAAUAUUUUUGCUAGUCCAAAAUCUGAAUUUUUUUGCAUUCAUUUCGCUACCCAAGAGAAUGUUGCUUGGCUUAAGAUCUCAAUGAGUAUCACAUGAAUUUGAAAGUGCACAUAUUUACCAAAGAUGAAGAAGUCCAAGCUUUUAUUUGGGAAGUAUUCGUAGACCAGUAUUUUUUUUUCCUCUCCUUGAGAGCAACAUCCCAUGAGCCUAACCAAAUUUCUGUGUUGAAGUUUCGCCAUGAGCUCAACUUCAUUUUUGAACUCUACGAAAUCUUCUCCUGAGUGUGAAUCAAGUCUCUUCACUGCUAUCUCAUUACCAUCAGGCAAGUAGCCCUAGGAAAAAAUAUAUUUUCACCAGUAUUCUGCAACAAUCCGGGCUGCUUUAGGUUUCACAAGUUGAUUCACAAUUCACUAGGACCGAGUAAAAGCACAUUUACACUACUUUGGGUCUAUAUUCUAAUCAUCAUUGUUCCUAUACUUUAACGAAGUUUCGGGUUGCAUUUUUCCCAUCAUUGUUCCUGUACUUUAGGUGUUGUAUAUUUAUACCUUAUAAACAGGGCCAAAUCCACCUUGGCCGAGUUUCAUUUCCUUGGAAAAGUUAACUGCCGGCGGCAGAGCGCAAGAGCACGCACCACGCUGGUGGUGGCGGUGGUGAAGAACUGCGGGGAGGAGGAGCUGUUGCCGGGGAGGGUGUCGUUGAGCACGGCGAUGCUGGACCGGUAGGUGCUUUUGGCCGUGUAGUUGCCGCUGCUGCCGCAGACGUGGCCGAUCGCCGCCGCCGACGCCGGCAUGAGGAGGAGGAGGAGCAGCACGCCCGCCAUGCUGACCGUACGUACGUACGUGUGACGCCUGGUGCUGCUUGUCUUGAUUGCCUCUGCUUCCCGUGGCUUUAACAUGGCAAAAUGUAGAGGAGGUCAAGGUCAUCUGGUCUUCGGAGAGUUCGCUGUCGUUGGUGGAAAAAGUUUCUACAGCGUUUGAAGUUCAUUUCUCGACUUCAGAUUGUUCACAUCACUGCCUCACUCACAGCGUCACACGCUCUCGGUCUACCAGCUCCGGGACGGCAGGAACAGAAUUAUAUUUUAUUUUUUAAAACAGUACUCCCUCUGUCUCAAAAUAACUUUCUUAACUUUGUACUAGCUCUAGUAUAAAUUUGUAUUAAGCUUAAGACACUUAUUUUGAGACGGAGGGAGUAGUAUUUUGCUCCUUUUUUAAAUAGAUAGGACGUCUCUAACGCCGACUCUUAGAACGUCCCCAAACGUUUAAACCGACAUGUUGGAACGUAGUUUGUCACCUAACAUGGACCCCUAUCUGUUCGUGGAUGCUUCCGCGUGUCCAUUUUGCCGUAAAUCAGACAGAAACCAGGAGAAGGUAUACUGGUGCCCGGUUCGCCUGUAUGCAUCUGAAACCCCAGUCCCAUCCCAAACCCUCCUCACCCAAAAAACGAUCUCCGUGUGCGGCGGUUAUCAUACGUUCAUCCUAAUGCUCCAGAAUGAACGUGACUGCAUGACAUUGAUGCCAGUCGGAGUGACGCGACCAGCCGAGAGGACGGCGCCACUUCAAUGCCGAUGCAACAACCCUUAGAGUACACCGGCUAGUGCGCUGCAUUGAAGCGGGUUGCCCCGUGGUUCGUUUGGCCACGACUAUUUAAGCACGGAUUCAGUGCGGCCCACACAACGUCUUACAUCCUCCCCUUUCUGCCAUGCCCCGACCCCGUCCUCACCAUCUUCGCUCACCGUCGUCCACGAUGUCGAUGUUGUGGUUCUUCGCGUGCUGCAGAUCUCCUUCCAGCUAUGCCAGCUCGUGGCGUCAUUGUCGUCACUCUCCGAGGCCAUCUUUCUCCACGGCGACCGGCUUCUCCGGGAAGCAGUUGAUUAUCCUCUCCUACAGUGAUGAGGUGGACCAGGAGCUGCACCGGAUGUGAUGACUUUACUUUGCAAUGGAUGUCUUGUUACGAAGACAUUUGCAACAGAGGUUAUGUUACUAUUUUUUUUUGCAACAUAGGUUGUAUUGCGGGAUUUCUUUUUGCAACAUGGGUCGUGUUGCAUAAUUAUUUUGCAACAUGAGUCGUGUCACGGGAUUUGUUUUGCAACAUAGGUCAUGUUGUCGGAUCUAGCCGCUACGGGAUGUAUCAUUGGUCGGUUGCAACAAGGGGCUAGUUCCACAACCUUUUUCUGUAACAAUGUGCUAGUUGUAGAACGUGGACACGAAGGGGUUAACUCCUCAUCAGCUGACGGAGUCCAUCCAACGGACAUGAGGGCGGUGGGCGCUCGCAUACGAUUAGCCGGUUGAAGGGUCCUUCCCACCAUUUACGCUCGCAUGCGAUCAGCCUUUGUCAUUAUUACAUAGAAAUUCGUCAUUCCUCGAAACAGGCUUUCGCGUCGUAUUAUAAAUAAAGCACCGAACCAAAGUUCACGGUCGAACGAUACAAUAUGGUGGGAAACACCCCUUACAAAGAAGAUCAAAAGAGAAGUAAGAACCUAGAACAAGUCUAACACCUCGCUGAGGACCGAACAGACACCCCUAAGCUUAAUGACAAUGCCCCAAAGAGUGUGACGGCGGGAAGCAUCGCUGCUGCCGAGUUUGAGAACAGAUAAUGGUUUUCACCAUCAUCCCUGGCGCAAAAACAAAAUCAAAGGACACUGUCUUCAAGAAGCAAGCGGCGCCCACGGGCGAUGCACGCGAGGCUUUGACUCAGACACUUGCUUGUACCACCAAGACGAGUCACGGCCACCACCCCAACAAGGGCCAACUUGUCGACCCCAGAUCUGGGCCCUGUCAAAGCAAGCCCGGGCUUCCCAACACUACAUCCCUAGUCACCCACAUGACAAAAAGAUGAAGCCACCAACCCCAUCAUGAUGCCUGCCGGAAAGCUAACCAUGGAGACCGCUGUCCCGGCAUACAUGCCCAUGGGCAUCGCCGACCAUCCACGUCACGACCACCGAACAAUAGUAUUAAGAGUGAAAGGGACCACCUUUCACUCCCAGCCCGACAUCAGCCAUCUGGUUUGGGUCAGAACCACCACAACAGGAAGCGUCGACACAUAUGUUCCCAGCCGGUCUCUGUGGACCGGAGGAGGCACAACUCAAUGACUACCGACGGCAACCACUGAGCACUCUCGUAUGCCACCAUGUCCAUGGUCAUUGCUGCUGAUUCUACGAUGACACAACAAUGCAUGGAGGGCUACCCUCACACCGAUGCCACAAUAAACACCAAGAAAGAAGGGCAGAAAGCGAAGGCAUCCAACGCGGACCAAAUCAACCCCUCGUAGUUGAGCACCAUCGAGAAACGUCCACCAGCACUGCUGCGAUGACAUACCGAAGCCACUCCUCGGGCCGCAGGCAACCGGAUCUUAUAUCUGCCACUAGACCGGGCCCACGGUCGACAUUCAACGCCGCCUAGAAGACCGACCGAUCCACCAAAGACACCCGUGCCCCCACACCAGCCCCCGCGAGAACAAGCAUCCAGGAGGCACGCCACCGCAAUAGACCACCAGAUCCGCGCCGNNNNNNNNNNNNNNNNNNNNNNNNNNNNNNNNNNNNNNNNNNNNNNNNNNNNNNNNNNNNNNNNNNNNNNNNNNNNNNNNNNNNNNNNNNNNNNNNNNNNAGUACCUGAAAAGGACUAAGGAGAUGUUUCUCGUGUAUGGAGGUGACGAAGAGCUCGCCGUAAAAGGUUACGUCGAUGCAAGCUUUGACACAGAUCCGGACGACUCUAAGUCGCAAACCGGAUACGUAUUUAUUCUUAAUGGGGGUGCAGUAAGCUGGUGCAGUUCCAAGCAAAGCGUCGUAGCAGAUUCUACAUGUGAAGCGGAGUACAUGGCUGCCUCGGAGGCGGCUAAGGAGGGUGUCUGGAUGAAGCAGUUCAUGACAGAUCUUGGAGUGGUGCCAAGCGCACUGAAUCCAAUAACCUUGUUCUGUGACAACACGGGUGCCAUUGCCUUAGCAAAGGAACCACGGCUUCACAAGAAGACCAGACACAUCAAACGACGCUUCAACCUCAUCCGCGACUACGUCGAGGGAGAGGACGUAAGUAUAUGCAAAGUGCACACGGAUCUGAAUGUAGCAGACCCGCUGACUAAACCUCUUCCACGGCCAAAGCAUGAUCAACACCAGAACUGUAUGGGUGUUAGAUUUAUUACAAUGUAAUUCACAUGGUGAUGUGAGGGCUAGAUUAUUGACUCUAGUGCAAGUGGGAGANNNNNNNNNNNNNNNNNNNNNNNNNNNNNNNNNNNNNNNNNNNNNNNNNNNNNNNNNNNNNNNNNNNNNNNNNNNNNNNNNNNNNNNNNNNNNNNNNNNNUGUACGAUCUACAAGGGUACGUAGAUCACUCAUCCCCUCUCGUAGAUGGACAUCACCAUGAUAGGUCUUCGUGUGCGUAGGAAAUUUUUUGUUUCCCAUGCGACGUUCCCCAACAGUGGCAUCAUGAGCUAGGUUCAUGCGUAGAUGUCUUCUCGAGUAGAACACAAAAGUUCUUGUGGGUGGUGAUGUGCGUUUUGCUGCCCUCCUUAGUCUUUUCUUGAUUCCGCGGUAUUGUUGGAUUGAAGCGGCUUGGACCGACAUUACUCGUACGCUUACGAGAGACUGGUUUCAUCGCUACGAGUAACCCCGUUGCUCAAAGAUGACUGGCAAGUGUCGGUUUCUCCAACUUUAGUUGAAUCAGAUUUGACCGAGGAGGUCCUUGGAUGAGGUUAAAUAGCAACUCAUAUAUCUCCGUUGUGGUGUUUGUGUAAGUNNNNNNNNNNUGCGGGGCGGAUCGAGGGACGUGAGGACGUUCUACUACAUCAACCGCGUUCACUAACUCUUCUGUUGUACGAUCUACAAGGGUACGUAGAUCACUCAUCCCCUCUCGUAGAUGNNNNNNNNNNNNNNNNNNNNNNNNNNNNNNNNNNNNNNNNNNNNNNNNNNNNNNNNNNNNNNNNNNNNNNNNNNNNNNNNNNNNNNNNNNNNNNNNNNNNAUUAUUUAUUCAAUUUCAAACACUUUUCAUUAUCAUAGUUUUGUCAAAUUCUCAAAUAUGCAAACAGAAUUUUAAUAAACAUAGUUUUUAAUUGAAAAUAGCAAAAUAGUUAAUAGUUUGGAUAGUCAAAAUAAUUACUUUUGAAAAUAGAAAAUAGUUUUGNNNNNNNNNNUAAUAGUUUGGAUAGUCAAAAUUAUUACUUUUGAAAAUUGAAAAUAGUUUUGCAUUAUUUAUUCAAUUUCAAACACUUUUCAUUAUCAUAGUUUUGUCAAAUUCUCAAAUAUGCAAUUUUUUUUAAUAAACAUAGUUUUUAAUUGAAAAUAACAAAAUAGAUAAUAGUUUGGAUAGUCAAAAUUAUUAAUUUUGAAAAUAGAAAAAAAUUGAAACUAUAUGAGAAUUUAUAGAGAAAAUUCAACCUUAAUUCAAAGUGAACUCACUUUGAAUUCAGGUUGAAUUUUCUCCAUAAUUUCGACUAUAGUUUCAAUUUUCAGUGAGUUUAGGCCAGUAAGCCUGCUUUAGAGAGGAGCUCGAUGGAGAAGGUGCGACGGGGCUUAUAAACAAGUGUUAGUCCCCCUCGCUGGGCGAGGUGGGACUAAACUUAUCGUGCAGCCGAGGAGGGGNNNNNNNNNNNNNNNNNNNNNNNNNNNNNNNNNNNNNNNNNNNNNNNNNNNNNNNNNNNNNNNNNNNNNNNNNNNNNNNNNNNNNNNNNNNNNNNNNNNNAGAGGAGAAGUAGAAGAAGAGAAGAGGAGAAGUAGUAGAAGUAGAAGUAGAAGAAGAAGUAGAAGAAGAGGAGAAAUAGAAGAAGAGGAAAAAUUAGUUUAGGGUUACAAGAAGAAGAAAUAUUGUAUAGUGCAUAUGCUUAAGUGUUAAUAGUGUUUCUUAGAUUAUUGCUUAAUUUUGCUAUUGUAUAUGCUUAAGUGUUAAUAGUUUAAUUUUGCUAUUGUAUAUGCUUAAGUGUUAAUAGUUUAAUUUUGCUAUUGUAUAUGCUUAAGUGUUAAUAGUUUAUUUUUAGCAAGAAAAUUAAUAGAACUAGUUUAUUUUUUUAGUUCAUUUUACGAUGCCUAUCCCGCAUCCUCGUCGUCGACUCGGCGGAGGACACCUGCUUGAUCAGAGGGGCCCUGUCCGGGACUGGGCUCCGCCCGGCUGGUAUUGGGAGGUGCUACCUUCGGGGGGGCGUAGGUUGGUGAGCAGCCAGCCCGUCUUUGACCCGAUCCUUGUUUGGUGGCGGUCGCGUGGGCCAGUGAGGGUGCCGAGGCUUCCGGACACCGUGGAGGUGGUACGUCACCGUGUCAGCGAGGAGGAUGAGCACGUCCGUCGCUACAUGGUUGCGUUGGAGGGCAGGUUCGAGCAUACCUGGCAGGUUCUUCGGGGAUCUCACUAGAGCUAUGAUCCUGUGAUGGUUCCUUCUCUUUGGGGGUCCACCGCCCGCGCCGAUACCCGUCGGGCGCUACGGUUCUAGAUGUAUCAGUGAUGCUAUAUGUAUGAUAGUAUUCGAGGAGUAUUAGUGAUAAUAUUCGACGAUGUACGGACAAAAGAGAUGAUGUAUUUGCUUAUAAUUGAAUGCAUGCUAAUUUGAAUACUACGUUAUUUUACGAUUUGGUUUUGCUUAUUGAAUGCUCAAAUUGGAAAAGUACUCCUACUUUGAAUACUAUGCAGAAAUCUAGGAGUCCCAGGUGGAGCCACGACCCGGGACUAAAGUUGUUUUGGAACGGAGUUCCUGAUAGAAUAAUUCUUGUUUGGUACAAAGGUUAAGAGAAUCCGUUUUUUGCAGAACUAUGGAUCCACAUAUCAGGAACCUCAAAGAGGAAGAACUUCUCGAAGAUAUAAUCAAAGACGGCCCCGACGUUGAACCAGCUGAAUCUCCGUCGUCAUAUCUAAACCCCGACGUUGGAAUGGAGGCCGAGCGACACGAAGAUGAAGCCGAUGGGGCAGGAGAUAGGUCCAAUGACGGAGAAGGUGAUAGCUCCACUGAUGGAGAAGCCGGUGAUGAAAUAAUAAAGUCCGGCGAGGUAUACAUAUGAAGUUCGACAAUCACUUGUAAUAUGUGAAAAAUAUUGGAGAUAGCUCUAUAUUGUAUACAUAUACAUUCAUUUGACGAAUGUUUCUCCCUCUUAGGCCUCCACAUCGAGCAAAACUACGAAAUGAGGCCCGACUAGAAAGUUGGAUGCACGGACGCAUUACACCUUUGAGGUGAUAUUGCCUACGGGCGANNNNNNNNNNNNNNNNNNNNNNNNNNNNNNNNNNNNNNNNNNNNNNNNNNNNNNNNNNNNNNNNNNNNNNNNNNNNNNNNNNNNNNNNNNNNNNNNNNNNCGCCUCGCGCUGCCGCAGCUCGCGCCAGCACCCGCCCCCGCCCGCGCCUCGCCUGCCAGUCCCUCCGAACGCCGCAGCCGCCUGCUCGCCGAGCACCUCCGCCCCGUCGCGCCCUGGAUCGGAUCUAGAUCGGGCUCGCCCUCUACGGCCUCUUCUGGCUCCAGCCGCUCAUCGGCUUUNNNNNNNNNNNNNNNNNNNNNNNNNNNNNNNNNNNNNNNNNNNNNNNNNNNNNNNNNNNNNNNNNNNNNNNNNNNNNNNNNNNNNNNNNNNNNNNNNNNNNNNNNNNNNNNNNNNNNNNNNNNNNNNNNNNNNNCCCUCAAGGCGAGCGCGGCAAGGCCGUGGCUGCGGAGGUAGUUCGGCUCGACACGAGGCCGGAUGUGGAGGCGGAGCGAAGCGACGGCGGCUCAGCGGCGAGUGGAGAUGGAGGCGGACUGAAGCGACGGCGACUCAGCGGCGAGUGGAGGUGGAGCGAAGCGAUGGCUGGCAGAGAUGGCGAGGCGCCAGCGGCGGCUUAACCCGGCGGGGUUGCAGGGCAGCGCAUGGAGGUUACUUGAGGCAUACACACGCGCAAGGCGAGGUAAGACGCCGAGGUGGAGCUGGGAUGGAGCGAGGCCGGCUCAAGGCGUGGAGGUGCACGACAAAGAGGCGUUGGGCGAGGCGGGAGCGGCGGCCACAAUGGANNNNNNNNNNNNNNNNNNNNNNNNNNNNNNNNNNNNNNNNNNNNNNNNNNNNNNNNNNNNNNNNNNNNNNNNNNNNNNNNNNNNNNNNNNNNNNNNNNNNGGGGGGCUAGGCCAGCAGCCAACUCAUUCGCCAUUCCUUAAGACUCCAAAUUGACUAACCGGUGAUAAUUCUCUUAGUCGUUGCUUUCAGUUGAGCAAGUCUUGCUUUCAGAGAGUCAAGGGCAGAUUAUUCAAUAUGAUACGGAAUUACUCAGGUCAUGGAUGUCGAAGUUCACCUGCUCAUACGUGUCUGGCACGGCCGGCCAUCGCGUUCUUUCCACGUCGCUUGUGAGACAACUUGGAAGAAUGAAAGAAAUUUUAUACAUUGGCUGGCCAGUCUGCCAACUAUUGCUGUUGCUUUCCAACCAAUUUAAUCAAUCAAUCUCGUCGUCACCUCAGUUUUCACUUUCACUUGCGUAUACACUCGGUCUACUAUACUAGCUGCCGGCCGGUAGGAAUAUAAUAUAAGAUAUUUGUUUCAGCAAAUCAUUUCUACAUUGAAAGCAAGAACUACUGAAUCACAUGUCCAAAAUUAGAAGAGAGCGAAAAAAAUUGCGCAGCAAAUGGGAAAGCCUGCCACGGGAAACCUAAAUUCAAAGUCGUUCCUUUGGGCAAUCUAUUUCAUACAUCGCCCAAAUAUUGAGAACACGCCCCUUCCCCAUCUCAUAGCCGCCCAAAUAUUGAGAACACGCCCCUUCCCCAUCUCAUAGCCGCCCAAAUAUUGAGAACACGCCCCUUCCCCAUCUCAUAGCCCCCUCUGCUUUGGUCCCACUCCUUCAUUUCUCUUCCCCCAUGGCCACGACUAAUUCGACACAUCUUCAUCUCAACAAACGGAAGUACAGGAAAAUCGCACCUACUCGUACUAUAAUUAAGAAGUACGGAAACUACAGGAAAUUGGUGGAAAGUGUGCGGAGGCACGCACCCCGCCAAGCCUUGCCCGGCCGCUCGAUUUUCUCGCAAUUCGUAAAGUAGUUGUAUCCCACACAAGGGCACAAUAAGUUUUAAAUUUCAGUCAUUGAAAUUUACAAUUUUUCAUCUGAAACUGGUGAAUUUUCGUUCGCUUUUAUCAAGUUUCAUAGAUAACUUUUUAAAGAGUAAAAUACAUCGGAGGUCCUAAAAGUAUUUCAAGUGUAUCAAAUAGGUUCUAAAAGUUUAAAAACGUUCAGCCCAGGUCCUAUAUGUGUAUUUUACCUAUGACUUUCAGGAAAUAUUUGACACACUUGAAAUACUUUUAGGACCUGCGAUGAACGACUUACACACAUUUAUAACCCACAAUGAACGUUUUUAAACUUUUAGGACUUAUUUGACACACUUGAAAUACUUUUAGGACCUCCAGUAUAUUUUACUCUUUUUUAAAACAUUUUUUCUGUCGGUUGUAGGCACAAAAUGGUGAUUUUAUCGGUCACCUAUAGUAAGUUUCAAUAGUUGAAAUUUAACAUUUAUUUUUUAAAUUCAUCAAAAUGUAUUUAAAAUGAAUCUUUUUGAAAGCCUUUGUCACAAAAACACGAAUAUGAAGACAUAAUUUAAUUUGACUUUUUGUUCAAUAGAUAUAAAAGUUGAUGUGAGAUCUAUGUGCCACAAAUCCACUCCCCCAAAACUACCCAUAGAAUAGUUGAAAUCCCUCCAAGGCUCCAACCAAGAAAACCAACCAAUCGUAGGACAAGGAACGAAAAGAGUUCCGCUCGGUGAAGGAUUCAUGUACCCGCCAAGGCACUUGCCCCCUACUAUAUAUAUACAAGAAGCUGAAGGCUCCUUAUGGAGGAACAAAAGCCGAUUCAUAUUGCGCAAGCUUUUGAAUAGACGUGGUCUAUCAUAGAUAGGUUGAAGGCUUCAUCAAGCACCAAAACCAGCUCUACUCCGUUGGUAUCAACCAUUUAGACACUGCAGUUUGUAGUGUUGUUGUUAUAGACCAACAUAGCAGUUCUUGUUUUUUCGUAUAUACCAAUUCAUUAUGUAUGGACCAACUUAGCAUAAUCAAAAUAACAUUUCGCACGACCAACAAUUGUAUUCUGUUUUAGUUAUAUGUGACAAAAAAGGUAGAAAAAACACCACAUGCACAUAACUAAAGUUAAGUAAAAGUUGAAAAUUAAGAACAAAAGGAGAAUGGAAAAAGUUACUGCAAGUAGCUUCGAAGCCUUCUCUUAUACUUCUUAGGGUACAUAAACCACACAUUUGAAAUACCACUUAAACUUACACAUUAUACACCAUUUAUGUUGGUGUGAAUGUACUACAAAUAGACAGUUAAAGAACAUGACAUGGGGGGAGACUAUCUAGGACUAGUGAUAGAUAUGCUCACAUCAUUGAUACUAUAUGACUCCUGAGUAGUGGAUGUCUCUUCAUUUCCUACUCUUACAUUGAUAUAUGCUGGCUGCUUAGGCUCAGCCAAGAUCAUAGUUUCAUUGCUUAGCAGUGAAACAAUAUCACCCAUGGUUGGACGAUCAACUGCAUUCUCUUGUACACACAAUAAUGCUAUGUUAAUGCACCUCCUUAUCUUUGCCGAGUGACUAUCAGAAACCAACGAUGCAUCAACAAGGUCAAUCCACUUCCCCUCUUCCCAUAAUUGCCAUGCCUGUUUACAAUUCCAUUACAAACAUUAGGUUGUAUGAAAAAUGAAAAUAAGAGAUAAUUUCCGAAGCUUAAGUUUGUUUAUAAGCUCACGUAUCCAAGAAGAUUGAUGAAACCUCCACGUUGCUGGGUGCCAGAAUUCCGUUUUCCACUAAGGAUCUCAAAAAUGAUAACACCAAAGCUGAAGACAUCGGACUUAAUAGAGAAGAUGCCCUUCGAAGCAUACUCAGGGGCCAUGUAGCCACUGAAAUGGUAUUUGGUAAGUGUCAAGAUUGCAUUAUCUCGUUGAAAUGCAGUAUAUAUAAUUGCAAUUGAAGUUUUAUUAAGAAACUUACUAUGUGCCAACCACUCUUCUUGUAAUGUCUUCUUCGGUGUCAUUUGAGCUGAAUAUUUUUGCUAGCCCGAAAUCUGAAAUUUUGGGAUUCAUUUCGCUGUCCAGGAGAAUGUUGCUUGGUUUAAGAUCACGAUGUAUGACAAGUAACCGAGAGUGCUUAUGCAAGUAAAGAAGUCCAUGUGCCACUCCUUCAAUUAUUGCUAGAAGUUUUGUCCAAUCCAGCAAAACUCUUUUAUUCUCAUCUGCACACAUCAAUUAGAUAUUAGUAUAACAGUAGAAGAACACCUAGAAUAGUGAAAAUAAACAGCCGAGAGAAUGAAAUUAUACCCAUAGGACUGGUAGAAAUAAAAGUCUAGAGUAAUCAUAAUAAAAGUCUCAAGUUAAUUAAGAAAUGCAAAUUUAUACCAAAGAUGAAGAAAUCCAGGCUUUUGUUUGGCAAGUAUUCAUAGACCAGUAUUUUCUCCUCUUCUUGAGAGCAACAUCCCAAGAGCCUAACCAAAUUUGUGUGCUGGAGUUUGGCUAUGAGCUGCACUUCAUUUUUAAACUCCAUAAAACCUUGUCCUGAAUGUGAAGCAAGUCUCUUAACCGCUAUCUCCGACCCAUCUGGAAGAUGGCCCUGGAAAAAAAAAAACCGGAUGUUCAAAACUUAGGCUCAUUGUUUCUUAAAAAAACAAGGCUCAUUGCAAUUAAUCCUCCUCUACUAUUUACUCCAAGUUAAUUAUAAGCCAGGUUCAAUACUUGUUUCAUACAAAAGAUGAUGCAUAUUAUGCUUCUAUACUGAUUUACCUUGUAGACUGCGCCAAAGCCACCUUGUCCAAGUUUACUUUCUUCUGAGAAAUUACUUGUGGCCUCCAGUAGCUGUUCAAACUCAAACAAAGAGAAGUCCGAAUUUUUCCCUUGCCACUCCAAACUGUGAGCACCUCUUGAUGCUUGUACAAUCAAAUAUCAUAUACCAGAAUUAUUACCACAAAUUUUAAAGAUUAUAUGAAAGAAUAACAACGUUCCACUAGAUAAUUAUUAGCAUAGAUACCUCUUCUUUGCCUUUUUAGCCGGCGAAAAUAACAGAUGAAAAAGAGAAACGCUGCUGCCGCUAGAGGAACUACAGCUACGGGAAUCACCCAAAGCAUGCUCCUGCGUUUGGUCAGAGUCUGAGCCGGCCCCGGCGGCGACGACGGCAGGCUUAGCAUGGGCUGGGCGUCGUAGAAAUGAGAGGCCUCGUACCUGAAAUAGCACCGCGUGACACCCAUCCGCCCACCCAUGCGUAGGGACAUAGUGGAGUUGACCAUGCCGAGGAGGCGCAGCAGGCAAGCCGAGCAGUCGUCGCCGGACAGGUCCGGCGUGCACUGCGCCUGGGAGUACACGUUGGGGUAGGUUGUCACUCUUUCCAUGUCCAUGACGCCCGUGGCGUACAGCUUCGGCGUCGUGGUGGCCGCCAUCGCCGCGGUCCUCACCAGCAGCUCGCGGGUGAGGUUGACGAUGCGGGGGACGUCUCCGGUGGUGACGUUCCUUAUGUUCCAAUCCUGGAAGGGUGGCGUGUUGUCGCCGGAUCUCCCCGUGGUGUUGGAUGGCGCCGCUAGGAUGUCGGCGGUGGCGCCGUAGACGAUGGUGCAGUUGCCGCCGUAGCUGAAGCCCACCUUGUCGCACUGCGUCUGGUUCACGUUAGCGAACAAGUUGGUGAUGCAGGCACCACAGGAAGAGCCGUCGAGGAUGUUGCCGAGGCAGAGCGCGAGCGCAUAGACAACGUCGGGGGCCUGUCCGAAGCUGGUGGUGGCGAACUGUACCGGGGAAGAUGAGGCGUUCUGGGAGAGGGCGGCCCCGGCGGCCUUGACGUUGUCGCAGAAAUCGGCGGCGGCCAGAAACGGUGUGGAUGCGAGUAUGAGGAGCAGGAUGACGACGCCGAUGGUCGUCGCCAUGGGAAGCUAACAGCCUAACACGACCUGCAGCCAGGUACAAACCUAUCACUUCUUGUUUUUCUUCUGCCAGAUGCAGAUUGAUGCAUGAACGAAUCACUAUCGGUCCUAGUCACUUUGAAAAAAUUACUAUAUCGGUCAAUAGUGCAUUACUUUGAAACGAUCGACGCACCAAUCACUUGGUCUUGACUAAUGAACGCAGGUCAGGCCAGCUAGCGACAACUGAAAGCUCAGUGUUGUUUUCUUCCUAUUUUUUCCCGGACAAAACUGUACUACAUUGACAAACUAUUCCAUCUUGUGUGGAAAAAUCUGUUACUCACUAUAGCUAUGUUUCCACUUGGAAAAGAAAACACUGGAAGUACGUACAUUCCACUUGGACCAUUCUUCAGUUAAUUUCCCACCGCCAUCCAUGGGUGCCUCAUAUCAGUUGCUUUCAGUUCUCACCAGCGAAAAACAAGUAUAUUACCUUAAUUUCAUUACUUUGAAACGAUCGCGUUGAAUUUUGUGGAUUGGAGCUUCCACUGGUCGCCGACUUCCUAGAAUAUAUUUCCUAUCUUUUCUUUCCAAGACAAAACAUGCACUUAGUUUGGUAUUAGUUCUUCAUUUUAACCUUUUGCUAUUUGGCCUGCCCUAAUUCGUCCAUAAGUCUUUCUGGAACUACUUCUGUUUCUGCAUAAUCUAGCAAGAGCAUGCAUAUUUUGCCACUAUUUUAGCUUAAUAAUUUAUAUGGAGAAGGUAAUUGUGACAAAGUAUUGAACCGGCAUUUGUAUGGUUUUCGUUUGAUGAAAUGAUAUAAAAUUCUACAUACUGCAAGUGCAGUAUUCUCUGAAUUGGAUAAAGGCCUAGGCUGUAAGAUCGUGUAUCUUAUGAUCAUCCCUAGUACUACUGUAAAAUCAUGAAUUUUACUGGGUAGAAUCAUAGAACAUGUCCAAAAAAAAAUUACACUGGAAAGUCAUAGAAAGCGUAUGGUUGAAUUAUGAUUUUGUUGACCUUCAUAUCAAGGUGCAGAGGGGGCCCACAUGUCAACGAUCCAAAGUCAUGUGACUUAGGUUAAAGGUUGUGCACCUGAUUGCAUGUGAUGAGGCGCUCUACCUCUCUUUUUUACGGUACCCUAUACUGCCAGAGAAGAGGCAACAGUAUAUUUCUAAUUUCACCGUUGAUUUCAUAUGGGUAAUAUAGACCUUUUUUAGUUUUCACGGUAAAAAAUGUGUUCGUUCAUAGAUGGCUGAUGGGCUAAUACUUCGCCCCAUAUCCCGCAUCUUGCCGUUACGCUCGUCCCUCCCCAAGUCACUCCAGGAAAUAGGCAUUGCCGCCGUCGGGGGCAUCGGCCCUUGUUUGCCCCGUCCAUCUACCUCCAGCCGUGCUCCGUUGUUGCCCUUCCGGUAGCCGUGUCUCAUGGCCGGGAGCUUGCUGCCGCGUCACAUCGUCUGUGUCCCGACUGUGUGAUUGCAUUGUAGAAGGUAGAAACUGAACGAGCCACACACAUUUUUAAAAUUCACGAACUAAAGCACCAUUUCCAGAACGUUGUAUGGGGGUAGGCACGCAGAUCAAACUUCAUGUUUCUGAAUCUGAUAAGACAAAAAUCAAUGCUUUCAGCAUUAAAUCGCGAUCAGCCAAGGGGCCAAACUGCGGGAGUCGCUCUUCUUCGUGAGGAAGAGGAGGGGGCUCGCAGAGGGAGAUAAAUCGGGCGUGCGGCGGCAGCGGCCGGAAUCGUCGCAGCGUAGGCGUGGGUCAGGUCAGCGGGUGGGCGGGCUGAAAUAUUACGAUGUUCCCAAACUGCCCUCAAUCUCCGUAUACUGCUCCACUUUGCUCGGGUUGGAGUGCAUAUACCGCUGGCCCGUUGAAGCAGUACAAAUCAAUCUCUAGCGUUGGAUUUUCCCGAAUGGACGGACUAAUUUUAUUACGGGGUACCAUAAAAGAUCUCCUAAAUAUACAUAUGGAUUGCUUACGUAGUCUGUACGUAUCGUCAUGAGUUUAUUUUAGCUAGCUAGGAUUCUAAAUCUCAUUGUUGGGUGUCAUUCUCAGUCCCCAUCAAAUGUACCAGCAACUAAUAAUUUCCACGGAACGACUUGACUCGGGCGCUUGAAUCGUUAUGAGUAGUCACUUUGAAUUUUUUUUAUUAUCGAUCGACACUACAUUACUUUGAAACGAUCGACCCAGCAAUCGCUUGGUCUUCAAUCGUUCAUCUGGUCUUGACCCUUGAGCAGGUCAAGCCAGCUAGCAACAACUGAAAGCUCAGUGUUGUUUUCUUCCUAUUUUCUUCCAGGGAAAUUAUUACUCAAUACUUUGACAAAUUAUUCCAUCUUGUGUGGAAAAAUUUGUUACUUGGUAGUUCUGUUUCCCCUUGGAAAAAGGAACAGUGGAUGUACGUACAUUCCACCUGGACCAUUCUUCAGGGUUUUCUUUUUGCGGGAAGACAAUUCUUCAGUUAAUUUCCCCCCGCCACCGGCCAUAUCAGUUGGUUUCAGUUCUCACUAGCGAACACGUACCUUAAUUUAAUUAAUUUGAAAUGAUCAAGGCACCAAUCACACGCUGAAUUUCGUGAAUUGGAGGUUCCACUUGAUCGUCGGCUUGCUAGCUAGAAUAGAUUUCUUAUCUUCUCUUUCGAAGACAAAACAUGCACUUAAUUUGGUAUAGUUCUUCAAUUUAACCUUUUGCUGUCUGGCCUGCACAAAUUCGCGUUGGCAGAACUCUAGCUUAAUUAAUUAUAUGGAGAGGCUAAUUGAGACUCCCUCAUUUAUAUGUUUUGCGUUAACGAAGUGAUAGUAAAAUACUACUCCCUCCGACACGGUUUAGAAGGCACGGUUAAAUUUACGUGUGUUUCCAAAAUAGACAAGGUUUAGAACGCGUUACAUUUAUUCCUAUUAGCUAAUUAGUACUUGGUUGUAUUACUCCUAUCUGCAUGCAUAGUGUGAAUGCUAUUUUUGAGCCCAUCUCACAGCCAAUGAAUAACCACCUAGGUUUCAGAGAAAUUUCAAAACGCGCCUUCUAAACCGUGACGGAGGGAGUAUGUUCUGCAAGAGGUGGUCGGAAUCGUGAUUGGACCGAAACCUAUGUGGUAAGAUGGUUUAUCUUAUUGGCUAGAUAUGUAGAUCGUGUCCAAACAAUUUAGAUGGGAAGUCAUAGAACCAUAUGAUAUAAUCACAAUUUCGAUGUCCUUGAUUGCAAAUGCCAGGCGCUCCACCCCACUAAAUAUACAUAUAGACUGCUUACGUAGUGUAUUGUUCUGAAACUAUUUUAGCUAGCAAGGUAAGUGUCAUUGUUGGGUGUCCUUCUCAGUCACCACCAAAAGUACCAGUGACUAAUAUUUUCCAUGGAAAUGCCUUUGACUCGGGCGCUUAUCAGUUGUAGAAAAAACUAUCUGAUGUAUCCGGUCACCAAGUAAUUAUGAGAUUAUCUGUCGCACCAGCGUAACAUGAUUGAUUAGGACAAGAAAACAGUCACCUUUUCAUGAGAAACAAAUUAGUCACUUCAACCAUGAUUGACUUAGUAUUGCUGGCGUACGUCGUAUUUUGGAAAGUCGUGCUGAUGAAGUUGGUUUUUUUUCUUUUUGCGAAUUUGCUAUGCUAUGUCUUUUUUGAAAUGUGAAAUGGUGUGCAACCUGAAGGUGACAAGCAGUUGUUCUUGACAUCGCGUUCUUUUAAGACAGAUGAUCUCAGUUUGUUACUUAAGCGAAGAGGUUACAUAAGAAUCAAAAUCAAAGAAACUAUAACAAAUAUGACAAACAAUAAACGUUGGUGCAUGAGGCCCGACGAGAAUUUUGGCCUUGCUAAGUCAGACCGGAUUGAGAUGAUUGUUGAUUUGAAAAUGAGAUAAAAAAAAUGCACAAAAAAAUUACUAUGAUUUAGAAGGGGGCGCCAAUGUUUUGAAUUUCGGCUGUAAAAUACAAAUUUCGGCCGUAAAAUAGAAAUUUCGGCCGAAUUUCGGCCAUCUCGACCUGGGGCGUUAAAUAUCUACCGUCCGAAAAGAAUGAUUUUUGGUCAAAUUUGACAUUUUUUUGUCAUAUUUCAGUCAAAUUUCAGCCGAAAUUUUUAAAAAUGACCGAAAUUCUGCCAUCUCGGCCUGAGGUGAGUAAAAUGUGAAACCGAAAACCAAAACACUGAGAAAAGGUUGGUCAGGUGUAUACAUGAUUGAUUCCUUAUGUAAAAUUUAAUAGUCCAAAAACAUAUAUUUAUUUUAUUAAAUUUAGGAAGCAGAAGUAACAAUCAUUCUUUGAAGAGUUCUAGGCUACUGUUUGUUGUCUCUAAGGGAUGUUAGAGCCUAAUUGGUUUUGAUGUCAACAUUUGAUAAAACCAAAAGUUUUCAAAAUUUGGAAACUUAUUAGAGAUUACAAAGGGCCAAAUGGAAAGCGACCAAUUGCUAGCCAACUUUUUAGCCUUGCCAACAAUUAACAUGCCAAAUAUUUGCAUAAAACCAAUUAAGCUCGUGAAAGAGGGCUUUUUAGUCUGCCCAGGACCGGAAUGCAGCAUGGAGCUUCGUGUGUAAACACAUGAAAGAGGGCUUUUGGACCCCGGGCUCCAUCUCCGCAGAUUGCCAUGAUGAAAAACGUUUUUUUUUUUUUUUUGCGGAGAUGAUGAAAAACGUUUUGAUAUGGAAUACAUUUUCAUAUGGUCCAGCCAGCUAGCGAGAACUGAAAGCUCAGUGUCGUUUUCAUCCAAUUUUUUUCCAGGACAAAACUGUACUACUUUGACAAAUUAUUCGUCUUGCGUGGAAAAAUCUGUUACUCACUAGUUCUGUUUCCACUUGGAAAAAGAAACACUGGAAGUACGUACAUUCCAUCUGGACCAUUCAACCAUUCUUCAGUUAAUUUCCCACCGCCACCGGUCAUAUCAGUUGCUUUCAGUUCUUGCUAGUGAAAAAUAGGAAUUACCAUAAUUUAAUUAGUUUGAAACAAUCAAGUCACCAAUUACGCUGAAUUUCAUGAAUUGGAGCUCCACUUGGUCGCCGGCUUGCUAGAAUAUAUUUCCCAUCUUUUCUUUCCAAGGCAAAACAUGCAUUUAGUUCGGUAUCAGUUCUUUGUUUUAACCUUUCGCAAUCUGGCCUGCACAAAUUCGUCGAUAAGUCUUUUCUGAAUUAGUUCUGUUUCCGCAUAAUCUAGCAAGCAUGCAUGUUGCCACUGUUUUACCUUAAUUAUUUGUAUGGAGAAGGUAAUAUUGAGAAAAAGUAUUGAACCUGCAUUUGUAUGGUUUUCAUUUGACGAAAUGAUAUAAAAUAGUACAUACUGCAAGUCGGGUAGUCUCUGAUUUGCAUCAAGCCCUAGGCGGUAAUAUCAGGUACUCCUGGGCAGACUAUUUGGAAUAAUAUUUGACAUGUCGACUAAUCAUAAAUAUAUAUUUAGUCGGGCAGACUAAUCACAAGAUACUCCUAGAGCCUGAUUUGGAAUAAUAUUUAGUCGAGCAGACUAAUCACAAGUACAAAUAACAAAUACAAAAAUGCGACUCCAAUUCAGUAUAAUGUUGUUGUUUUUGUUUUUCUUUCUUUCGCAGUCAAGUUAUUUUAGUUUUAUAUCACAUAAUAAGAGAGAGAACAGAUAGUAGUUCCAAAAUGAUGAUAGACUUUCUCCUCCUACCUGAUUCACGACCUUAAUAGACAAUUAGAGCCAGAUACUUCUUCAGUAACAACUGUCACUUUUUUUUUACGGUGUUACGGCGGGCUUACGCCGGCCUGAACCAUUUCAUUAAUUAAAUCAGUACAAUUACAAAGGAAAGGGGGGUUGGAGGUAGGGAGAGGGUACAAAGUAUUUAGGUUACAAUCUCUCCGAAAGGUGAAACAACAUGGUGCACCAAUCCUGAAGCAGGAGCAUGGGCUGCUCCUUUGAGCAUCUAUUAGACCAGAGCAUUGAUAUCAUCUGUCGCAGAGCGGGCAAUGAGGUGGAUAGGUUGCAGUUUCCCCUGAAUACCUUUGCAUUUCUUCUUUUUCAUAUAUUCCAUAAGACAUCAAUGAUUAUUGUGGAGUGAGUCUUGCUAGCAUGGUGAGGCCCCCAAAGCUGUCUAAAGUCCGUUGGUGAAGAGGCACACAGUGCUGAGAGCUCUUGCCACAGAGGUCUAAGAUGGCUGCAAAGAAGGAAAAGGUGUUCCUCUGAUUCCGAAGCUGAACAGAACGGGCAGGUGCAAGAGUCCAUUAACCCCCGCGUUGAAGCAUCUUUCGUUGGUGAAGAGUCGAUUUUUGCAUGAAAGCCAAAGGAAAAUUCUGCAUUUAUUGGGUGCAUAGUUCUUCCAGAUGACCGACGCAAAAGGAUCGACGGGUGUGUUGGCCCAAACAGCCUUAUAUGCGGAGUUGCAAGUUAGAGGCUUGUCGUCGAUAUGUCCCAUUCGUUUGUCCUGAACCUGCACAUUCAAGGAGACAGAUGCCAGUAAGGUACACAGAUUAUCCAGUUCAAUGUCUGCAGCAUUAGAUAGUCUCGGAGCCAAAUCAAGCUGCAAUUGAGGAUUACUAAGAACGCGUGCAACGAAGGCCGAAGGUUGAAGAGAGUGGGAAAAAUGUCGGGGUAAAUUGUUGCAAGAUUUUGAGUGUGGUUUGGGACCCACAGGUCAAGCCAGAAGGCAGUAUUCAUACCAUUUCCAAUAUGCACCAUAGUUAUCGACCGAAAUUAGAAAUCAAUCCCCUUGGCGAUGUCUCGCCAAACAUAAGAUUGAAAGGGUGAGUAGUGUCUAUGCCACGAGAAUCCGACCAACCAUGUUUGGCCGCAAGGUGAGAGCUGCUUGAAUAUUGGAUGCUUGAGUGAAGUUUAUUCAAGUGAGAGAGGAGUAAGAAAGAGUUUAAGUGAUGCAAAGAAGAAAAACCUAGACCCCCUCGAGAGAAUGGAGCACGCACAAAUUCCCAAGCCACUUUAUACUGACCACCCGACACUUUGUCCUGUCCUGUCCAGAAAAAUGCACGACAACGUUUAUCGAUUUCCUGAACAAUGCCCAUAGGCAGCAAAAUAGCAGUCAUGGCAUAGAUAGGUAGGCCUCUCAGAACAUCCCGAACCAAGAUUGCGCGACCGGCAAUGGUAAGAAGCACACCUCGGCAAUCUGCCAGACGUCGGUCAAUCUUGUCGAUGAUGAAGAAGAAGUCAUUAAUGUUUAGUUUGUGGGUGGAUAAAGGCAGACCUAGGUAGGAUUGGGGGAAGGAAGAAACCGCGCACCCCAGAAUAGAUGCAAGAGAAGAUGCGAGGCCCGGCUCCACAUGAAUAGGAGCGAAAGUGCUCUUGUGGAAGUUAAUCACCAAACCCGUUGCAUUUGAGAACUGAAGCAGGAUUAAUUUAAGUGUUUGAAGCUGCCCUAGGUCUGCUUGCAGAAUAAUCAGAGUGUCGUCGGCGUAUUGAAGCACUGGGCAGGUGAUAGUAGAGUCAAUGGGGUGGGACAGGAGGCCAUUUGAGGAAGCCUGCUAAAUAAGACGCUGAAGAACAUCGACGACAAUAAUGAAGAGGUAGAGAGAUGUCGGGUCUCCUUGUCGGAGCCCCUUUUUGUAAGUAAUCCAGGGUCCCGGCUUACCGUUAAGAAGAACGGCCGAGUUCUGAAUCCAAUCACACCAUUUCAAAGGAAAACUUUAGCUUUUAAAAUUGUCGCCAGAGCCUCCCAAGAAACAGAAUCAGAGGCUUUUUGGAAGUCUAAUUUUAGGACAUUUGCUCAUUUUUUACGCUUGAAACAAGUUUGAACCAUAUCAGCAGUGUAAAUAAAAUUAUCAGUGAUACCACUGCCUUUAAUGAAGCCAGAUUGAUCAUGAUGAAUAAUCAAAGGAAUAAGGGGCUGCGCUCGGAACGCCAGACAUUUGGAGCUGAUUUUAAUAACACAGUUUUGAAGAGAAACAGGUGUGAAGUUAUCGGGAGAUGAGGUUUCAACGCGCUUUAGGAGUAACACAAUGAAGGCUUUAUUAAUCCUAUUAAGGUCUGCAGUGCCGUUGUGAAAAUCAUUCAGGAGUGCUAACAAAUCAUGCUUAAGAAGAUCCCAAUUAACCUGGAAGAAGGCAGGUCCGAACCCAUCUGGUCCCGAGCUCGCAUUCACGUUCAUGCUAAGAAUCACCAAUCUAAUCUCUUCCAUAGAGAAAGGUCUAAUGAGAGAGAGAGAGAGAGCUUGAAAGCUUUUGAGCUUUGAUCCGAUCAUGAGGCUAUCAAGAUCAAAAUUGAUGACAGAGCUAGAAUGAGUUCCGAGGAGUGUUUUGAAGUAGUCAUGAAGAAUGGCGGCCUUGCCGCUGUGCGAGGUGACAUCCGCACCGUUAACAUGCAAACAAGUAAUUUGAUUUUUGCAAAAGCGAACGAAAGCACAAACAUGCAUGUAACUUGAAUUUUCGUCAUCGAGAGUGCAUUCUCCGAUUUGUUUCUCAUUGUCGCCAAUACGCGGCCAAAAGCUUGUUAUGACGAUGCAAAGCUAGUUUAACUGCAAUGCGAAGGUUAAGCUCUAAGGGAGAAAGCGGGCGGCCUUCCUCAAGUUUGUCAAGCACCGAAAUAGUGGUAGAGCAGUUGGAGGCAAGACGCCUAGGAGUUUUAGCGUUAACCAACCAUUUUUUAGCCAUACUGUGAGUACGCUUAAGCAUAAGGCAGAUUCGGCCAGCAGAACCGAGAGACCGUUGAUGGGGACCUAUGCUUGCCCAAUUAUGGGUGAUUUGUUGAAUGAAGGCUGGGUUUGAUAACAUCAGGUUAUUCAGCCGAAAGAUGGUUGGUUUCAGAAUGUCCGUGGAGGCAGAGAGAACAAUGGGAACGUGGUCCGAGGUGGUGCACGUGAGGAAUGUCAGGGUGGAGUCGGGAAACAUAGUAGUCCAAUCAAUGUUAACAAAUGCUCUAUUCAGUCGAACUAGCGUCGGAUUAUCUUGUUGGUUUGACCAGGUGAAAAGCCUAUCUAGAAGAGGGAUCUCCUGGAGUUGAAGAGAAUUUACCGUCGAGGCAAACAGGCUUGCUUCGAUAGAAUUAAAGAUAGCUGAAGAUUUAUCGGAUGGUCUUAAAAUGAGGUUAAAAUCCUCCAAAAUCAUCCAAGGCAGAUUAACCAACUUAGAUAAAGAAGCGAGGGAGUCGAGAAAAACAGGUUUCCUAAUGUGGUCACAAGGUCCAUAGACGUUGGUCAUGACAAACAAAGUCCCAUUGACACAGAGGGAAAACCAGCAUGAAAUAGCAAAGCAAUCUAGUAGGAUCUUAGUGCACUCUAGAUAUGCGACAUCCCAUGCCGUGAGGAUCCCGCCAGAGGCUGCUUUAGAAGGAAGAAAGUGAAAAGAGCGGAAGUCUGGGGGUAGAAAGGAGCUAGCCUUAAAGAUUUAUAUUUGUUCAAGCUUCGUUUCUUUGUUUAGAAAAGGAGGCUUAGCUCAAGCUUCGUUUCUUGUAAACAGAAGAUAAAAGCAGCAACAGAUUAAAGAUAUUUUUUGACAUCGAUACAUUUGUUGGAUCUCCCUAGUCCCCUAACAUUCCAAGAAGCAAUAUUUAAGUGUCUAUUCAUGAGAACCAUGGAGAAACGACAACAGCAAGUGGAUAGGAAGGAAAUUUAAAUUAGAGGCACUGUUACAUAGAUAGGCACUGUUACAUAGAACAAAACUAGCGAUAGGGGAUGGGAGGCUACAGUGACAGCAACCAUAGGAACAGUGCUAGAGGAACUAUGCCUCAGGGAUUUAAAAUACAUAUUCCCUCUGUUCCAAAAUAUAAGACCUUUUAAAGAUUUGACUAUAGACUACAUAUGGAAUAAAAUAAGUAAACCUACACUCUAAAAUAUGACUACAUACAUCCUUAUGUAGUACUAGCAAAAAAGUCCGUGCGUUGUAACGGAAGAGAAAAUAACACACGUUUUGAACGUAAUAUAUUAGCACAUUUGUGUUGUCGACGAUGGCCUCAGUGCUCACACAACGAAAACGCGUUUGAAUGUACAAUCACUCGGAAUAAGAUGAGAAAUAUGUUGUUUCUCCCCACGAGAUUUUCCAAAGAUGUGCAUGUGUGGUUAACGGUGUUUUCUUUUCUCUCAAUUUGGUUUUAAUUUAAUGGAUAUUUAUUGCAAUUCGUAUGGUCGUCGGAAAGAGAGAAAAAAAAGACAGUGCAUUACAAAUUAACUUUGCAUCAAAAAUAAUAUUUAAGAAGUAUUCAACAACUAAAAAUAACAUCCUAUUUAGAUUCUACACAUUUUUUCAAUCAAAUUUCAUAUAUAACAUGUUAAAAUCGGAGUUACGGUUUAAAAGAUAUGGAUAAUUUUGUUUUAGAUAAAAUAUGGAUUGAUUAACUGAAAAGUCAGGGUUUUUUUUAUUAAAACAAAAAACAUUUCGGCUGACUUAAAUAGGGACGGCGGGUUGAUUACCUGAAACAUCAAGGAGUUUUCUGUAAAGUGCAAAAAAAAACGGUUCGGCGCGGACUAAAAGAUGGACCGCGGGUUGAUUAUCUAAAACUGUGAGGAAUUUUCUGCAAAAGGACAGAAAACGGUUCGUUCUGACUUCAAGUUGGACUGCGGGUUAAUUAACUGAAACUGCAAGGGCUUUUCUACAAAAUGACCGACGACGGGCGACAAAAGCGCUGCGCGCUUUAUUGUUAAGGAAGAUAUAGUGUCUUAUAUUUAGGCACGGAGGGAGUAGAAUAGAACAAGCGAAGGAACUAGCCGGUAGGACCUGGCGAAAUGAGGCAAAAAAACCAAAGCAAACACAGCAGCAGCCGAAGGCGGAAGUGCAAGGAGGAGGGCUUCGCCGCCGGCGAUGGCGCAAAGGGCCGUUACACAUCGGAAAACUCCGGCACCACCUUGUUGAGAUCGAUCUCGGAGAUGCUGCAUGCGUCAGCGAACUGAAGCACUUCCUUGCGUGCGAGAGGAGGGGUGCCCGCCGCAGCGAGCUUGAGCAGCUCCAUCAGCCAUCUCGAGCACCUCCUUGCGUGCGAGAGGAGGAGUAACAAUUUCCACUGACAGCAGACCUGCAGUAAGAAUUCAACAUCUCACAACAUGAGCAACACAUCAACAAAAGGUCUGCGAACGAGGAAAUUCUAAUGUGAUAUCAUCUCGGUAAAAACCCAAAAAAGAAGCGGUAGGCAUAAGAAAGCAACUUAUCACGUGCGUACAUGGCGAUCGAUACCUACAACAAGAAAACCUGCAUAAGCACCUUGAACAACAGACGCAGACAUACGGAUCCUAAGAUCAUUUCAUCAUACAAAAGCUAGGUACUACCGUAGGCUGGCACUUGCAACUUUGCUGAAGAUACAUCCCUACGUAAUGAGUAAAUAGCAUAAAACUACUACAGUUCGGAUUAGGAUUCCAAAAAAAAUAUAAGAUUUUAUUUUUCACGGAUAACCACCAACUUUGGGGUUGGCUAUUUCAAAAAACCCUAAUAACCGAGUGUUUUAUGGUACAUUAUGAUUAUGACAGUUAGGCUCUGAUUGUUUGACCGUUAACUAACAUGCCGGUGUUUCUUUCUUGUAAUCUAAUAUAGUUUUUUAGAAAAGCAAUCAGGACCCUGGAGAUAUUUCUAAAAAAUAAUCAGGUCCCUGCACAUAAAUUUAAGAAAGCAAUCAGGUCCCUGUAAGUUUGUAAAAAGCAAUCAGGUCCCUGUAAGUUUGUAAAAAGCAAUCAGGUUCUUGUAUGUUUUCAAUCAGGUCCCUGCAUUUUUUUGGCAAAAAGCAAUCGAGUUCCUGCAUGCAUACAGAUCACGGCAGCCACUGGCGUGACUCUCCUCUCGCUCGCGAGCUCUCCUGCCUAGACUUCGCGACGCCGCCUCCACCGGCCGGCGAGCCGUGCCCAGCCGCAGUGAGCUCCCCGCCACGCGGCCUCUCUGUCUUCCCUCUUCCCCACGCCAGCUCUGUUAGGGAAAUCUCCCCUGGAUCACUCAAACACACACGCGAUCUUGUGGACUUGAAGAACACACACGAACGCAAGCACACAGGAGAAGGCAGUUUUGCGACGCGAACAGCUCGGGUCUUUUCAGUUUUUUUUUCUUUAUUCUCGUCGGCCUCACGCAUAAGAGAACGUGGCCCCGUACAACACAAAACCCUCCUCACGAUCCUAUUUUCCCGUGCCAUCCCACGAAGUAUCGUUCGGGAGCUGACCCAACUAGCUAAGACUCAAUCUAUCCCUGUACGUAUGCAUAAACGUGACAGGACCUAUUUAUUUUCAACAUGUAAACUGUAAACAGAAAAUCUAUGGCACAUGCAACACCCUGCAACGUGCACUCCUAUCGACUCCAUCAGUUUUAACUUGACAGGAAACAAGAAACAUCAAGGCAACAAGAUUAAUUUCAUAACAAUCUCUCCCUUAAGCUUGUUACCCUUCAUCCAGCACUUCCAUCCCAAUCUUCUCCUUCAUCUCAUGAAACUUCACUCUCCCAAGAGAUUUUGUGAGGAUGUCAGCAAGCUGAUUUUCAGUUCUCACAUGCUCAACACCGAUCUUGCCCGAUUCAACACAGUCCCUUAUGAAAUGAUAGCGAAGGUCUAUGUGUUUACUUCUAUCAUGGUGGACAGGAUUCUUACUCAACAAAAUUGCAGAUUGGUUGUCCACCUUGAGCACAACUUGAACUGAAUCGUCACCAAGUAAAUCAGCCAGCAAGCGCCCCAACCAUAUGCCCUGACAUGUUGCGGUCGCCGCUGCAAUAUACUCAGCUUCACAUGAGGAGACAGCCACAAUUUUUUGCUUGUGUGACACCCAGCUGAUUGGGUUUGGACCAAGGUAGAAGAUGGCACCCGAGGUACUUUUUUUGUCAUUGAUGUCACCUGCAUGAUCACUAUCACUGAACCCAAGAAUCUUCAGUUGGUUCCUCUCUUCUCUCCUAUAUAAACAUCCAUGAUUCAGAGUGCCUCACACAUACCUCAAAAUAUGUUCUACCACUAUCAUGUGUUCUUCAGACGGGUGCUCCAUGUACCAGCUGACAUACCCAACGGCAUAACAUAUAUCCGGACGAGUGUGCACUAGAUAUCUCAAGCUUCCCACUAUGCUUCGAUAGGAAGUUGAAUCAACUAGUGGAGAGUCACUUACUUUUCUCAAUUUCAGUCCGUGCUCCAUAGGAGUUUGGGUUACUUUGCAAUCUCCCAUGUCACACCUGUCCAGAAUUUUUGCUGCAUAAGCUGAUUGACACAACGAGAUACCUUGUCUGGUUUGCUUCACUUCAAUUCCAAGAUAGUAACUGAGUAGGCCCAAGUCACUCAUGCUGAACAUAUUCUUCAUCUGGUUCUUGAAGUUUGCUAUCUUCAUUGUGCUAUCCCCGAUGAUGAUCAAGUCAUCCACAUACACUCCCACGAGCAGACUUGCACCAUCUUUCUUCCUCUUGUACACAUCAUGCUCAUAUGGACAUUUUUCAAAUACCAAAUCUGCCAAGGUCUUGUCCAGUUUCACAUUCCAUGCUCGGGGUGCUUGAUGCAGACCAUAUAAUGCUUUGCUUAAUUUCAGAACUUUGCUUUCACUUCCUUUCUUAACAAAACCAAAAGGUUGCUCAACAUAUACGGUCUCUUCCAAAUCUCCAUUUAGAAAGGCUGACUUCACAUCCAUAUGAUGAACUUCCCACCCUCUCUGAGCUGCCAAGGCUAUAAGCAAUCUCACGGUUUCUAUACGAGCAACCUGCGUGAAUACCUCAUCAAAAUCAAUACCUUGUCAUUGCACGUAUCCUUUCGCCACGAGACGUGCUUUGUGCUUCACCACAGCGCCCGCAGAGUCCUUCUUUAUUUUGUAGACCCACUUCAGAGUGUGUUUUGAUUUUCGGCCGAAAAAAUUGAAUUUCGGCCGAAAUUCGGCCAUCUCGUCAUGGGCCGGCAGAUGGGCCUUUCGGACGAAUUAUUCAGCCCAAUUUGAACUUACUCGGCUUGGCCCAGGUUCUAGACUAUUCCUGUUAGCCUCUGGUUGAUAUAAAAGCAUGAAACCUAGCUCACAAACCCCAAAACUCUCGUUUCCUCUCCUCUCCUCCUGUGUGCGGCGCCGCCGCUGCACACAGAACUCCUCACGCAGCUCUCCGGCCAAGAAGGUCGACCUCCAGAUCCACUAGCAUCCUCCACCCCCAUCCUCCUCUCUGUUGCAUCUACAACGCUACGGCAUGGUGCUCGAAUGCUACGGCAACGAAGCUGACAUGUUCAACGGAGGCAGGAGCACGGGGCAGGGGCAGCAGCAUGGAGGGCGUCCACUUGAUUUUGAAGGUAAAUCCACUAUGCCGUGACUCAUCUGUUCCAUGGGCAUGUGAAGUAGGUUCUUAUUCCGAAAUUAACACUAAAGUGCUAAAUUUCAGUCAUAAUAUUGCAAAAAAAUCAGUAUACAGGAGCAGUUUUGUGUGGAUGCUAGUGUACAGGAUGUGUGGAUGCUAACUUUCAGUCAUAAUAUUGCAAAAAACACUUGGUCUCUAUCUCGCCAGAGAGCAGUCUUGAACACACGCACACACAUAUUGGUGCUCUAGAACUAGCUACCAAUAGUACUUGGAUGCAUGGAUCGCUACUGGCCUCAUUACAACCGCAUGGAACAUCUCCAAUAUUUUUAUUUUCACUGCUGCCUAUAUAUGUUGUGCCCCUGUAGACUGAGUUUCUACUUGCAGAAGUACUAGGAAAGGUAUUACUAUGCUUGCUACUUGCAGAAAUUCAUAGACUCAGUUUCAUUAGUUACAGUUUGAGAAUCUGGUUGUACUGUUUUUGCAGGUAACGUAAAUGCAAAUAGGAGUGGCAGUGGCGACCGCGAUGCAAAUGGAAGUGCUUCCCAUAGACCCUGGAAAGGUAUUACUAUGGUUUUUUUGGUCACAGUAAACUGCAGCAGGCCACUGCAAAUAGGAGUAUUACUUUUAUGAAUGCAAAUGGAUUGAUUGCCUGGCUGGGAUGCUUAAGAAUCAUUAUUCGAAUCGUUGUCUGGCCAUGGAAAUAUUUGAUCAUGUUAAGAGUAUUACUUUUAUGAAUGAUUUUAAAUCUUUGAUUUUGGUUUUCUUUUAGGCAAGCGUUAAUUAACGGCCGUGUAUUGUUGCUGUUUAAUGCCCUUCAGUUGCUCAACGGCACUCCCUCGGUAAAUAUAUAUAUAUAUAUAAGUGUCUACAGAUCAUUAAAAUAGUUAUCUAAACGUUUUUUUAUUUCUUUACCUAGGGGUAGCACGUAGGCCACAGCCACAUGCACUAUUUUUUUUAUAUGGACCUCGAUAAAUAGCGAACGUUCAGAUUUUAGGCAUGUCAUUUCUAAUGUUUUUCUAUUUCUUUACCUAGGGAUAGCACUGUUUUCUUGCUCACAUGAUGCAAUUGGAACCAUGAUCUUUAUUUGCUAGGUUCAAUUAAAGUGAUGUGUGUAACCUUGCAAUGCAGGACUUAAAGACAAUAACUUGUAUGAUCCUUGGAACCAUGCAUGGCCGUAUUAUGGGGGUUUUGAUUGCACGUACUGCAACCUAAAGCACAAAGGUGGAGGUGCAACCCGUGUCGCGGAGCACCUUGGUGGUAUUGUAGGUAAUGUGAGGAGCUGCCCCAAUGUGCCAAGAAAUGUGAGAGAUGCAAUGAGAAAGUGCCGGGAUGAAUCAAAGAGGAAGAAAAGAGACAAACAAAAUAGCAGGCUGAGAAUUGAAAGAAAUAUUAUGGAAGGGCUGUAUCAACAAGGUGGGGUGAUUAACGUAUUAGAUGAUGAAGAAGAAGAAAUUCAGAUGAAUAUUAGAGAAGCAUUGCGUGACCCGAAUGUCUCUUGCAGAGUUGGAAGGAGAAUUGGCAGGGAGGGUGUGGGUGAUGUGCGGGUUUCUGUUGUUAAAAGGAGUAUCACCGCCUAUUUUGACAAGCAAUUAUCCAGCAACAAAGUAUCUAUGCAGCCCAAGAUCAGUAGUGCUUUGAAUCCUAAUUCAAGCGAUGCACUUGGCCUAGCUUGGUCCAAGUUUUUUCAUGCCAAUGGUAUUGCUGGACUUAAAGCUGAUUGUCCAUACUUUCGAGCUGCUGUGAAGAUCACUCAACAAUUAGGGCCCAUUCCUAUACGAACCGGGAAGGAGAUUGAUGGGCAAUAUUUGGAGGCCAACUAUGAUGAAGCUAAUUUGUUUCUUCAAAAAUUCAAACAAGACUGGAAGAACUUUGGUGUGACUCUUAUGUGCGAUUCUUGGACUGGUCCUACAGGAAUGAGCAUCAUAAACUUCAUGGUGUAUUGUAAUACACGAAUGUUCUUCCUCAAUACCAUUGAUGCAUCCGGCCAGACUCAGAAUUCAGGUUACUUCUUCCUUCUCUUCUUAGCACUUUACUUGCUUCUUGAAUACUUGGAUCUGUCCUAUAAUUGUUUUAUGUUCCUAAUGCCUUGUUCUAAUUAGGUAUAUUUACAUUUUACGUAUGUUCUUACAAUAUUUGUUUCUUGAAUACUUGGAUCUGUCCUAUAAUUGUUUUAUAUUCUUAAUGCCUUGUUCUAAUUAGGUAUAUUUACAUUUUACGUAUGUUCUUACAAUAUUUGCUUCUUGAAUACUUGGGUCUGUCCUAUAAUUGCUUUAUGUUCUUAAUGCCUUGUUCUAAUUGGUAUAUUUACAUUUUACGUAUGUUCUUACAAUAUUUGCUUCUUGAAUACUUGGAUCUGUCCUAUAAUUGUUUUAUGUUCUUAAUGUCUUGUUCUAACUAGGUAUAUUUACAUUUUACAUAUGUUCUUACAAUUUUUUCUUCUUGAAUACUUGGAUCUAUCCUAUAAUUGCGUUAUGUUCUUAAUGCCUUGUUCUAAUUAUGUAUAUGCAUUUUACAUAAUUUUGCAGACUUUAUCUAUAAAGAGAUUGAAAAGGUUGUAGAAGAGAUAGGCCAUGAGCAUAUAGUUCAAAUAGUAACCGAUAAUGGAUCUAAUUAUAAGAAAGCUUGCAAAACCCUUAUAGAAGAACCAAAAUACUCUCAUAUUGUUUGGCAACCGUGUGCUGCCCAUACCGUCAAUCUUAUGCUAAAAGAUAUAGCUAAAUCUCCUGAGGUUGAUGUGAUAGUCAAGAGUGCCAAGACAAUCUGUAGGUUCAUGCAUAAGCACAAUAACCUCCAUGAUAACAUGAAGAAGAACAUAGGUGGUGAACUGAUUAGACCAAAUGCCACCCGUUUUGGGACUGUCUUCAUGUUCCUUGAUAGUUACCAUUCGAAGAAAGAUAAAUUUAGGGAGUGGAUGGUUUCAAAGGAUUGGAAGGAGUGUCAGUGGAGGUAUGAGCCUGGGUAUGUGUUUGCUGAAGAGUGUUUGUCUAGUAAUGUUUGGUGGAACGCACUAGAAUGGGUAUUGGGUUCAUUGAGGCCACUUUAUAUGGCCAUGAGGUAUGCAGAUACACAAAAACAAUGCACACUUUCUGGCUUCAAAAAAGUAUGAUGCUCGCUAUACAAAAGAUGGAAGCCCAUCUUGGCCCUACAUCAAGGUUGUACCUUACGUUCAUGCGCAAGGUGGGUAAGAGGAUAGAUGCGAUGGAAGAAGAUACAUUUAUGGUUGCAAGUAGUGAUAAAUAAUUCAACCUUCGCAAUUUAUGUUUCUCAUUUUUCUAUUUUUUAAUUCACGUGGCUCUAUUGUUUUGCAGCUGCUGUCCUUGAUCCAUAUACACAUUACAAGCUGAACCUUUGCAACCACACCGAUUAUGCCACUUCACUAACAGAUGCAAUAGCGAAGAUACUAGAUCCAGUGAGUGCUCUUUCAGCCAUUGAUGAAGUGAGGAAGUUUAGGGAGUGCCAAGGAAGGUUUGGGACCAGAUUGGCAGAAGAAGCUGCGGCAAGAAUGGAGCCAAGUAAGUCAUGGUGUUUUAGUUUAAGAAUUUCCAUUUUCUUUCGGUUUGCAUUUCUGAAAAUUAAUUGUUGUUAUCUUGCAGCCCAAUGGUGGUUUCAGUUUGGAGGGGAUGUUCCUGCAUUACAGAAGUGUGCAAUGAGAAUUUGCUCACAAUGUAUCUCCUCUAGUGGGUAUGAGAGAAAUUGGAGCGCUUUUGCUUUGGUGCACACAAAGCAAAGGAAUCGUCUUCUAUAUGACAAGCUUGACAAGCUAGUUUCUGUCCGUUACAACCUAAAGGUAUAAAUCAACACUUCUACUUUCUACCUUGUGUUUCCUUGCAUGUCUUAUAAUUUACUUGGUUUACUAUUCAACCCUUGAAGAUACGUGAUGAAGACGAUGAAGGGAAAGAGAGAGAUAUAGAUAAAGAAAUUGAUCCAAGUGCAUUGCUAAUGGAUACAACAAUGUUUGAUGAAACAAAUCCAAUAAUGGAGUGGUUGAAUGAGGAUGUAGAGGAUCCAGUUAUGGAUGGAGCUGAUGCAGCUAGUGCUGUUUUUGAGAAAAUAAGGCAUCUCAACUCAAGCAGGAAGGCUUCUUAUGUUGGUUCAAAGGGUAGUAACAAGAAAAGAAAGAGGAGUGAUGAUGAUGAGAAUGAGUUUGUUGAAACUGAGAGUGAGGAUGAUGAUGGAGAGAAUGAAUAUGUUGAUAAUUGUUGGGGAACGUCGCAUGGGAAACAAAAAAUUUCCUACGCGCACGAAGACCUAUCAUGGUGAUGUCCAUCUACGAGAGGGGAUGAGUGAUCUACGUACCCUUGUAGAUCGUACAACAGAAGAGUUAGUGAACGCGGUUGAUGUAGUAGAACGUCCUCACGUCCCUCGAUCCGCCCCGCAAACAAUCCCGCGAUCAGUCCCACGAUCUAGUACCGAACGGACGGCACCUCCGCGUUCAGCACACGUACAGCUCGACGAUGAUCUCGGCCUUCUUGAUCCAGCAAGAGAGACGGAGAGGUAGAAGAGUUCUCCGGCAGCGUGACGGCGCUCCAGAGGUUGGUGAUGACCUUGUCUCAGCAGGGCUCCGCCCGAGCUCCGCAGAAACGCGAUCUAGAGGAAAAACCGUGGAGGUAUGUGGUCGGGCUGCCGUGGAAAAGUCGUCUCAAAUCAGCCCUAAAACCUCCGUAUAUAUAGGUGGGAGGGAGGGGACCUUGCCUUGGGGCUCAAGGAGCCCCAAGGGGGUCGGCCGAGUACAAGGGGGAAGGCUCCCCCCCCCAAACCGAGUUGGACUUGGUUUGGUGGGUGGGAGUCCUUCCUUCCCUUCCCACCUCCCUUUUUUUUCCUUUUCUCUUUGAUUUUCUUUCCUAGGCGCAUAGGGCCCUUUUGGGCUGUCCCACCAGCCCACUAAGGGCUGGUGCGCCACCCUCAUGGCCUAUGGGCUUCCCCGGGGUGGGUUGCCCCCCCCCCCCCCCCCGUUGAACUCCCGGAACCCAUUCGUCAUUCCCGGCACAUUCCCGGUAACUCCGAAAACCUUCCGGUAAUCAAAUGAGGUCAUCCUAUAUAUCAAUCUUCGUUUCCGGACCAUUCCGGAAACCCUCGUGACGUCCGUGAUCUCAUCCGGGACUCCGAACAACAUUCGAUAACCAACCAUAUAACUCAAAUACGCAUAAAACAACGUCAAACCUUAAGUGUGCAGACCCUGCGGGUUCGAGAACUAUGUAGACAUGACCCGAGAGACUCCUCGGUCAAUAUCCAAUAGCGGACCUGGAUGCCCAUAUUGGAUCCUACAUAUUCUACGAAGAUCUUAUCGUUUGAACCUCAGUGCCAAGGAUUCAUAUAAUCCCGUAUGUCAUUCCCUUUGUCCUUCGGUAUGUUACUUGCCCGAGAUUCGAUCGUCAGUAUCCGUAUACCUAUUUCAAUCUCGUUUACCGGCAAGUCUCUUUACUCGUUCCGUAAUACAAGAUCCCGCAACUUACACUAAGUUACAUUGCUUGCAAGGCUUGUGUGUGAUGUUGUAUUACCGAGUGGGCCCCGAGAUACCUCUCCGUCACACGGAGUGACAAAUCCCAGUCUUGAUCCAUACUAACUCAACUAACACCUUCGGAGAUACCUGUAGAGCAUCUUUAUAGUCACCCAGUUACGUUGCGACGUUUGAUACACACAAAGCAUUCCUCCGGUGUCAGUGAGUUAUAUGAUCUCAUGGUCAUAGGAAUAAAUACUUGACACGCGGAAAACAAUAGCAACAAAAUGACACGAUCAACAUGCUACGUCUAUUAGUUUGGGUCUAGUCCAUCACGUGAUUCUCCUAAUGACGUGAUCCAGUUAUCAAGCAACAACACCUUGUUCAUAAUCAGAAGACACUGACUAUCUUUGAUCAACUGGCUAGCCAACUAGAGGCUUGCUAGGGACGGUGUUUUGUCUAUGUAUCCACACAUGUAAAUGAGUCUUCAUUCAAUACAAUUAUAGCAUGAAUAAUAAACGAUUAUCUUGAUACAGGAAUUAUAAUCAUAACUAUAUUUAUUAUUGCCUCUAGGGCAUAAUUCCAACAGUCUCCCACUUGCACUAGAGUCAAUAAUCUAGCCCUCACAUCAUCCUGCGAAUUACAUUGUAAUAAAUCUAACACCCAUACAGUUCUGGUGUUGAUCAUGCUUUGGCCGUGGAAGAGGUUUAGUCAGCGGGUCUGCUACAUUCAGAUCCGUGUGCACUUUGCAUAUACUUACGUCCUCUCCCUCGACGUAGUCGCGGAUGAGGUUGAAGCGUCGUUUGAUGUGUCUGGUCUUCUUGUGAAGCCGUGGUUCCUUUGCUAAGGCAAUGGCACCCGUGUUGUCACAGAACAAGGUUAUUGGAUUCAGUGCGCUUGGCACCACUCCAAGAUCUGUCAUGAACUGCUUCAUCCAGACACCCUCCUUAGCCGCCUCCGAGGCAGCCAUGUACUCCGCUUCACAUGUAGAAUCUGCUACGACGCUUUGCUUGGAACUGCACCAGCUUACUGCACCCCCAUUAAGAAUAAAUACGUAUCCGGUUUGCGACUUAGAGUCGUCCGGAUCUGUGUCAAAGCUUGCAUCGACAUAACCUUUUACGGCGAGCUCUUCGUCACCUCCAUACACGAGAAACAUCUCCUUAGUCCUUUUCAGGUACUUCAGGAUAUUCUUGACCGCUGUCCAGUGAUCCACUCCUGGAUUACUCUGGAACCUACCUGCCAUGCUUAUGGCCAGGCUAACAUCCAGUCUAGUGCACAGCAUUGCAUACAUGAUAGAACCUAUGGCUGAAGCAUAGGGGACAGAGCGCAUAUGCUCUCUAUCUUCAUCAGUUGCUGGGUACUGAGUCUUACUCAAUCUCGUACCUUGUAAAACUGGCAAGAACCCUUUCUUGGACUGUUCCAUUUUGAACCUCUUCAAAACUUUAUCAAGGUAUGUGCUUUGUGAAAGUCCUAUCAGGCGUUUUGAUCUAUCCCUAUAGAUCUUAAUACCUAGAAUGUAAGCAGCUUCUCCUAGGUCCUUCAUAGAGAAACUUUUAUUCAAGUAAUCCUUUAUGCUCUCUAGAAACUCCACGUUGUUUCCAAUCAGCAAUAUGUCAUCCACCUAUAAUAUUAGAAACGCCACAGAGCUCCCACUCACUUUCUUGUAAAUACAAGAUUCUCCAACCACUUGUAUAAACCCAAAUGCUUUGAUCACCUCAUCAAAGCGUUUGUUCCAACUCCGAGAUGCUUGCACCAGUCCAUAAAUGGAUCGUUGGAGCUUGCACACCUUGUUAGCAUUCUUAGGAUCGACAAAACCUUCGGGUUGCAUCAUAUACAAUUCUUCCUUAAGGAAACCGUUAAUGAACGCCGUUUUGACAUCCAUCUGCCAGAUUUCAUAAUUAAAAAAUGCAGCUAUUGCUAACAUGAUUCUGACGGACUUAAGCAUCGCUACGGGUGAGAAAGUCUCAUCAUAGUCAACUCCUUGAACUUGUGAAAAACCCUUUGCCACAAGUCGAGCUUUAUAAACGGUCACAUUGCCGUCAGCGUCCGUCUUCCUCUUAAAAAUCCAUUUGUUCUGAAUAGCCUUGCGGCCCUCAGGUAGUACCUCCAAAGUCCACACUUUGUUCUCAUACAUGGAUCCUAUCUCGGACUUCAUGGCUUCUAGCCAUUUGUUGGAAUCUGGGCCCACCAUUGCUUCUUCAUAAUUUGCAGGUUCAUUGUUGUCCAACAACAUGAUCGAUAAGACGGGAUUACCGUACCACUCUGGAGCAGCACGUGGUCUCGUCGACCUGCGUGGUUCGACAGAAAUUUGAACCGGAGUUUCAUGAUCAUCAUCAUUAACUUCCUCCUCAACCGGCGUUGCAACGACAGAGGUUUCCCCUUGCCCUGCGCCACCAUCUAGGGGGAUGAGAGGUUCGACAACCUCGUCAAGUUCUAUCUUCCUCCCACUCAAUUCUCUCGAGAGAAACUCCUUCUCGAGAAAAGCUCCGUUUUUAGCAACAAACACUUUGCCCUCGGAUUUGAGAUAGAAGGUGUACCCAACUGUCUCCUUUGGGUAACCUAUGAAGACGCACUUUUCCACUUUGGGUUCCAGCUUUUCAGGCUGAAGCUUUUUGACAUAAGCAUCACAUCCCCAAACUUUAAGAAACGACAACUUUGGCCUUUUGCCAUACCACAGUUCGUAAGGUGUCGUCUCAACGGAUUUUGAUGGUGCCCUAUUUAAAGUGAAUGCAGCUGUUUCUAAUGCAUAACCCCAAAAUGAUAACAGCAAAUCAGUAAGAGACAUCAUAGAUCGCACCAUCUCUAAUAAAGUACGAUUACGACGUUCGGACACACCAUUACACUGCGGUGUUCCAGGCGGUGUUAACUGUGAAACAAUUUCACAUUGUCUUAAGUGAGCACCAAACUCGAAACUCAGAUAUUCACCCCCACGUUCAGACCGUAGGAACUUGAUCUUCUUGUUACGAUGAUUUUCCACUUCACUCUAAAAUUGCUUGAACUUUUCAAAUGUUUCAGACUUGUGCUUCAUCAAGUAGACAUAACCAUAUCUACUCAAAUCGUCAGUGAAGGUGAGAAAAUAACGAUAUCCGUCGCGCGCCUCUACGCUCAUCGGACCACACACAUCGGUAUGUAUGAUUUCCAACAAGUCACUUGCACGCUCCAUAGUUCCGGAGAACGGAGUCUUAGUCAUCUUGCCCAUGAGGCAUGGUUCGCACGUGUCAAGUGAAUCAAAGUCAAGUGACUCCAAAAGUCCAUCAGCAUGGAGUUUCUUCAUGCGCUUUACACCAAUAUGACCUAAGCGGCAGUGGCACAAAAAUAUGGCGCUAUCAUUGUUAACUCUAACUAUUUUGGUCUCAAUGUUAUGUAUAUGCGUAUCGCUAUCAAGAUUCAAUAUGAACAAUCCUCUCACAUUAGGUGCAUGACCAUAAAAGAUGUUACUCAUAGAAAUAGAACAACCAUUAUUCUCUGACUUAAAAGAGUAACCGUCUCGCAAUAAACAAGAUCCAGAUAUAAUGUUCAUGCUCAACGCAGGCACUAAAUAACAAUGAUUUAAGUUCAUCACUAAUCCUGAUGGUAACUGAAGUGAAACUGUGCCGACGGCGAUUGCAUCAACCUUGGAACCAUUUCCUACGCGCAUCGUCACUUCAUCUUUCGCCAGCCUUCGUCUAUUCUGCAGUUCCUGUUUCGAGUUGCAAAUAUGAGCAACAGAACCGGUAUCGAAUACCCAGGCACUACUACGAGAGCCGGUUAAGUACACAUCAAUAACAUGUAUAUCAAAUGUACCUGAUUUUUCUUUGGCCGCCUUCUUAUCUGCCAGAUACUUGGGGCAAUUGCGCUUCCAGUGACCCAUACCCUUGCAAUAGUAACACUCCGUUUCAGGCUUAGGUCCAGCUUUGGGUUUCUUCGUCGGAUUGGCAACAGGCUUGCCGCUCUUCUUCGAAUUACCCUUCUUGCCUUUGCCGUUUCUCUUGAAACUAGUGGUCUUAUUCACCAUCAACACUUGAUGUUCUUUACGGAGUUCAGACUCUGCGACUUUCAGCAUCGCAAACAACUCGCCGGGUGACUUGUUCAUCCCUUGCAUGUUGUAGUUCAACACAAAGCCUUUAUAGCUUGGCGGCAGUGAUUGAAGGAUUCUGUCAGUGAUAGCCUCUUGCGGGAGUUCAAUCCCCAGCUCAGCUAGACGGUUUGAGUACCCAGACAUUUUGAGCACAUGUUCACUGACAGACGAGUUCUCCUCCAUCUUGCAAGCAUAGAAUUUAUCGGAGGUCUCAUACCUCUCGAUCCGGGCGUUCUUCUGAAAGAUAAACUUCAACUCCUGGAACAUCUCAAAUGCUCCAUGACGCUCAAAGCGACGUUGAACUCCCGGUUCUAAGCCAUACAAGACUGCACAUUGAACUACUGAGUAGUCCUCCUUACGUGCUAACCAAGCGUUCUUAACAUCCUGAUCAGCCAUAGCGGGUGGUUCAUCUCAUAGCGCAGCAUUAAGGACAUAAUCCUUCUUCCCAGCUUGUAAGAUUAGCUUAAGAUUAUGAGCCCAGUCUACAAAGUUGCUUCCAUCAUCUUUCAACUUAGCUUUCUCUAGGAACGUAUUAAAAUUCAGGGUGACUGUCGCGUGAGCCAUGAUCUACAACACAAAUAGAUUCAAAGUGGACUUAGACUAUGUUCAAGAUAAUUAGAGUUUAACCUAAUCAAAAUUAUUCGCUAAACUCCCACUCAAAAAGUACAUCUCUCUAGUCAUUUCAGUGGUUCAUGAUCCACAUACACUAGCUCAAGUCCGAUCAUCACGUGAGUUGAGUAUAGUUUCAGUGGUAAGCAUCCCUAUGCUAAUCAUAUAAUCUAUAUGAUUCAUGAUCGACCUUUCGGUCUCAUGUGUUCCGAGGCCAUGUCUGCACAUGCUAGGCUCGUCAAGCUUAACCCGAGUGUUCCGCGUGCGCAAUUGUUUUGCACCCGUUGUAUGUGAACGUUGAGUCUAUCACACCCGAUCAUCACGUGGUGUCUCGAAACGACGAACUGUAGCAACGGUGCACAGACGGGGAGAACACAAUUUCAUCUUGAAAUUUUAGUGAGAGAUCACCUCAUAAUGCUACCGUCGUUCUAAGCAAAAUAAGGUGCAUAAAAGGAUUAACAUCACAUGCAAUUCAUAAGUGACAUGAUAUGGCCAUCAUCACGUGCUUCUUGAUCUCCAUCACCAAAGCACCGGCACGAUCUUCUUGUCACCGGCGCCACACCAUGAUCUCCAUCAACGUGUUGCCAUCGGGGUUGUCGUGCUACUCAUGCUAUUACUACUAAAGCUACAUCCUAGCAAAAUAGUAAACGCAUCUGCAAGCACAAACGUUAGUAUAAAGACAACCCUAUGGCUCCUGCUGGUUGCCGUACCAUCGACGUGCAAGUCGAUAUUUUCUAUUACAACAUGAUCAUCUCAUACAUCCAAUAUAUCACAUCACAUUGUUGGCCAUAUCACAUCACAAGCAUACCCUGCAAAAACAAGUUAGACGUCCUCUAAUUUUGUUGUUGCAUGUUUUACGUGGUGACCAUGGGUAUCUAGUAGGAUCGCAUCUUACUUACACAAACACCACAACGGAGAUAUAUGAGUUGCUAUUUAACCUCAUCCAAGGACCUCCUCGGUCAAAUCUGAUUCAACUAAAGUUGGAGAAACCGACACUUGCCAGUCAUCUUUGAGCAACGGGGUUACUCGUAGCGAUGAAACCAGUCUCUCGUAAGCGUACGAGUAAUGUCGGUCCAAGCCGCUUCAAUCCAACAAUACCGCGGAAUCAAGAAAAGACUAAGGAGGGCAGCAAAACGCACAUCACCACCCACAAGAACUUUUGUGUUCUACUCGAGAAGACAUCUACGCAUGAACCUAGCUCAUGAUGCCACUGUUGGGGAACGUCGCAUGGGAAACAAAAAAUUUCCUACGCACACGAAGACCUAUCAUGGUGAUGUCCAUCUACGAGAGGGGAUGAGUGAUCUACGUACCCUUGUAGAUCGUACAGCAGAAGCAUUAGUGAACGCGGUUGAUGUAGUGGAACGUUCUCAUGUCCCUCGAUCCGCCCCGCGAACAAUCCCGCGAUCAGUCCCACGAUCUAGUACCGAACGGACGGCACCUCCGCGUUCAGCACACGUAUAGCUCGACGAUGAUCUCGGCCUUCUUGAUCCAGCAAGAGAGACGGAGAGGUAGAAGAGUUCUCCGGCAGCGUGACGGUGCUCCGGAGGUUGGUGAUGACCUUGUCUCAGCAGGGCUCCGCCCGAGCUCCGCAGAAACGCGAUCUAGAGGAAAAACCGUGGAGGUAUGUGGUCGGGCUGCCGUGGAAAAAUCGUCUCAAAUCAGCCCUAAUACCUCCGUAUAUAUAGGUGGGAGGGAGGGGACCUUGCCUUGGGGCUCAAGGAGCCCAAGGGGGUCGGCCAAGUCCAAGGGGGAAGGCUCCCCCCCCCGCAAACCGAGUUGGACUUGGUUUGGUGGGUGGGAGUCCUUCCUUCCCUUCCCACCUCCCUUUUUUUUUUCUUUUCUCUUUGAUUUUCUUUCCUAGGCGCAGAGGGCCCUUUUGGGCUGUCCCACCAGCCCACUAAGGGCUGGUGCGCCACCCUCAUGGCCUAUGGGCUUCCCCGGGGUGGGUUGCCCCCCCCCCCCCGGUGAACUCCCGGAACCCAUUCGUCAUUCCCGGCACAUUCCCGGUAACUCCAAAAACCUUCCGGUAAUCAAAUGAGGUCAUCCUAUAUAUCAAUCUUCGUUUCCGAACCAUUCCGGAAACCCUCGUGACGUCCGUGAUCUCAUCCGGGACUCCGAACAACACUCGGUAACCAACCAUAUAACUCAAAUACGCAUAAAACAACGUCGAACCUUAAGUGUGCAGACCCUGCGGGUUCGAGAACUAUGUAGACAUGACCCGAGAGACUCCUCGGUCAAUAUCCAAUAGCGGGACCUGGAUGCCCAUAUUGGAUCCUACAUAUUCUACGAAGAUCUUAUCGUUUGAACCUCAGUGCCAAGGAUUCAUAUAAUCCCGUAUGUCAUUCCCUUUGUCCUUCGGUAUGUUACUUGCCCGAGAUUCGAUCGUCAGUAUCCGUAUACCUAUUUCAAUCUCGUUUACCGGCAAGUCUCUUUACUCGUUCCGUAAUACAAGAUCCCGCAACUUACACUAAGUUACAUUGCUUGCAAGGCUUGUGUGUGAUGUUGUAUUACCGAGUGGGCCCCGAGAUACCUCUCCGUCACACGGAGUGACAAAUCCCAGUCUUGAUCCAUACUAACUCAACUAACACCUUCGGAGAUACCUGUAGAGCAUCUUUAUAGUCACCCAGUUACGUUGCGACGUUUGAUACACACAAAGCAUUCCUCCGGUGUCAGUGAGUUAUAUGAUCUCAUGGUCAUAGGAAUAAAUACUUGACAUGCAGAAAACAGUAGCAACAAAAUGACACGAUCAACAUGCUACGUCUAUUAGUUUGGGUCUAGUCCAUCACGUGAUUCUCCUAAUGACGUGAUCCAGUUAUCAAGCAACAACUCCUUGUUCAUAAUCAGAAGACACUGACUAUCUUUGAUCAACUGGCUAGCCAACUAGAGGCUUGCUAGGGACGGUGUUUUGUCUAUGUAUCCACACAUGUAAAUGAGUCUUUAUUCAAUACAAUUAUAGCAUGGAUAAUAAACGAUUAUCUUGAUACAGGAAUUAUAAUAAUAACUAUAUUUAUUAUUGCCUCUAGGGCAUAAUUUCAACAGAUAAUGACAUUGAGGAUGAUGAUGCGGUGAGUGAGGAUGACGAGGAUGGUCUACAAGAUCAGCUAGAGACACAAAUGCAACUUGAAGAAGAGACACAAGUACAAGUUGAAAAGGAUACAACAAGCAUUGGCAAUUUGGAGACUCGUAGAUCUGGACGACUUGCUAGGAAGAAGACCAAGCACGUCCACAACCUCUACUCGUAGAUUUGGUAAGUCUCUUCUUUUUGGUGUUUCUGAUUUAGGUUGAUCGUUUUGCAGCUUGAUCUACAUCGCUUUCUUUAAGUAGCUUGAUCUUUUUGCAGCAUGAUGUUGGUUGGAGGAUUUGAGCAUAGAAGCUGGAGCUUUGUCAUUGGAACAAGACCUACCUAUGCAUGCUUUCAUGGAUUUCUUUUGGACAUGCUGUUUGGUGUGAUGCUUUGAUGGAUGUCUUUUGGAUCAGUUUCUGUGUGAAAUCCUUUAAAUUCUAUUGCUGGUUGUAGUGAAGUAUUCAAACUUUGAACUAUGGUGUGAUGAUUGUGGACUGUCAAGUUCAGAACCAAUGUGCAUGAGGGUUAUGUUGGACUGAUGUUGUUAUUUUAAUUCCUAGAUAAUUUGCUGAACAUUAUAUGAUUACUCAUGAUGGUUGUUGGGUUGCUAUGCUUUUGCUCUGCUAGAUUUCAAAAUUCUGUGAUUUUUUGUUCAGUUUCGGCCGAAUUUUGGCCAAAAUUCGGUCAAAUUUUGUGCAAAAAUUCAAAAUUUUGUUUUACAUUUUCGUCCGAAAUUUUGCCGAAUUUUUUGAAAUGACCGAAAUUCGGCCAUUUCGUUCGGGGCCGAGAAAAAUGGCAAACCGAAAAUCGAAACACAGCUUCAGACCUAUAGUCCCUUCGGCAGGUCAGUCAACACCCAUGUGCCAUUUUCCUCAAUGGAGUUCAUCUCCUCUAGCAUAGCCCGCUGCCAACUGCUCUCUUUCUUCGCCUCAUGAAAAUUUGCAGGUUCCUCCAUCCCAAGCAAACACAAGUUUGAGUACUGCGUCUCUACCUCAUGGGUCUCGUCAUACAACUCCUCAAGCAAGCGUUUUCCUUGUGGUCCGACCGAGGCACUCCACGAUGAAGUGGACCCAGCCGUGGCAGGCGUUCUAGGAGUUGCAGCUGAGUGGGAUUCUGUUGUAGGAGUGGGUGCCAUGGCAAGCGUUUGGGGGGUCUGAGACGCUGCCAUGGUCGCAUUUUCUUCUGCCGUGGCAUCAGUUCUGGAGGGCAUAGGAGUUGCUGCACCCGUUGACUCUCCGCUGACCGCUGCUGCUCAUGCAACCUCAAACACGAAGUUGGGCAAGAUGUACUGUUCCUGGGAUUCAUCUAGGUCCCACUCACACUUCCUUUCUUCCUCAAACACGGCAUCACGAGUGAUGUGCAGCUUCUUUUCAACUGGAUCAAACAUCCUAACGCCUAAGCGAAUUACAGCAGCACAGUUAUCUUCCACACACAUACAAUACGUUGUCACAAGAAGCUAGUACAAUUUUACGAGAAAAAUCAGAAGAGUUGGUGAAGCGUAUAACCCUUGUCAGGCAGCGUGGCGUUUAUCAGUAUUCACACAAGAUAAGAUAAUGGUUACAAUAUUCAUCUCCAGGCUAAACAUAUAAAUGAUCACAUUUUAAACUUGAGAUAACAACAAACAGAUACAGGAGAGAGAGUACAAGAUGUCCAGCCAUGGAGCUAUCUAAUCUAACCCAAGCAGUAUUGUAUAGCAUAAACCACAGGAAAUAAAGUGUAGCAGCGGCUUAAUACAUGAAAGCCCAACACAAAAUAUACCAGAUAAAAGCCUACACUUACAAUACUUCAUAAGCAACGACUGCAGCACACGGAUAAGCUCUCCAGCAGGACAGCAAGCUUACACCUGGAAACAGACUUCAAAAUUGAGAUCAAGUCCUCAGAGCUCUUGCGAACUUAAUAAACCAUUUGCCGAUUUGACCCCAUGUCAUGAGAAUGGCAACUGCAAAUCCAACACCAAAGCCCAGCCCGACGAAGAGAAACGGGAUGACGUCCACAUCAGAUGAUUUCUCUGCACGUGCCAUGCUUGGAGGAGUAAAAUAAACGCUGCAGGGGUUGGAGAAUGGCGGUCCAUAAUCCACACAACCCCAAGUUCCCUUCGAAUGAAUUAUUUUCGAAUGUGAGGAACUAGCGUGACUGCGGUAUCUUCCCCACCAAUCGGUUGUCGGACAAGUUCAGGUUGGCCAGAAAGGUGAGAUUUGUGAGUUCCUGUGGAAUCUCCCCAGAAAGUUGGUUGCAAGACAGGUCUAGUAACUCCAGAUCAGUCACUCCGCCAAGCUGGGAUGGAAUUUUUCCCGUGAAUCCAUUGGGUGACAUGUUCAGUACACGUAAUGAAACAAGUCGUCCAACAUCAUUUUUGUUUUGAUUGUCCCCCCCCCCCCCCGGGAACUCAUGACAUGUUCUUCUUUCUCAGCUCUUGUGCACUAAACUUUUGUAAUUCCUUAUUUUUCCAAUACGAUAAGCCAAGUGGGUGCUUGGGCUGUGAUUUUGUUUCAAGAAAUGGUAACUCUUUUUUGUCCUUGUGCACUCCCCAAGUUCUUCUCUUCAUGUUUGCCACUUUGAUUCUUAGCAAUUUAUUGCUUCACUUCUUUGCCUUUUCUAACCAAUGCUAACUCUUUGAUUGGCUCUUUUACAUUUGUGACCAAAUCUGAAGUGGCGCUCUUACGGCCAUCUCUUUUGACGUGGUAGACAUGCUUCACCACCUCGUUUUUUUCCUUGAGCUCCGGACAGAUUCCUUAUGAUUGAGACGGUUUUUAAUGUGUGAUUGUUGAAGUGUUGAUCUUCUUAAAGCUGCAUAAUAUUGAUGAGAAGGUCGAAACUAAGAUGGAGAGUGUGCUCAUCUCUUUUCCUCUUAGUUUUUUUUGGGGGAAAGGCCAUCAUGGCUAGCUUUAUUAAACUCAAACAAUAGUUACAUCGUUCACCAAUUGGCUAACUAAGAACUCAGGAGGUUCGUUAGUCCAACUGUCACCACAUUUAUUACAAAAAACUAAAUUCUGCUAGCUCAUGAGCAACUGAAUUUGCUUCACGAAAACAAUGAGAAAAGAUGACCUUUCCUAUCGACGUAGACAAAUGUAUGCACUCGGCGAAGACCGCUGCAGCUGCAUCCCACCAUUGAUCUUGUCCUCAACAGCAACUGAUGACGCUCAACGAGUCUGAUUCCGCUUCUACUCUGUUGAAACCCAAGGAGUUCGUCAGAAAUAAUCCAUCUCGCAUUGCCAUUGCUUCAAUAGUCACAACAUCUGCUGCUAAUGGUAUAAAUUUACAAAACCCUGCAAUGAAAUUUUCUCUCUCAUCUCGUAGUACACCUGCAACAGAACCUGCCCCCUCAUCCGCAUGGAAUGAGGCAUCAACAUUAAGCUUUAUGAAUCUUGGCUCCGGUCUCUUCCACCUAUGCUCCACCGGUGCUCUUUUUUGCAUCACAUAAUUUGUAUAAUUUUUCACUAUUGCCAGAAUAGAUGUAUGCCACCUGAAGUUAGGAGGAACAGAGUCAUGAUGAGUGUGUCGACGACGCAGCCACCAGAGAUACGAGCAUCCAGUCGCAAUCACCUCCUUUUUCUUCAAGUUUGACAUCAUUAGCAAAGGUUGGUCCGAAUCCAGCAACAGAAAUUCCAGAAUUGCCGAUCCCGAUGUAUCCACUUGUACAGCGAAAUCAAUAAAAUCUGACAGACCCAGACCGUCCCAUAGGCUCUUUGUUAAAUCGCAUUGGAACAGCAUAUGACGCAAAUCUUCAGCCCCGCUGUGACACACUGGUCAUGCACCAUCGACAGGUAUAUGUUUAUUAGCGAGAAUGGAUUUCAACGGGAUGAUUCCUCUCAAUGCCCGCCAACAGAAGAUUUGAAUUUUCCUUGGCACUUGAAGCUCCCAUAACUCCUUCCAAAUCGCUGCUUGCAUGUUACUAGUUGAUGAUGAAUUUGGAUGAUAUUAACCUCUAUACUUAUGCGACCAUUGUUCAUCCCACUGCGCGGUAACUGGAUCAAUUAGCUCUAUAACCCUUGAGAUUAAGGUGUGUCCUCGAAGAGUUAUCACUCUCCUCUCCGGGCUGGAGGGAAUCCAAGGAUCAUUCCAUAUACUCACAUUCUCUCCCGAACCGAUUCGCCAAAUAUACCCUCUUUUGAAUGUAGUCAAGCCUGAUACCAAUCUCUGCCAUGUAAAAGAAGACCCAGCUUUUGGUCCAGCAUGCAAUAAAUCUGUAUUGGGGUAAUAUUCCGCCUUCAGAAUACGAGCACAGAGAGACUCCGAAUUUAUGAUCAAUCUCCAACACUAUUUUUCAAGGAGCGCCAAGUUGAAUAGUGUCGGUCACGAAAACCUAAACCACCAUCACACUUUGGUAUACAUAGUUGCCACCACGAGAACCAAUGCAUUCUUUUAUUUUCCUCAUCAUCUCCCCACCAAUAUUGAGCAAUUACAUGCAUAAUAUCCUUACACACUCCCUUGGGCAAGCAGAAAACUGACAUAGCAAACACAUGGAUGUAUUGAGCUACUGCUUUCAAUAAGAUUUCCUUUCCCCUUGUUGAGAGUUGCUUCUCCAUCCAUCCUUUCAAGAGUUUUUUUAAUUUUCGCACAAAAGUGUUCAAAGCAGUCACUCCUAUCUGCACCUACCAUUGCAGGUAAUCCAAGAUAUUUAUCUGAGAGAGCCUGGUUUGUAAUAUUUAGCUCCUGGCAUAUUUCAUCUCUAGUUUGCAACAGAGUAUUUGGACUAAAGAAAAUGCUUGAUUUCCCAACAUUUACCAUGUGUUCCGAAUUUGCACAAGAAGUCUCCAACACUUGCUGUAAGGAAGUUGCAUUUAACAUAUCUGCCCGCAUGAGAAUUAGAGAAUCGUCAGCAAAUAAAAGGUGUGAGACUGACAGUGCAUUCCUGCACACUCUUAUCCCAUGGAUGCCACCAACUUCUUCUUCAUACUGCAAAAUGCUAGAAAGACCCUCAGCGUAAAUCAAAAAGAGGUAAGAAGAUAAAGGGUCACCUUGCCGAAUUCCCCUGUCUCUUUUCCUCUUAGUUGACAGGCAACCUAGGCUUCACCAUUGCUAAUGACCUGGGUUGACCGCAUGUCAACCUUCCGUAUUCUAUGGUCCUGAUUUUCUGGACUACUUGUCCAUGCCGUGGGUUGACUGCACGUGUAACAAAUGCCCGUGCGUUACAAAUGCCCGUGCGUUACAACUAAGAAGCACAAAUGCCCGUGCGUUACAACGGGAAGAACAAUAUUUGUUUUUUAUGCGCAAAAUACAAUUAUUUUAUAGGCAAGACUCUUCGCAUUUUAGUAUGGAUUUUGAAUAAACAACUUCAAAUUUGAACAUUAAACUGUGCAACUAAAGCUCAUUUUUGUCUUUGUGUGGCCGAAACACCCACCUCUCACACGUGAUGAUCUUGGGUCAAGGUAUAAUAGUAUCUUGAUGGAUCCGCCCAUGCAUAACCUUUCUGCCAAACACCUAUGAAAAAUAGUAGGCACGAUAGAAAAAACAUAUUAAAAGAGAAGAUGAGAAAAAUUGAUGGUGCAAAAGCGAGAUCAAAAAAAGAAUGGAGAUGAGGAUCAUAAAAUCACAAGCUUAAUCACUUGUACUCAGAAAUCCAUCUCCACAUGACUAAUCAUGUGACAAACAAGCAGUAGGCCAGUAGCCACAAAUCCAUGAGACAUGCGUAAUCAUUAGGAGGCAUAAAAUCCACUUGUGCAUGCAAAAAUCUCAGCUCAAAAUGAACCAUAUAUUGUAUACGCAUCAGAAAGAAUAUAAUAGGAAAUCUAGAGCAUAUCACGCAGUCAAUUGUGCUACACACCGCACGCCCCUUCGUGGGACCCAUAUUUGUUUUGGUUUGAUGCUAAGAUGGAUAGGCUAUCGAUGGUUGGUUGUCUGCCGUUAUUCUCUUUCCAGCGAUUUUGUCCAUGCAUCGUCUCUCUAAGUCUUCAUCUCUCUCUUUCCACGCAAAGUCCCUUCCUACCUUAGAUUUGUGUCGCUUGGAGGCACUCAAGGUAACUGCGCAAGUGCGGCGGCCGACGACCGGCGACCGGCAACCAGCGCAGCCAAGGUAGCGAGGCAAGCUCCUGCCUCUCCAGGAGUUCGAUUUUGAUGAGACUCACAGGCGAGGGAACGGAGGAGAUAUCGAUUUUCUGCGGGCGAGCACGGUGGCGUGGAGUCGCACCAAUGAUCUUUUUUUUAAGAUUUCAGGACUUCCUGACCUAUAGCCGAUGGGGAGGAAGAUGAGCGUGGCUGAACACGCAGUUGCCUGGGGAGCGACAGGUGAUUUCGAUAGCGAGGAGUUUCGAGGCUUGCUAUAUUGACUGGUGUUAAUUUAUAUAGUCAUGGAUCGGGUCGUGAUGCUUCAGGGCUCCUGCAGAGUCCUUGUCCGAAACUGGUCAAGCGAGGCGAGAUCAUGCGGAGAACGACGUUCGUUUUUAAUUAUUAUUAGGUGCGCUUGGGUCGUUCAUGAACAAAACGGUUUUGACUUGCGGGUUGAAUAACAAAAAUUACAGGGGCUUCCAUGUACGGCAUUGAGAGGCAAGCCAGACUGCACCACUGAUAAGGACCUUGGUUGACUCCACGUCAACGUUCUGUAUCUAUGGUCCUGGUUUUCUUAACUACAUGUACGCCAUUGACAUGACAAGCCAGACUUCACCAAUGAUUUGGCUUGACUGCACAUCAACCUUCAGGUUACUUACCACGAUAUUGGUAUAGUAAGACUUUGUGAGGAACAAUUAAUAUUGGUGAUAUAUAUAUAUAUAAUCUGUCAUUGUGUUUUUUUUGUGUGUGUUCAGAAGACCAAAGGUGGGUAAAAAAGUACUACGUACACAAUGCACGCAUAAAAAUGUGGUUGCAUCUAGUCCCAUGAAACGUUUUCCUCUUCCACGAGAGACUCCUCACACGAUUAGGGUUUCUUCGUCUCUCGCAAGCGAUGUCAGCCAUUUGUCUUGUCUUCUAUGGUCUUAAGGCCAUGAAGCCGCGGUGGAUCCCGGUCAAUGCCAGUGAGAGGGCCGUUGCUCCAUUUUUUGAUGUAUUUUUUAAGGUUAGUAAUAGGCGUCGGUCAGGCAGUUGAAAUUUUGGCCCAUCAACUUCCCACCGUGCGAUGAAGGGCAUAAUGACGGCUGGUUUUUCGCCCUCACCGCCAUCUCGCACGUCAUUGCUUCGUCUUCGCAUGCGUGUCUAGUCCUGCCCUAGUGUGAGCAGGUAUCGUCCAGGUCACCACCACCUCUCAGGAAUAUCAUGCUCCUUGUUGCAUCAUGUGGUGUUGGGCCUCGCGGUUAGCCGUACAUGGCUUCCAAGGUCCCAACAGCCCAUGCACCAUCGGUCCCAGCUUCGUCAUUCGUCGCCUUGUAGCACGCCGCCCCCCUGCAACAGUUGAAUCUUGCCGCCGCAUCAUUGUAGCAUUGGGUGCAUCGCCCGUCACCUCACCGUCGGCACUCGCCACACAAUUGUGUCGUCCGUGACCCUUGCCAUCGUAUCCCCGGUCACCACAUUCAGCCAAUGCCCAUGUAGCAAAAAAGCUAACCGGUUGCAACCAUCAUGGCGCGUCCGUCGCCACCGCCGCAACCCUUUCGUCUUGUUGAAGCAAAAAAUCCACCAGUUCAGCUUUUACCAGCACCCACUAUCUGGGUAUUUUAUUUUGGAAACAAAAUAAUUUCGGACCUCACUGAAAUAUGUGAAAUUUUAGAAAUUUCGCAUAUUUCAGUAAUUAUUUCGAACUUUAAGAUUUCAACUUUCACUUAAUUUUAAAGAAUUCAAACAUAAUUUAUAUUUAUUCUGAAAUCAUUUCAAAUCUUUUUUGAAAUUUCGGUGCUAAAAAUAUUUUGGACCCCACUGAAAUAUGCAAAAUUUCGGAAAUUUCAUGGAAAUUUCGUUGAACGGUUGGGUGAAGCAAAAAUUUCUACUGGUUCUAGCACCAUGCCUUGCCGGUUCCAUCACAUGGUCACGUAAUAACAUCAUUGCCACCGGUCGAUUCCAACAUGCAGUGAUUGUGGUUGUAGCAUCGCCACCAGCUAGUUCCAGCACGUUGUGACCAUGGUUGUAGCUUUCUAGCCGGCUAGUUCCAGACUUCCAACACGCGGUGACCUGUAUUUGUAGCUUUGCAGCCGGUUCAUUCCGGCACGCGGUGACCAUAGUUGUAGCUUUUCCAUCCGCUAGUUUCAGCGUGCAGUGACCAUGGUCUUAGCAGCACGUGGCCGCCAUCGCUCGUCUCUGGUGCUCACCGCUGAAACAACGUCGCAUGUGGCUCAUAGCAUCUCCCCUCGCCAUAGACUUGCAGCAGUGGUGGUGCUUCUCACAGCAGCUGUGGCUGGCUUGCCGCACCGUGGCCCAGUUGCAGCAACCGCACCAUGUGCUCGCAGCCGGUAGCCAGAGCAGAGGGUGGGAGGAAGCCAAGGAGAAGCAAGCGACAAAUCGACAUGAGAAGGUGGCCGUCGAUGGUAGACAAAAUGAGGAACGGGGGUAGCUGCGUUUUAUGUCGCGAGGGGAAGAGAUAAGGACGAGGGGAAAAGAGACGUCAAGGCCCGCACAAACAUGACGUUCUACGUGUUGCACACGCUAGCAACCGAUGAAAUAUUUUGUCGGUCGAUCGUAGGGAAACGUUUUCCAUUUUAGAUGAAAAGAAGGAAGUAGUAAUAAAUUGCCUACUAAAUGUUUGCAGGCUCCUCCACUUUCACUACUAGCACGGCAUCACCCUACUUAACCGCUGUAACCCAAACUAGUAGUAGCCAUAUAUGCACGCUGCAAGAAGCUAGGUUAUUGUGAAACAAACCAGAAAUACGAUGGCGACAGCUUUCUUCUUGCUGCCUGCGCUGCUUUUUGCGGCACUGGCGGCCGCCGCGAAAAGCCUCACCUUGGACUUGGAGAGAGGCUGCCAACGGAGCUGUGGCGGCGUCAACGUCCCCUACCCGUUCGGCAUCGGCACAGGCUGCUUUCGCUUGGGCUUCGAGAUCAAAUGCACCGACAACAUGCCUGUUCUAGGGAACACCAGCGACAACAUAGAGGUGCUGAGCCUGUCCUUGGCCCCGCGGCCGGAGGCCAAGGUGAUGCUGCCGGUGGCGUACCAGUGCUACGACUCCACCGAUUACACCAUCAGCACCUACAACGGGUCGGUAGACUUCAACUCGGCCGGUGUCUACCGCAUCUCCAACACCCGGAACGAGCUCUUCGUCCUCGGCUGCAACACCCUCAUCUACACCAGCAGCGGCCCGAAUGGGCGCUACGCCUACACCUACUACGCGGGGUGCGUCGCCUACGCCAAUGACACCCACAGCGCGCAGGACGGAGCCUGCGCCGGAGUCGGCUGCUGCCACGUCGACAUCCCGUCGGGCAUCACGGACAACAGGAUGCGCUUCACCAGCGGUGGCUACUGGUCGCACGCCAACCAGACCUUCUGCCCCUGUGACUACGCUUUCAUCGUGGAGAAAGGCAACUACACGUUCCGGACGGCCAACCUCCGUAUGGAUGGCCGUCGGACCAGCAUGCCGCAGGUGCUGGACUGGGCCAUCCGUGGAAGCAGCAGCGGCAGUUCCCUGUCGUGUGCCGAGGCGGCCACCAUGCCGGAUGAUCACACCUGCGUCAGCAAACACAGCGAGUGCGUCGACUCCACCAAUGGCCCCGGAUAUUUCUGCAACUGCACCCAAGGCUACGAGGGAAACCCGUAUCUUGACAACGGAUGCACGAGUAAGCCUUCUCUUUCUUUCUGCUUGUGACCGUGUGUUUGGAAAGCAAUCGCCUAAUUAUGCUUCUUUUUUUUCGGAUGAAGCUUAAUUAUGCUUUUGUGUAGUAACUGACUGAGAAAUCAAGUACUUGAUGUUUUGGACAUGAUUGUAGUCCAACUUCAAAAACUUUGACUACCAAUAUUUUCUAUUUUCUUGUUAGAUCUGUGAAAAUCGUACUCCCUCCGAUUUCAAAAUAAGUGUUUUGACUUUGGUCCAAAGCUGAACUAAAACCACGACACUUAUUUUGGAUCGGAGGGAGUAGUAGAUUUGGCUCGAUAUAUUUUCACAUUACAACUAUUUGAUGAGCUACUCCCUUCAUUCCACAGUUUGAUGUCCUUACAUCUUUUUUAUUCAUAUUAAGACAAUUUGAUGAGCUACUGCAUAAAAAUUAAUGUGCAACUCUCCAUCAGUACCAUUAACAAUUUGUGAGUCAUAUGACACAACUGUGGCAUCAUUAUGUUCAUAAUUAAAACGACUUUCAAACAUUAUCAUUGUUGUAUCUAAUGCACAAUUAUUAGUCUAAUCGUCUGUAGUUAAAUUAAGCUGAACACUAAAAUUUCAUGCACGUCAUAUGUUGUGGAAUGGUUGAGGACUACGGAUAUAUUGUGUUUGCAUUUAAUGGUCAAAGUUAGAAGGCUGCCAUGCUUUUGAAGACCGGAAAGAAUAACUAGCAUUGCAAAGGGCUCAUAUGAAUUUUUAAGGACAUGCUUGAACCCAGGAGAAUACAUAUACACACGUUCAAAGCAAUAAGAAAUCUUGAGAUAGACGUGUUGCUAUUUAUCUUGCAUAGCUACUACUUCUAUUUCAGUGUGGAGCAUACCUUACAGUUUGUUCACUGAUUAAUGUUGCAGAUAUAAAUGAAUGUGAACGACAAUGGGAAUUCCCUUGCAAUGGUGUAUGCCAUGACACUGAGGGUUCAUAUGAUUGCAAAUGCCAUCCUGGCUAUGAGAGUAGAGGUGAUCCAAAAGAAAUUCCAUGCAAUCCAAAAUUCCCACUUCCAGCAAGAAUUGCUCUAGGUAUGCAUAUUAAUCUUAUAUCGAAAUUAUUUCCUAGCUAUACAUGAUUAAUCCCAUGAUAAUGUUAAAACUAUUUUGGUGUUAAUUACUGCUGAAUUCUUAACUCAUGCAAACUUUGUAUGCACAUAAGUCUAAGUGUUGAUAUUAUCCCCAAACGGUAUAUAUGAAACAAAAGAUCUAUAAAGUAAUUUUACAGCUACUUUGUUGUACGCUGUAUGCACACACAUUAUGAUCUGCAAGGGGUGAUAUAAGAUCAACAGAAAUGUGUGGCUUAACUCUUCUUUUUUUAUUUAGUCAAAAUGGGAGAUCAUAAAAACUUGUUACAAUAACUUUACAUGAUCUACUGCAGGUGUCAGCAUAGGUGUGUUCUUCUUGGUUGUUGUGCUACUCUUGGCAUUCAUAAUGCACCAAAAGAGGAAACUUGCGGUACAUUUUGAAAUGAACGGGGGUAACAUACUUAAAAAGGUCAUAGGCUUGACAAUUUUCACACAGAAGGACCUCAGCAAAAUCACAAAGAAUUAUUCAGAGAUACUGGGUAAUGGAUUCUUUGGUAAAGUUUACAAAGGAACUCUACCUGAUGAAAGUAAAACAGUGGUGGCAGUUAAAUCUUUUAUCAAGGUGGAUGAAGAGAGAAUAGAGGAAUUUACCGAGGAAGUGAUGAUCCAGUUGAAAAUGAACCACCCUAACGUUCUCAAGCUCAUGGGUUGCUGCCUCCAGUUGGAUGUUCCAAUGUUGGUGUACGAGUUUGCUGCCAAUGGGAGCCUCAGAGACAUUGUCCACAUGAACAAAAGGCAAAAACUUUCAGCAGAGUUACGAUUGGACAUUGCAAUUGGGUCUGCCAAAGGAUUGAGUUAUAUGCACUCUCAGGAAAUACGACAUGGUGAUGUGAAACCAGACAACAUACUUCUCAGUGAAAAGUUAAUACCAAAGAUAUCAGAUUUUGGGCUGUCUAAACUGCUUAAACUAAAGGAAAUAAUUGCUAAGAAGGUGGUUGGAUGCGAGGGUUACAUGGAUCCGGUGUUCAGGAACACAGGUGUAUUAACACCAAAGAGUGAUGUCUACAGCUUUGGAGUUGUUCUCCUAGAACUCAUAUCUAGGAAACAAACAGUAUAUGGGCAAAGCGGUAGCCUCAUCAUUGAGUUCCGCCAUAUCUAUCAUACAGAAAAGAGUGGGAGGUCAAUGUUCGAUGACGAGAUUGUAACGGAAGAAGAUAUCUUGAUCCUGGAAGAAAUUGGUAAGCUAGCAAUGAUGUGUCUAAAAGAAAAUCAAGAUGGCCGGCCUGAUAUGACAGAUGUAGCCGAACAACUUGUCAAGCUUAGAGAGAGGAGCAGUUUUAACAUGCUUCCUCCUACCCCCUCUUUUCACAUAAGAGGCAAUAGUAUAUAAUAGAUCUGAGCCAUUGAUCUUAUUAAUUAAUGGUCUGAUUAACUCUUACAUUUUUACCUCUCAUAUAAAAAGAGGAAGCAUGUUAAAAUUUGCCUGGAGAGAAUACUAUAAGAUGUGACAACACUAAGGUGAGGAGAGAGCUACUCAUGUCAUAUUGUCCGUGACACCCAAUGCUUCGAUCUCAGAGAUUUCUAAGCCAAUCCAUUGUCAACCCAAUAUUCCAGGCUGCCGUAUUAAGGUGAACUUAAUUGGAUUGUACCUUGAAUUGAAGCUCUCGGUAUAAAACAGUGUUUGGUUGAUACUCUCUGACUCUGUGUAUAAGUGUCCACUAUACAUGCAGUGUGCCAUCCUCUCUAUGGAUGGAGUAAGUAUAUGUCUGCUGCAAGUACUAUUUUCUUUUGUUGUAUCUCUGAAGCAAGUAUAUGUUGGUGUUUUUGGACUCUUGAUGUGUGCUAAAUAAAAUAUGCCUGCUUGAAGAGGUAAUGCUUGUAUGGCCGAUCAUCAUUAAUUAGCAGAGAUGUACCAGUAGGGAAAAAUUACUAGAGUAACAAAAAAAUCCAUGCGUAAUAAAAUAGGUGUAAUGCAAAUGCAAAAUUUUCAGUGAAACGAAAACUGUCCAUGAACUCGUGGGAGGAAAAAUAAAUAUUAAGAAUGGCGCGGUCAGAGAGGGAGCACACAUACACCCAAUAUUCCUGCAAAAGUAGAGUUAGUAGGAAAUAAUUCUACAACAUGAUGAUCACAGCAGCACAGUUCAUACAUACACAGGUAUCGGUCACUCUGCGCCUAAACGAAUCAGCAGCACAGUUAUCUUCCUCCUACAUAAAUACGUUGUCACAAGAAGCUAGUAUAAUUUUACGAGAAAAAACAGAAGUGUUGGUGAAGUGUAUAACCCUUGUCAGGCCGCGUGGCAUUUAUUUGUAUUCAAACAAGAUACUUCCUCCGUUUCAGUUUAUAAGUCCGGCACGUGUAUCUAGGUCGUCAAUUUGAUCAACUUAAUGAGAGACAUAUAUAUUAUAAAAAAUAUAUCAUUAUAAACUUUAGAUGUUCUAUUUUUUAAUGAUAUAAUUUUUAUAUUAAAUAAUAUAUCUCUCCCUAAUAUAAAAAUGUCCGGCCCAUGCACAGGCGCCUACUUUUAGUUCCGUUUAUUUAUUUAUUUUCAGUUUCGUUUUAUUUUUUUAUUUUAAAAAAAUUAGAACUUCAAAUAAUCUUUACAAUUUUAAUAAACUGAAAAAUAUAAAUCAACAUAUUUAAAAAAUUAAAAUGUUUGUGACUUCAAAAACUGCUCGGAGUUUUGUAAAAAAUACUCGCAUAUACAAUAAAAGCUUCAUGCGUUUCAAAAAAUGUUUGUAAAUUUAAAAUAAAAUCCUCCAACAUCAAAAAUUAUGUUCGUCUUUUCUUGAAUUGGUCGCCAAUUCAAAAGAAAAUAUUUAAACCCGUUUGAAAUAUAAAAAAUAUUCAUGAUUUUUAAUAAAUGUUUGUGAAUUGUAAAAAUUGUUCUCGAUUUUAAAAUUAUUCCCAUAUUUGUAAAAUUGUUCACGAAAGAUCUAAUGUAUGUAUAUAAGUCUUUGUGACAAUAUACCUGUGUGAAUUUUGAAGAAUUAACUGUUGGAUGGAUCGGGUUAUUAUUGUAUGUUUUCUAAAAAAAAUUCUUGAAAUUCAGAAUAAAUUUUUGAGUUACCAAGAUUUUUGACAACCAUGAUAUAUAUUUUUUGAAAAUGUAAAGAUUGCUUCAAUUUUUGAAUAAAUUUAAAAGAAGAAACAUUUUCUUGCAUCUGUGCACAAAAUUUCUAAAUCAAGCGAUGAUAUGUGAACAUAAUAUGGUCACCAUCAUUGAAGAUUGUGUUUUUUUCUUCCAUGGCAACACACGGGCCAUUUUGCUAGUUUUAUAUAAGUCAAAUUGACGACCUAGGUAUACGUGCAUACCUUAUAAAAUAUAAAUUGUGACGGAGGGAGUAAGAUGAUGGUUACAAGAUUCAUCUCCAAGAUAAACCUUAAAACUUGUUAGAAAUUAAUCCAAGGGAUGUGUUCAACCCCGAACAGUCAUGUCUCCUCUCUCUCUAUUGCCAACAGGCACCUGUUCUGGAGGGAUGCCUCCGAACAGACACCUCUUCUUCACACCUCUUCCAGAUGUAUAUAUACUUAAGAAUCAACAGAAACAGGACUGAUUGUUCAUUCACUUUCAUUCAAUCUCGUUUUACUCUAACACGUUAUCAGCACGAGACAUAAAUGAUAUUGAGCAUACCCAGAAUUGAUUCAAAUUGAUAUCUAACUUUCAUUCUGGGUAUCUAACUUUCAUUCAAAUUGGUUGUCCAUUCACUUUCAUUCUGGGUAUCUAAUUAUCAGCACGAGACAUAAAGGAUAUCUAACUUUCAUUCAAAUUGAUUGUCCAUUCACUUUCAUUCUGGGUAUGUACAUAAAGUAUUAUGUAUAAUCAGACAUUGCUUGUGAAAUGAGUUCACGCAGAGGCCCGACAUCAAAUUAUGAUGUAACAUACUCCUGAUAUGAGUGGAAUUAAGUUUCGAUAAUAAAUAUCAUUGGCAGUACAAAUAAUAUUAUCCAUGUAGUUAAUGGAUGCAGUAACUACAUACUCAUAUGAGUUACUCGUUUUGGAAAUUUAUAACGAAGUCCCUGACGGACUUACAAUUCCAAAUCCAAAAUAAAUCGCAACAUAUUUGUGUGAAAUUUCAAAAGUCACUCUAUGGCUCAAAAUAGUCGGAAAUCAUAUGGUACUACCGACUAAAUGACUUUCUUCUUCCGAAAGAUUACUCAAUGAUGAUUGUUUAUGUGUUAACAAAGGAAUACCAAAUUUGAAUUCCUUAUAUCACCUCAGUAUAUAUCGAUGAUUUCAUCAUCAAUGUCUCUACAAGACCUAAACAUACAUAAAAUCUUCUCAAGAUGGAAAUUUUGGUUUCAACCAAAAUUAGCUUAAGUUUACAACUUAAGCAUUCUCUCAAGAAUACAUAUCAGUCUACAUAUAUCCAAACAUAUAUGAGAAGUUCAAUUUGGAUAUAUCAUAUCAACAAAAUACAUGUAUGGUCAUACUACCUUUGAUAAGGUACAAAUCCAUUCAUACCUAGGAGUGAUAAUGAAGUGAUACUAGGACCUGAAGUUCUAUAUCUCACUAAUGCCACAACACUCAUAUACUUGCAAACUACGUCAGGUCUGACACUAUAUUUGCUAUCUUUAUUCGGAGUGCAACCCCAAACAAAAGGUAUAUGGUUGAUAUAAGUACUAUCAUCUUAUAUCUCAAGAUUAUAGUAAAUCUUGAAUAUUUCCAUCAGGAAAUAGAAGAUAUGACCAUGAUAUGAUGUAAUGAUAUUGGCUCUUUAGUUGAGCCCAACGACGCCAUAUCAAUGACUGAAUUUGCUGCAAUAGCCUUCACAUGGAAGUCAUAUAAAUGGAUUUUAAUGGUUAUUUUCAGUUAUCAUUCUAACAUAAUUGCUUUAUCUAAAGGCAUUCCAAAAUAUGCAUAACUUAGUAGAAUGGUUAACCACACUCAAAAUAAUGUGGUUGAGAUUCAUCAGAAUCACAUAACUUGAUUUAUCAAGAUACUUCCAGUUGUGUUACUCAAUACCUAUAGGUUAUAUGAAGAGCAAUAUCAUAAAUCACAUUGCUCGGAAAUUACUUAUCAUCACGGAUUAUAGAGAAGUGAGAAAAUAAUUUGCAAACAAAAUACUGUUAUAAUCCAACAGAUUAUACACAAUCUCAUGUUCACGUCAAUGGAAUUGGUAUGAGACGUCCUUCAUAUUUGCAAAGUUCAGGGGGAGUGAUCUCCCAAAACUAUAAUCUAUUAACAAUCAUCAGAUUGCAUAUAUUGUACUAUUUUUCCCUUGAUGAGUUUUUCCCUAAUGGUUUCUCAGAAAGGUUUUUAACGAGACAAUAUAAACACAAGUGUCUUUAUAUGCCAUAUCAUUUUCUCCUUGUAUUUUUUCCACUGGGUUUUAAAGGAGUUUUCAAUGGCAUGUACGAUUGCACUCUUUUCCCUUAUGAGUUUUCUCUCAAGUUUCUCACGAUGGUUUUUAGUGAGGCAAUAUCUUCUCAAAGAUCAUAUGUCAUACUUUCUAUUUUCCCUACCGGGGUUUUUAAAGGAAGUACUCAAGACAUAUUAAUUGUUCUCUAAACUUAUCAAUGAGUUUUCUCCUUCUUCAAAGGUUUUCUCAUAUGAGUUAUCAAGAGACAAUGAUCAUCAUAUGUUGCAUCAUUUUCUCCUUAUUUUUCCCAUUGGGUUUUAAGGAGUUUUAGCAACAUAUCUACUUUAUUAUCCUCAUAUUUUUUCCACAGGGUUUUUGGGGGAGACUCUCAAGAUUAUCUGAAAGAUUUCUCAAGAUGGAAGAUCUAUAUGCAAGAAGCUUCCAAUGAUGAAACAUUCAAGGAGCGGUGUAGUACAAGGGGGAGUGUUAGAAAUUACUCCAAGGGAUGUGUCCAACCCCGAACAGUCGUGUCUCCUCUCUCUCUAUUGCCAACAUGCACCUGUUCUGGAGGGAUGCCUCCGAACAGACACCUCUUCUUCACACCUCUUUCAGAUGUAUAUAUACUUAAGAAUCAAUAGAAACAGGACUGGUUGUCCAUUCACUUUCAUUCAAUCUCGUUUUACUCUUAACAAAACUAAACCGGACAAAACAUCCGUCGGCUGGUUUGUCUCCCGUCGAUGCCGAUUUUGACCGGGGUGGGGCCUACUUGUCAGGUUGGACUGUUAAAUGCGGCCGUGCAUGUGGCGCGCGUGUGCGAUAGACAUGCGCCGUCGGAUGUCAGUUGGCGGCGGCAUGUCGCUCGCCGACGCCGCCGAGCCCCUCCCCUUCCGCAUCGACGCGUCGCCGCCGCUCUUGAGCAUGCUGUACUUGAGCAGCGGGUCCUCGCCGGCAGCGGCGCGGCCUUCCGACGCGCUGCAGAAUAGGAACAGGUCCUUGAGUCGUGACUUUCAGUUGCGCGGCUGCUCCGCAAGGGAAGGGAGGGGAGGAGCAGAACUCGUCGUCCAUGGGGUCGCCCCUGUACGAGGAUAGAGACCACGUGGCCCUCCUGCUCCAAGAAGACAGGCCCGACGAGGAUGACGCAGGGGCUGGUCGGCCGGACCUGCCCCUCAUCUGGCCCUGAUCGGUCGACACCUCUGCCCGAUCCCCAGCCGCACCGACGCGCACCGCAGACAUCGUCCUCGCUCUUCUCGGCGACCAGGGGGAGACGAAGACGGAGGCGUAGGCGUAGUCCUCGUCGGCAGCCAGGCUGCCGAUCGAGCGCGGGCCGUUGAGCGGGCGGAUCCUUCCGCCCUCGAACAGCUCGUCAGCGGCGGCGAGGAUGGACCUAUGUUACAUGGUACGGGGAUACGGAUACGACGAUACGGGAAAACGACAUUUUCUGAAAACAGACUUACGGGGAUACAGUGAGUAUAUGUAUAAAUGCUUAAAAAGAUCAGCACCAAAAAACUUUUUUGUUAGAGGAUGAAAACAUUGACAUAUAUGAAGUAACUGAUCAGUGAUCUAAUGAAGUUGCUGCCUUUCUAUGUGAGACGAGCUAAGCUGUGAGGUGUUGGUGGCGGUGCCAUAAGGCCGUAAGAGAGUAUGAAAAUGCGCUGAAACUAGUCCUCGCGAUUUGGCAACUAAAGAUAACGACGAGAGGAAGGAUUCUCCAACGAUUAGGUCUAUUAUUAUCCACUAGGACAAUGCCCGUGCGUUGCUACGAUGGCACAUAUAUUCUCCCAACUCCCUAAUCUGUGUGAUGAAUAGGUUUCUGAAUUCAUGAUACCUUGGAAAAUGAAUGCUAGAAAUUUUGAUUCUGUCAUAACCCUUCAACAGUUGUGUACUACUUAGAUUCAGGACACAACCAGUAACUAUCUUUGAGAUGCAUCAUACUUUUAGAAAGUAAUUUGAAACUUCAUAUAAUACAUAUUUUUUGAAACUUUGGAACUUGAUUGCAGGGCAAAGCUUAUAUAGACAUACUUAACCAUCCACAUAACAAGUAGGGGAUGCAUAGAAAAACAAUACAGAAAUCACUUUACAAAUUUGUCUUACAAGCUUAUGUACACAUGAAACUGCAAUGGUUAAGCUUCUGCAAUGAAAACACGUCUUAAAAGACAUUAAUGGACUAAUGACUAUUAUUAAACAUUGAACAUAAAACAUUGAAUGUGUUGGCAUGAAAAUAACUGAAAAUCAUUAUGCCCCCAUAUCGCAGGAUCACAAAAGCGAGGAUCAUACUGCUGUGAUGUCAAUUUCUGAAAUAACACUCAUGAAUUAUGAUGUUUAUUAAUAGAGCUUGUAAAGUAUUACUUCUCAUAAUGAUGGCCAAAAAUAGUUAUGUACCAGUAGGAAGCAACCUUAUAUAUGUCCACACUCGUUAAUAAUCUCAGGCCAUGAUUGCAUCAGGAUUCGACUGUUUUCGAUCUGCUACACGGAUCAAUUUGUUGGAAUAAUAACCAAAAUAUCAAACUACUAGAUGAGAUUAUUUUCAGUCUGUAAGACAGAUCAUUUGUCUCCCAAUAAUCACAAAGCUAUCAAACUACUGGAUGGAAUGAACGACGGAAAAUAUCUAGCAAGAGCUAUUCGAUUGAAACUAUCGGCAUGCAGAAGUACAACUUUCAGGAUUGGUAAUAAAUCAAAUGAUCUAGACGCAUGCCAAGCAAUGUGAAAAUAAAUGUAUUUUGCAUAAACAUUUCCGGGCUACCAGUGCGUCCCGGUAAGGAUUUUUAUCCUAGAUUUUCAUUGAAAUUGAUCAUGCAGUCCCCGGCCAGGGAAAAUGCAGCACUGAUAGUUGUUUUCUAUAUCUACUAUCAUUGAAAAGUUGUUCAGUCUGCAGCUUACCAAGCACAUGAACUGUACAGAAUCGGUGUUGCAUUUUUCAGCCCAAGCGAGCUCCCAUCGUCAUGCUACGGCAUCACGGCCACCUCCUUGUGGUCGUUGGCCGGGUACGACGGCUCCUCCGACGUCUCGGUCUUCGACCGCCGCUCGUCCCCGGCAGCCGCCUCUUCUUGCCGGACGAUGUGGUUCCACCUGUCCUGGAGGAGGUAGACGAGCGCCACGACGGAGAUCUCGGCGGUGAGAAGCGUCGUCCAGAGCCCGACGCUCCUGCCGGUCCUCUCCCGGUACGUGUGCAGGCCGAUGUAGACGUUGGCCACCCCGACCGCGCACACGGCCACCCCCAGCAGCCAGUGAGAAGGAAAUUUUCGGGCCGUGAAAUCGUCAACCUCGGCAGCUACUUUAGUGGCAUGAAGGAGCUCCCAUUCUCAUUCUAUGACCUGCUGAACCUGUGUUUUUUUUUUAUCCGACAGUGUCCAGCAUUAUCCUGCAAUUCCGCUGCUCCCGUCUCGCCCGCUCGCCGAGUCGGCCUCCAUUGUGGCCGCCGCUCCCGCCUCGCCCAACGCCUCUUUGUCGUGCACCUCCACGCCUUGAGCCGGCCUCGCUCCAUCCCAGCUCCACCUCGGCGUCUUACCUCGCCUUGCGCGUGUGUAUGCCUCAAGUAACCUCCAUGCGCUGCCCUGCAACCCCGCCGGGUUAAGCCGCCGCUGGCGCCUCGCCAUCUCUGCCAGCCAUCGCUUCGCUCCACCUCCACUCGCCGCUGAGUCGCCGUCGCUUCAGUCCGCCUCCAUCUCCACUCGCCGCUGAGCCGCCGUCGCUUCGCUCCGCCUCCACAUCCGGCCUCGUGUCGAGCCGAACUACCUCCGCAGCCACGGCCUUGCCGCGCUCGCCUUGAGGGUUGAGACGCCUCACUGUGCUGGGCCGGAGGAAGCCGAUGAGCGGCUGGAGCCAGAAGAGGCCGUAGAGGGCGAGCCCGAUCUAGAUCCGAUCCAGGGCGCGACGGGGCGGAGGUGCUCGGCGAGCAGGCGGCUGCGGCGUUCGGAGGGACUGGCAGGCGAGGCGCGGGCGGGGGCGGGUGCUGGCGCGAGCUGCGGCAGCGCGAGGCGGCGACGCAAGGAGAGGCAGGGAGAGCGGGGAGGCGCAGGAGGCAGGGUGGCGCGGCUGCUCGCAGGGGCGGCGCUCUGGAUCUGGCGGAGCUCCGGAGGAGGCAUGGCUGGGGGCGACGGCUUCGGCAGCUCGCCGGCGUGGAUCAGGGACGGCGACCGGCGGGAGGAACGGGGCGGCGGCGCGGGGAGCAGAUCAGGGGCUGCUCGUGGGUGCGGGAGAUGAAGGCGGCUGGGGGGAUCGCGGGUUUAAUUAUAGAAUAGUACAAGGGCGUUUUCGCAAAAACGCUGCGACGUACGGCAGAAGGCGUCGGUGCUUUAUUAGUAGGGACAGAUAGAGUAGGCCUUCUGAUGGGCUGCAGAUCGAGUGUUAACAGGCCCUUACGUAUCCCUGAUGAUGUAUCCCUACGUGUCCCAGCCGUAUCCGCGCGUAUCCCCGUCUUGGUGCAGUAUCCUGCACCGAUACGCCACUUCUGUGACGUAUCCCUGCAACAUAGGAUGGACGUGGACUCCCUGAGCUACCCGCUGAACCCGAACGCGAAGUCGAACGUGGCGGCGUCGCCCUGCUCUUCGGCGGCGUAGCUGCUCGCCCUGGACGGGCUCGUGGGGGCGUUGGAGAAGAAAUAGCAGUAGCUGGGUAGAGGGCUGCCGCCGCUGCCCAUGGCAGCCACGGUUUUGGGCUGCACGGCUGCACGGAGCGCUUGGAUAAGAUCCAUUUCUGUUCCAGAUCGAAACGGAAAUGACCGCGUUUAACAGUCCAACCUGACAAGUAGGCCCCAUCCCGGUCAAAGCCGUCAUUGACUGUGCCACAUCAGCAUUGACCGGAGAAAAACCAGCCGAGGCGGUGUUUUGUCUGGUUAGGUUUUGUUCGGGGGCUAGAAGGAACCAAAAAAUAGAUCAGGGGGUAAAGUGAACCACGCACUUUGUUCAGGGGAGUAAAAUGGACUUUUUUCAAACAUAUACAUGAUCACACUUUAAACUGAAGAUAACAACAAACAGAUACGGGAGAGAGAUUACAAGAUGUCCAGCCAUCUAGCCAUUAGCAGAGGCUUAAUACAUGAAAGCACAGCACAAAAUAUACUAGAUAAAAGCCGACACUUACAAUACUUCAGAAGCAACAACUGCAGCAGACGGAUAAGCUCUCCUGCAGGACAGCAAGCUUGCACCUGGAAACAGACUUCGAAAUUCAGAUCAAGUCCUCAGAGCUCUUGCCAACUUAAUAAACCAUUUGCCGAUUUGACCCCAUGUCAUGAGAAUGGCAGCUGCAAAUCCAACACCCAAGCCUAGCCCGACGAAGAGAAACAGGAUGACGUCCACAUCAGAUGACUUCUCCACGAGUGCCAUGCUUGGAGGAGUAAAAUAAACGCUGCAGGGUUUGGAGAAUGGCGGUCCACACAACCCCAAAUUCCCUUCGAAUGAAUUACUUUCAAAUGUGAGGAACUGGCGUGACUGCGGUAUCUUCCCCACCAACCGGUUGUCGGACAAGUUCAGAUUGGCCAGAAAGGUGAGAUUUGUGAGUUCCUGUGGAAUCUCCCCAGAAAGUUGGUUGCAAGACAGGUCUAGUGACUCCAUAUUAGUCACCCUACCAAGCUGGGUUGGAAUUUUUCCCGUGAAUCCAUUGUGUGACAUGUUCAGUACACGUAGUGAAACAAGUCGUCCAACUGACUCAGGAAUAUUACCUUCCAAUCUAUUAUUUGAAAGAUCAAUUGUUGUUAAAGUGGUCAGGAUCCUUCCAAAUGUCACGUCAGACCCCUUGUAACUGAUCUCGGUAGAAUCUUGGUAGUAUUCCACCAUACCUUCUAAGUUUGUAGCACGGACAGUAUCUCCAGAACCAUUGAAGUUGGUCAUCAUUGAUUUCAACUGACCAAACCAUUCUGAAUUCAUUUUGCCGGAGAAGUUGUUCAAGGAAAGAUCAAGAAUUUGCAAGCUAGAGAAGUACCCUCCAGAUUGGUGGUUCCAAAUAACAUUAUCUAUGGAACCAUAGAAUUGGUUAGAUCUUAAGAUAAGAACAUAUAGAUUGGAAAGCUCCCCUAGCCAGGAUGGGAAAGUAUCAACUAUUCGAUUGUUUCCAAUGUCAAGAACCUCCAAAUAACUGCAGUUAGCAAGUCCCCUCGGAAGUUGUCCUUCAAUAUUGUUGUCAUGUAAAUCUAUUGUCUGGAAAGCGCAUUUGCUUGUAAUAUUGGAUGACAACGUCCCUUCAAAGUGAUUCUCUCUCAAAUUUAAUACGGCCCCUUCAGCAUUUUCUAUCAAACAGGACGGAAUCGCCCCCCUAAAGUUGUUAUAUGAUAGGUCAAGGACAUUCAACAUGGAAUCGCAAAUUGUUUCUGGUAUAUAUCCAUUUAUACUAUUGUUGGACAUACUGAGAUAGUUGGUGUGACUGAGAUAUAGAGUGAAGUUUGGAAGAACAGAAGAGAAAAAGUUGUGUGAAUAAUCCAAAUAUUCUGAUGAUGAGUUUGGAAUAGGAAGUUUUCCUCGAAGCCUAUUAGAACUAAGAUCAAAUACUUCCAGGUAAUCACUGAAUGGAAGAAUAUAUGAAGUAUGUUGCAUACCGGUGAACAUGUUGUGUGAAAGAUUUAGUUGUAAAAGGCUAUUGCUCCAUCUCUCCCAUAUCAAAUUUGGUAUAUCCCCAGUGAUUUUGUUGCAAGAAAGGUCUAGAUAAACCAUUCUGUCAACAUGUGUCAAAAAACUAGGAAAUUUGGUUAUAUUGCAACAUGCUAGUCCCAAUUCGUCCAGUCCAAACAGAGAGGUAGACAGAGGGUUAUUGCCUUCGUCAAUUGUAACAGACAACUUAUUAUGUGAAAGAUCCAAAGCGGUGAGCUUUCGUAACCUCCCAAAUGAUGAAAGAUCCACUGAAUCUACAAAGUUGUUCAAGUUGAUUUCUAGACCAGACAACUCUGAAAGCUGAAAGAAUGACUUGGGAAAUUGUCCUGCCAAUAAAUUUCUGCUCAAAACCACGAACUGUAAGCAUGAAGAGGGUGCGUCGAACUCUCCUAUAGGACCAGAAAGUUGGUUUUGACCAAGAUUCAAGUAGGAUAAUUUUGGAAGAGCGAAAAGUGGUGCCGGAAUAUGACCUGUAGAAUGAGGGGAGGUUAUUAUUCUCCAUGUGCACUUCGAAUAUGGGGUAUAUAUACACAACCGAGAGCUCAUGAAAACAAUAAUAAAAAAUUGGCAAGCUUCUGUUUAUCAAUGAAAUCUUAUCAUCCAAAUUUAAAAAUUGGUCUGGCCAUCUGCCAUUGUACCACCUUGACACAUUAAAAACAUGUGACGGGCCAUGAGGUAUCCUGUGGUUUCGAGUCAUAAACACAUAAACUAACAAAAAUUGUUCCCCUCACUACCACUAUGACACACUACCCACUACUUCCACCCAGAUAUGCAGAUUUUCCUUAGUCAUUCAUUUUCUUGUGUCUAACCUUAUUCCCUUUCAGUAUGAGGUGGCUUCUUGAGAAUGUCAAAAAUAAUAAAGCGAUAAUUUGAAUUUCAUACUAUAAUCUUACCGCUCAUAUGAUUAUGAAAGAGAUCCAGUUUUGUCAGUCGAGUUAAAUUGAGAAGUGAACCUGGUAUCCUCCCAGAAAUGUUCCCGACUUCAAUAGUUAGCUGUGUCAAUUCCUUGAGUUGCCCAAUUGCAUAAGGUAUUGGCCCAGAAAGCUUACUAAACGAAAUAACCAUGCUUUUCAAAUUAGUGAGGUUCCCAACUGCAGAUGGUAAGGCCCCAGUAAAGUCACAACUGUAGAUUGCCAAUCUUCUUAAGUUUCUGAGAUAGCCAAUUGCAGCUGGAAUUGCUCCGCAAUAAUCACAAUUCACCAUAAACAAGCUUCUUAAAUUUGUGAGGUUGCCUAUUGAGGAUGUAACUGAACCAUGCAAUUUGCAGUCGUGCAUACCAGAUAUUUCCAACUUUUGCAAGUUAAUGAGAUUGCCAAUUUCAGACAGUAUGGGCCUAGGGAGGUUGCAAUCAAACAUCCUCAAGCUUCGCAACGCCUUCAGGUUGCCAAUGGAGGAAGGCGUUGUCCAAGAGAAGUCGCACCUAUAGAUAUCCAAGCUCGCCAAGUUUCUGAGGUCUCCAAUCCAUGAAAAAAUCGGUCCCAAAUCAUUUUGUGAGUCCAUCAAAUUAACUUUCAACUGGCAUAAAGACCCAAGUACACCGAAUGAAGAGAGAAAAUCCAUCGACAGAAAUUUCCCGUCAAUAGUUAACUCCCUCAACAGCUUCAAAUCGCCAGAAGAACUUGGUUUAGCAUAGGAGAAGUUGGUCCCCUCUAGCCUCAGAGUAUGUAGAGAACUUGCAUGGGGAAAGUUUGGCAAAUGCCCCGAGAGAUUCGGGUUUGAGGACAAAUCUAGGACCCUUAAUUUUUUUAGUUGAAAAAAUCUUUGAGGGAACCAACCCUGAAGAUUCAUAUGUGAAAGCUGAAGCUCACUUAGAUUGGGAAAAUCUGCAAAGAACUCUGGAAUCGGACCAACAUCAUUGGAUCCAAGGUUGAUCGCAACAAGAGAUUGGAGGCUUGAGAGAGAAUGAUGGAUAGGGCCAUUCAGCCCGCAUCCGCUCAAGCUAAGAACCUGAAGAUUAGGAACAUAUUUUGCUAGAGCUUUGCCCCAAUCUUCACCGCUGCUAGACAUUAUCUGCAAUUUAUCAAGGUAGAGCUCUCUUAAAUUGUUGAGGUUCCCUACUAGGGUCUCAAAAUUGGGCUCCCAAAGAUGAUUAAAACUGUCAGCUGUAGAGAUAGGAUCAUCGUCACUGAAAACUGUGUGACUUGAAAGAUCCAAGGAGACAAGGUUAACGAGUUUGCUGAUGCCAAUAGGUAUAGGGCCAUCCAAGCCCGAAUUGGAGAGGUUGAGAUGGGUUAGCGAACUAAGCCUCUCAAAUUUCUGAUGCCAAUAGAUGUUGUAACUGUAGUCCCCCAAAGAGUUCAUGCUAAGAUCAAGGCGUUGAAGGGAUCUGAGGCUGAAGAGCGCAGGGUCCAAGCCAUAACUGUUCAAGCCAUGCCCACUGAGGUCGAGUACAGUCACAAGACCAGAAGAAGCAUCACAGCUAAUGCCCUUCCAGAUACAGCAAUUGGUGCCGUUUUCCCAUGACGGAAGGAGAGUGGCGGUGAUUGCUGCAGCAGAAAAGGAUUGCUUCAGUUGGAGAAGGGCUGCAGCCUGGUCUUGAUGGCACCACAGGGUGAGGUUACCAUUACUGUGAGCUCUGGAGGUGGCCAGUAUGGGGAGUUGUACAAGAAAGAGUAGUAGCGCCCAGUGAAUGGAAGCCAUUAGUCUAACACGGUACUGAACCUACAGCAUGAGCUCAGAUGUCCAAAUGGACGUAAGUAUAUGUAGUGGUACUGCAAUAAGACAACAAUCAGUGCAAUGAUCCAAAAUAAUUAGUGCGAUGACAUAUCUUGUUAUGGAUAUUAACUCAAGUUUUUAGCCCGGUCUUCCUAAAGUCGUCCACUUAAUGCAACGGGCCUGGGAAAGCUCCAGUCAAUGCAAGCACGAGUCUUGCUGCGUGCAAGACGGGUUAAACGUAACUGUGACUCUUGUAGAAUUUUCCACUAGACAGGGACCAGAGGUGACCUCAGAGCCAUAUAUUUGACCUUUUCUGGUUUGGAGGAUGGAUCUUGUUUCACUGUCAGAGUUGCACUCUAUUGGGAUUUGAGGGUACCAUCGACCAUGACCAUCUAGUGUUGCAGGUUAAUUGCAGCACCAGCACGCAACUGCGAGUGAAAAUAUCGUUGAUGAAUGAUAACAAUAUUCAGUGAUGAAGAAAGCUCCAGACUUAUAUUUUGGUGUGCCACAGGUCAUAUGGGAAUAGUUACUCUUGAGUCUUCAUACGCUUAUCACUAGCCACACACAAUAUAUGCGCCAUCAGAUGAUUAAUUGUGGAGACUGAUAGUUUGACCGUUUCCAAGUCAAGUAGGCACCAUCAGAUAGUUAAUGGUGGCCAAAUGACCUGCUACCAAGUUUGUUCCAGCUAAUGGUUAUCUUUUAUAACAGCUUCCAUUGUCUUAAAAGAAAAUUAAGUAGGCAACUAUAUACAAGUACCAAGGAGGUGAACUUAACAAAAUCUGAACUUGCAGGUUACAAGCCAUGAAUUGAGCCAGGCUUAGUUCCUCAGUAUAUCUCUAGCUAAGCUAAUUCAUCUUCAACUCGAAGUUGAGUGGACUCUAUAGACUGCAUGUAUUUCUCAGAAAUUUUACAGCAGUAAGAACAGAAAACUCACCAUGGUACCUUAUGACGCUAACCAGCUAUUUCUAGACAUUUCAGAAAGACUUCUCCAAAUCUCGUUGACUCUCCGUCAGAUUUUCUGUUCAGGUACGCAACUGCCUCCCGAGCGCUCUUGGAUUUCUUUGCGCAAAGAUCAUAUGAACUAACAGGAUCAGAGGAUUCUUCUCUUGAGUUGGAGGCUGCAGUGUGUGUGCUAAUAUCUGGCAAAUAAACUGCAGCCUGCACGCCACUAUCAGUACAUUGUUAUUUCCAAGUAUCUUUUGCGGACGAAAGAAAACUUAUAACAAUACAUUUCUAGGGUUACUGAAUUGGGGGGAAACAAGGGCACCAAAACUUGUGAGCUCCAACUAUGUUGAAUAAACAGGCACUGUUAGUACCAGAAAUUCAUGAAUUUAUUCAUAAUAGACACACUAUCUCAUUCCUAUUAGCCGCAGAAAAUAAGCAGAACAAAGCAGUAAAUCUACUGGAAAGCUCCAUCUUCCUGCAGUGGAACGAGGAUACUUGCACAAGUCACAAGAAUGCCAUCAGCGGCUAAAGUGGGGCGAACGGGUCGACGGGAGGAGGCCUUGGAGGAGGGGCGCAGAGGGGGCCGUCACCGCGCCGAAGGUCGCGGACGCCGGACGGAGAAUGACCCGCGGAAGAGCUCGGCGAGGGCUGCGCUGCGUCCAGCAGCCGCUCGCGAAGGAACCGCUCCAUCGCCGGAGAAGAAUGGGUCGCGCUAGAAGCUGCCGUCGCUGGCGUGUCAGCGGGACUGGACGGCGGGGUGGCCGUGGUGCUCCGGUAACCGGUGACGGUGGCGGCCGCCGCGAGCAAAUUGGUUGGGGUUUCCGAACAAGGUUGGACGGUAUGGGCCACAGUGGGCUUGGGCUUGGGCUAGUCCACAUGAAAAAUAAAAGCUAAUGGGCUAAUGGUACACAGUGCCAGUGAGUUUUAAGAAGAAGAAAACUCGGCCACUGCCAAGUCAUUUUAAGGUCAUGUAAACCCCUGUACCCCUUUAGAGCAUCUCCAACAGGCGCGCUUCGCGUCGCGUCUAAAAAACAAGUUUGCCGCACGCUGGUCGCCUGGUUUGGCGCGUCGCGCAGCGCUGGCUCCAGCGGUAGCUUUAAAAUACAGCGCGCGCGCUCCGUUCCAGCAGCGCGCAAAAAUGCAGCUCGACGCGGAAUUUUUUUCACCUUGGGGGCGUUUCGUCGAACACGUGGUGCGCGUCGGCCGCCGGCUCAACGAGUGAGCUCGCCGGCGCUUCGGUAGACUCCGCGCCCGUCCGCCGCCCUGCAACCUUCUUCUUUGCCUUCGAGCUGCCGGAGCCGUCCGUCGCCUUCUUCUUCGCGGAUGUUUUUCCUUUCUUUGGCUCCGACGCAUUGGGGAGUUUUGACGGUGCGACGGCGGCACGGGACAGCGCCGGCGCGACGCCACCCGUCGGCGUGGUCAUCCGCGGCGGCAAGAAGAGGCUGCGCGCGAGGCCGACGGUCAGCGGAGCUCCGGCGGCGGCGCCAGCGCCAACGCCCGCCGCGCUAGGGUUUUCGGCGGCGGCGCCAGCGCCAACGCCCGCCGCGCUAGGGUUUUUGGUGGCUGCACAGCGGGGUCAACGGGGUGCCGGUGUGCGCGUCCAUGGAGGCAGGGGCGCUGGCGCCGGCGCGCGCAGGAGCAAAGGAGGAAGAAAAGGGGCGAGUUCGCUCGCGCGCUCGAGUCUGCCGCGCGCGGAAGUGGACGCCCGAAAUACACAGCGCGGGAUGAGGCUAUGGACAGCGCGUCCAACUCGUUUUAGCGCGCGCGCGGUUUUUGCGCGCCCGCUGAAGCUGUCCGCCGCGUUGCGCGCGUGCUAUAAUUGCCUUUUUUGCGGCGCGGCGCUAGUAUAGCGCGGCUGUUGGAGAUGCUCUUAUACAACUACAAAUUCAAUCAACUUAUUAUGACACUGCCUUAGUCAUUUUAAGGUCAUGUAAACCCCUGUACCCCUUUACAAUGGCUUCUUGAAUCAUUGUCCUAGUAAAGGUCUGUGUGAUUGAUACCUGGUUUGUCGAGGCUCGUGCCAGUUGAUUCCUGCCUUCCUGGGCUGAGUGGGCUGGGGCAUGUGAAAUUUGUGUUUAGAAUUUGUACAUUUCUCUUAUACUGGACAGGUUUACUCAAAAGCGAGGAGCAAAACGUCUUCGGAGCCAAAGUGAGACACUGAUGAGCGAGGCUACCAUUCUUGGUCUCUCAUGGGCGUCACUUCUGUAGCAUCGAGGGCAUCUUGUAUUCCUGGGACUUGCAAGGAUCCUAGUACAAACCACGUACACACCGACAUACGAUAAAACUGAACAAAUAGUAGAACGGUAGCUUUCGCAAAAAAAAAAAAAAGUCAGGAAAUAAAAUUACAAACAAACCGAAGGAACCUCUGAGCUUGGCACCAACGCCCGCACCUGCCUCUGACACCACCACAAUAGCCAUAGAAGAAAAGAAAAAUGACAUGGAUUGAACAUGUAUAAAUGACAUGGUUGUAUUUGUCUUGCAAAACAAUUUUAUUUAAUGCCCUGACCAACGAUGAUUUAGGGGUUAAUCUCAGCAACAAAGAAACACUAGCCGAGCUAACUGAUGGUUCAAAUUUCAAAAGGCACACAAGGUCUGUGCUCUGUCUUCGUCAUAAGUUUCUAUGCUCACAGCAAAAAAAAAAAGGCAAAGCUGAUGAUUUGCCUCCAGAUAGCCUGCAAAUUAUGCAGGACGUUCCUUUCGCGACGUCAACUCCGAGAAAGUACCCGACAAAUCGCUGACGCAUGUUCCUUCAGUUGCCAGACCGCGGGAGUUUGUACAUGAUCCACCAGGCACGGGCUGGCCUUCUCGGAUGCUUGCCCAUUCUGCGCUUUCUCCGAGACAACUCAGCAUGUCAUUCUUCACUGCCCCUCUGUCCAACAGUUCUGGCAUGCCGCCCCUCUUCACAAACAAAUGUUGCUCAAGAUGUGCUCAUCACUUGGUUCUUUGGUCAAACCUAGUAGUUAUCUGUUCGGUCUUCCUCAGAUGUGCUCAUCACUUGGUUCUUUGGUCAAAACCGGUGUUCCAAUGCGGUUCAGCAAUCUCUUCUUUGAGGCUGGAGCUUUUCCCAUCUAGCAACUCUGCUAAGGCUUGUACAGCUGCGGCUUUUUUUUGCUCCUUUUGUAUUUUUUGCUUAUCAGCCCCUGCCUCAGGGCUUUCUUCUCUUCCAUAUAUUGCUAUAAAUAAACAACUUUAAUUAGGUUGAGAAUUGUUCAGGCCAGCCUUUUGCACGACGUAUCUUUAGCGCUGCGUUAAAAUGCAACCGUCAAACUCACAUUAUCGACCACUUUUGACUCUUCAUCGAACAUAUCUUCGGUGACGUUCUCAGUCGUGAGAUCCUGAUUCACCAGUGUGCACCGCACGACGAACUCGUCCUUAUACAUCAUACGAUGCGGUGCCAUCUUCUGUGCUUGAAAUGUUAUGGUGACAUUGAUCUUGGACUGGGGUGGUACAAUUCCUUUGCUCGGCUCUAUGAGGUACUGUACACUUGACGUUUGGACGUAGAAGGCAAUGUAAUCAUCCCUCGGGUUACUUAGUUGAAGUAAGCAUAGUAUCUGCUUGCCUGCCUCGAAAGGGAAAUGCAGCUCCAGCGGAUCUAUGUCAAGCAGCUCCCAAGGGUAAGGGCUUAUCUGCAAGAAAAGAUUGGGGACUCUCAUAAAUACUCGUCUAAGCAAAUAGAACAGACAAGCAAAUGAGCCUAGUAUCUUACCAUGCUAAAUGUAGAUUCAUUAGCAUCAUCGUCGUGCCCACUUGUACAGUCCAAUUCAUCGAGCUGGCGGAUUAUAUCCAAUAUAUAAGGUCGUUCUUUGGGGUCAUGUGACACGCAGCGUGCUGCAAUUUCUAUGCAUCCAGUAACUUGUUGGUAUCCCAAUGGUGGAUACUUGGCUGAUCUAUUCCACCUAUGCCUCCAUCUUCUUAGUACCUAUCAUUUAUAUAAAUGAUUUCUAAUCAUGCUAAAAUAUUCGGCUAAAUAAUAUGCAUACCUUGCGAAAAGCACACAAACUACAAUGGCUCUCAAAUAUCAAAUUUAUACUUCAAACCAAACAAGGACAACAGGACAGUAGCAAACUCAAUGACCCUGUCCUAAAAAAAAUUCCUCAAGGGGCCUAUUUGGUCCACUUGUAACCACAAACUAUAUUUUCAAACUGAAGGACCUACUUAAGAAAAUUGAAGGGGCCAAUUAGUCUUAUUUAAAAUUCAGUAUUUAAAAAUAACUAAAAUCCAGAGUCGGUGGAAACAUGGAAAAUCUGAAAUUCCCAGUUAAAAUUAUUCUUACAUUUUCAAUGUCAGGAUCUUCCUUACGUCCAGUUACAAGAUCUAUAAUUAUAACACCCAGACUAAAUAUGUCUGACUUGAAAGACAACUGGCCGCGGUGCAAGUAUUCCGGAGCACAAUAUCCUCUGCAUGAAAUCGUGCCAGUUGGAUGCAUUAGGGACAAAAACAAGACACUGGGCUCUAAAUAUCUUCCAGAAAUGAUUGGUAUCUACAUGUGUAACUUACAGUGACAUAUGACAUCGUCUAGUAACAGCUUGUGAUAUUCCAUCAAGAUGUUUUGAUAUACCAAAGUCUGUAAUUUUUGGUACCAUGAGAUCAUCCAUCAGUAUAUUGUCAGGUUUAAGAUCCAUGUGAACAAUAUCCUUUUCCUUGUGAAGAUAUUGUAGACCAUCACAAAUUCCCUUUAUAGUUUGAUAACGUAUAUGCCAUUCAAGUCCACUUAAUUCAUCUGCAGGUUGAAAAUAAGUAUUAGGGAAGAUGGAAUCUUUGACCUUUGAUUUAUGCAUGUAAAAAUGGAUAGAUCAGUUCUUUUUGUCCAGUCUGUUUCUUAUCAUUAAUCGACACUUGCAGAAGCAAAAAAGAGGAUGAUCAAAUAAAGAAAAAAAACUGAAUCAUAUGCAACAUUGUUGUACCAGUAAGAUGAUUGCUAAGGCUUCCUUUACUGAUAUACUCAAAACAGAGCAAUCUUUCUCUAAUCUCCGGAUACAAAUACUUCCCACAUUUUCCUGAACCGUCCACUUUAAUGGCAAUAUUCUCUGUAUUAGCACAGUAACCUAGAAACCGUAUUAUAUUUUUGUGCUUGACACUCAUUAGAAAAUUAGUCUCACGAUAAAACAGCUCAUCAUCGAUUGUCUGGCUGUUCAAGAGUUUCUUCACAGCAACAUACCCGUUUUGAAGAACUCCCUGAUUAACUUGUCAUGUUAGCACAACCAUUAGCUCUUAGAUCAAAAUUAGCUCUACUAUGAGAAAAACAAUAUAGAAUGAAGGUUUUUAUAGUUAAAUUUACCUUAUAAACGACUCCAAAUCCACCUUGACCAAUUUUUCGCUCAUCAGCAAAAAUUUUGGUAAUGUCCUGUAACAGUGAUAGUGGUAUACUUAUUGGCUCCGCACUUCCGUCAUGUAUUAUUGGAUCCAGUACAUUAGGUAUCCCACAUUUUAUAUCCGUCCUAAUCAAAACAAGCAUGCGCUUUCUAAAUCAGACCAAUUUGAGUAGUUUGUUUGUAAACUAGAGCAAGUUCCAUUUGAAUCAAAGUAUUUGAACUAGGACAUUUAAGCAGUAAGAUGAAUGUAGAAACUCUAGGGAGUCUAUUAUCAAGAACACAUGGUUCAGCCGAAAAGAAGGUAAACUAUUGUAGGAGUAACAAUUUUGUAGGAAAUACUAUGAUACAAGCCAAAGGCAGAACAAAACUCAACUGCUAGGAAGAGAAGUCUUGUGACUAUAAAUGUUCGUUUAUGAUGGAAAACUGUAUGAGAAGCUCUAAUGGCAUCAAUACAAAAAUAUUUACAGCAGACAUAAAAAGCGGGAAAGAGUCAAGGCUCAGAGAGAAAAGAAGAGGAAAGCCACAUUUUACACGUGGAUCAUAACUGAAACUGCUAACCAAGCAUAAUGUGACUGGAAAUUGACCUGGCAUUAGGGUGCAUUUGCAGAGUUACUAUAAAUCACAUAAUUGCAAUAUAGAACGGAUGUGAGUGCUGGAUACCUGGCUCUGAAAACAUCAUUUGACACUAUACAGUCUGAUGUUGAAGAAUCAUUUGACCCUUCACCCUCAGAUAUCUCUCGAGUCUUCGUAUCAAAAAAAUAGGUCCAACUAGCCUGCAUUAUUUGUUGUGUUCAAUACAUCUUUUGUUAAGAAAGGUUAAAAAAAAAGUGUAUUCCAGUACACCUUAUAGAAUAUAAUGCUUAGAGAUCUUAAAAAAAGCCCAUGGCUCCACCAGCUAAGGGGAAGGUGCCAAGUCGGCAAGAUAAGAAUCCAGAGAUAUGCUUUACACUCUUUAUCUUAGAAAGAUAUGGUUUAGUGUCGACAUUGACAGUUCCUUGAUUUUGUUCCCUUCAGCCUCAAGUCCUUUGGUGUAUAAGCAGGCUAUAUAAUGCCAGGACAUCACCAUGCGUAAACAAGCAGAAAUAACCAAGCACCCUUACUCGCUCCCUCUAAUUUCUCUACAAGGUGUUGCACUUUGGCAGCUACACGACAUGACAAGAUGGGAGAAUAAACCCCUCCCUACUGGCCCCUUCUAUCAACCAUCCCUACAACCUAUAAUCAAAUUCACCAGCCAAAAAUUCCCAAGGUUGUGACUAAUGACAGUAACCCCAUCGAUUAUGUCUUCAAUCGUUCUUGAUCUCAUUCAUGGCAGUGUGACAAUGUUGAAGGUUGAAUUGGUUGUGCCCCACCUUGGGCACCAACCUUUCAGGUGAUGGAAAAGAGAUAGAUUACGGAAAUAUUGAGCAAAGUACCCUUCUAAGCUACGGAGAUCAGUUGUAAUCCUUGCCACUGAGUUUGCAUCAACACUACAAGGCAUGUAGCAUGAAACACCCACACUGCCAUUAUUCUCUUGACAGGAGCAUAAUUAUUUCUGUGAUGGAAAUCAUAAUACCACAUGCUAUAUGAUAAAUAUAGUAAAACACAGUGGAAAAUCAUAAUCAUAAAACCAACAAAUAUUAUAAGCAACUUUUUGGGGCUCCCGAGGACAAUUGUGUGUCUAUGGAUGAGUAGAUGGUUGGAGAUAUUCCUCAGCCCGGGACAGAAGAGAAUGAGACAUUGACCGCACCAUUCACAGAGAAAGAGGUGUUUGAGGCUAUACCACGAAUGAAAAAUAAUAAGGCUCCACGUCCAGAUGGAUUACCGGCUGAGUUCUAUAAAAUAUGUUGGCCCAUUAUUAAAGGUGACUUACUUCCUAUGUUUGAUGAUUUGUUUAAUGGCCACAUGCAGCUUUUUUACCUAAACUUUGGGACAAUUACGUUUUGCCAAAGGAGGGACGGUGCGCAUUGAACAAUUCCGUCCUAUUUGCCUGCUUAAUCUGAGUUUCAAAAUAUUUACGAAGGUAUGGACAAAUAGAUUGACUCAGAUUGCACAUGUGAUGCAGCCUAGUCACAUGGCUUUCGUACCAGGCAGAAACAUACUAGAGGGUGUGGUUAUCCUUAAUGAAACACUUCAUAAAAUUCACUUGAAGAAACUAGAUGGUAUUAUCUUCAAGGUGGAUUUCGAGAAAGCAUAUGAUAAAGUUAAAUGACCGUUCCUUCAACAAGCCUUGCGUAUGAAGGGAUUUGAUGGCUUGUGGAGGAAGCAUGUUCAAUCGUUUGUACCAAAAGGUAGCGUUGGAAUUGAAGUUAAUGAUGAUAUUGGUCAUUAGUUCCAAACGCACAAAGGUCUUCGGCAGGGAGACCCCUUGUCCCCUAUCAUAUUUAAUGUGGUUGCAGACAUGUUGGCAAUUCUCAUAUGAAGGGCUAAAGAGGAAGGCCAGGUAGGAGGACUAGUGGCUUUUUUUGUCUCAACGAGGACAUAUGCGGUAAUGCCCCUCGCGUUGCUCCCGCGGGCGACCGAGAGGGCAACCCUAGCCGCCGGCGCCUUGAUCCCCUGCCUCCCCCUCUCCUCCCUUCGUCGCCGCUGCUGGCGGAGGCGGGGCCUCUUCUCCCCUUUGUGCAGGGACUCGGCACGGGCCGAUGACCUUCGACAGUGUGGCGCAGCGCUGGUUCGGGCGUGGCGGCGCGUGGGCUCGCUCGGCGGCGGCGCUGCGGUACCUUGUCCCAUGCAUGGAGGGCUGGACUUGGGCGGGGCUUCGACCUGUGGGCUGGCGCUCGGCGGUGGCUUGUCCCAGAUCUGGCCGGGUGCGCGCCUGGUGCGGAUCACGUCGGUCGGCAGCCUGAUCUGGAUCCCGUCUGCCGACGGCCUGAUCUGGAUCCAGGCUGCGCGCGGCGAGGGCGGCUACUAGGGUCCGGCUUCGGGAUCUCAGCGUUUGCAGAUGGUCUUCUCGUCGCAGGCGUGCGCCGGUGAUACUCGGGCAGCGGCGGUUCCGGCGGCGGCGCUACCUCGGGCGACGUUGCUCCGGAUGGUGAGGAGGCGGUGGCCCGGCUACUUGGCUGCGGGUUGGCGCGACAGUUGGCGGCGACGCCCUCCCGACCCAGAUCUGGGCCCUUUGGGGCCCCAUCUGGGUCUAGGCGGGCAUAGCUCGGCUCUUCCCGCGAUGACUCCAAUGGCCGAAGGUGUGGCUCGUGCGAUGGGUUGCGAAGGCGGCGAUGCACCCACUGCAGCGCGGCAACGGGAGCUUCACGAGCCAUUAAGACCUCGGUCGGGCUAUCGUGCCUACGGUGCUCCCCUUGCUGCGUCUGGUCGGUGACCGUCAAGAGCCGUGGAGGUUGUCCCCUCGCGUGUGAUUGCUGACUCUGCCGCUCCUGGUUCCUGACUACUUACUCUCAGCCCCGUCGGUCUCGCUUCGAUCUACAUGGUGAGACGGCGGUGGUUUCUCCUAAACCAUGGUGGCGCAUGUUGGUGGGCGGCAAGUUUGGUGGAGCACGACGGAUCGAUCGGGGUGGGGUUGUGUGGCGGACGGGAGAAAUUCUUGUCAAGCGUGGCUGGCACUGACGCGGCGACGCCCGUGGGCGCCGUCGUUCCUUCCUGAAGGGCGUCGGGGAUCCCACUUACUCACGCCCCACUACGUACAAGGGAAACCCUAGGAGCAAUCCGGGCAGCAGCGUCACCAUCGUCGCUUUCCUUCCUGAAGGUGUUGCUUGUUACGCGGUGGUCCAAAGUGUUAGGAGCGCGGUAGAUAUGUUCGGAGGGCGUAGCUGUGCGGGAUCAUCAUCGUUUUCGUCAAUCCGACUUUGAUGUCAUUCUUUUCUUUUAAUUUCUCUUUUAUUUCUUUUGGGCAUACCUGUGUUGUCUGCCCCGGCAGUGGGAUCUUGGUUGUAUCUGAUGGUUGCUAUACAUAUAUAGCGGGGCGAAAGCCUAUUUCGAGAGGUAGGAGGACUAGUUCCACAUCUAAUGGAUGGUGGUGUGUCCAUAUUACAAUACACCGAUGACACUAUUUUGUUUAUGGAACAUGUUUUAGCAAAGGCUAGAAAUAUGAAACUUAUCCUUUGCUUAUUCGAACAGUUGUCGGGUUUGAAAAUUAAUUUUUACAAAAGUGAAUUGUUCUGUUUUGGGAAAGCCAAAGAUGAGCAAGGCGCUUAUAAACAACUGUUCGGUUGUGAAUUGGGAAGACUACCUUUCAGUUACCUAGGCAUAUCUAAUUAACAAACAUAGAGUGGAAGUGUAUUAAGGAUCGGUUUGAAAAAAACUAAGCUGCUGGAGGGUAAACUUUUGUCUUAUGGAGGAAGGCUAAUAUUGAUUAAUUAGGUUCUUACGAGUAUGUCUAUGUUCCUUAUGUCCUUCUUUGAGAUACCGGUAGGGAUACGCAAAAAGGUUGGACUUUUAUCGAUCCCGCUUCUUUUAGCGGAGUGAUGAAGUUAAGAAAAAGUACAGACUCAUUAGAUGGGAUAUUAUUUGUAGGCCCAAGGACCAGGGAGGUCUAGGAAUUGAGAAUUUAGAGGUAAAAAACAGAUGUCUGCUCAAUAAAUGGUUGUUCAGACUAUCUGUGAAGACAGAAGUCAUAUGGGUACACAUUUUACGAAAAGUAUUUACAAUCUAAGACCUUGGCCCAAGUCAGAGUCAGACCCAAUGAUUCUCCCUUUUGAAAAGGUUUGAUGAGAAUGAAAUCAUCUUUUUUUAUAGAACUAAAUUUAUUAUUGAAAAUGGUGAGUCGACGAGAUUCUGGGAGGAUACGUGAUUGGGGAGAUGCCUCUAUACAUCUCUCUAUAAUAUUGUGCAACAUAAGGAGGCGUACUUUGCCAUAAUUCUACAGUCUAAUCCUCUAAAUAUUCAAUUCCGACGAGCGUUGGUGGGUCAUUGCUGGGAAGCUUGGUUACACUUAGUCAGAAGACUCAUCGAUGUAUAGUUACCGAACGAGUCUGAUAGGCUUCAUUAGAAGCUAACCUCAAAUGGCAUCUUCUCAGUGAAAUCGAUGUAUUUAAACCUUAUUGAUACUGGACUAUCCCCAACUCGAUUCAUAUUUGAAAGGUCAAAGUACCCUUACGAAUCAAAGUCUUCAUGUGAUUUGUUCACAAGGAGGUGAUUCUUACUAAGGAUAAUUUGGCAAAGCGUAAUUGGGAGGGAAGUAAACGAUGUAGCUUUUGUGACCAUGAUGAAACUAUCAAACACUUUUUUCUCCAAUAUCUGUUAGCAAAAAAAAUUGUGGCAAACAAUUUGUAUAGCCUUUAAUAUCAUUCCUCCGGAUAGCAUUGACACGUUGUUUGGGAUGUGGCUAAAUGGAGUUGACAUAAUCACUGCGAGCCACGUUCGUAUAGGAGUAUGUGCUUUACUUUGGGUUAUAUGAAACUGUAGGAAUGACAUGGCUUUUAACAGACAAACAUGUAUAAACUUUUUUGUAGCUACUUUACAGGUCAUCAGCGUUGAUCCGUAUAUGGUCGUUACUCACUCCUGUAAAAACCAAGAAACCUUUGGUUACUGGGUCUCCCCGAUGAGAGAUGCUAACUCGGAAUAUCUACAACCGGUUUGGAUGGCGAUCCAAUAAUAGAAUAGAUGGUUAGGCAUCGAGUCCUAUAUUCGCCGGUUGUGGCAUUUGUUUCUUAUGGAUUAAUUUACAGCUCCUUACGAGCUUCUUCGGAACCGCACACUAUUUUAGUGCUUUAUUAAUAAAGGGGUUGCAUGCAUCGUAUUGAUGCAGAGGCUGAAGGUGAUCCUUCUUUUCUAAAAAAACUGCUUAUAUCUAAAGUAUGGUGGCAUUUGCAAUGAGACUUGGGAUAGACGAAAACCUCCGGAUGUUGCACACCAUUAUUUUUAGGAUCAACCAGCUGCAUAUUGUUAGGAGCAGACACUUCUCUGUUCUCCUCAAUUAGGUGGUGCAUUUCCAAAACCUGUGUAACAUACAAAAUUAAAAAUAUGUUAUUUUACAUUGAACAAAUAAAUCAAAGACAGUACCUCCCAUGUUGUAAGAUGUUGAAGAAUCAUUCGAACCUUCAGCAUCAGAUAUCUCGUCUUGAGUGUCCAUAUUAAAAAAACUAGUCCAUAUGUUCUUGCAUUAACUAUUGUGUUCACUACAUCUUUUGUCAUGGAAUGUAAAGAAAAAAUCCAGAACGUCCUAUAGAAUAUAAUGGUACAUAUCUUAAAAAGAAGCCCAUGGCCGAACCAGCUCACGGGGGAGGCACCAGUUUGUCACAAUAAGAAUCUAGAGAUAUGCUUAACUCUAUCUUAGAAAGAUAUGAUUUAAUUUCAAUAUUCAUAGUUCCUUGAUUUUCAAGUUAGUUCCUUUUGUUAGGAAUACGCAACUUGUAUUCUCAUGAGGCCAUAGGUCAAUAUAUAUACAUGUACAGGUGCGGAAAAUAUGCAGAAAACCUUUUAUACAAUGGGAUAAAUACAAAAGGCUAUAUGGCUAUAUAUAUAGUACUCUAACACACCCUCAAACUCAGGAUGGAUAAACAACACUGAGAUAGGAGAUAUAGAAGCCAACUAUAACUCUAGUCUGGGCCUUUGUAAAAAAAAUUCGUCAAUUAUGACUCGGAAGACACAUACUAAAGAGCAAUAACCUGAUCUUGCACACGAGCACCUACAUGAAAGCAUCAACAUCAAUAUGCUUGAUGACCUCAUGCUUCACAGGGUCACGCACAAUACUAAUAUACUAGUAGCACGUGUACUGCCAGACAAUAGAAGAGUAGGUGCACACAAUAGAAGAGUAGGUGCAGCGACAGAAACAUCAAAGUCCUGAAGUAACCAUCGUAACCAAGUCACCUCUGCCGUCACAAGAGCCAUAUACGCAACUCAGCCUCUGCACUCAAAUGGGAAUUGCAGUCGGUUUCUUCAUCUUUCAGGCAAUGAGAGAACCACCAAGAAAAAACACAGUAAGCAGAAAGUGAACAACGACCGAAGGGAUCACUAGCCCAUGUAGCAUCUGAAUAGGCCUGAAACUGUAAUGAACUACAGCGAGGAAAUAACAAAAGGUGAGAGAUCGUGCCAUGAAGAUAUCGGAGAACACGAAGAAGGUGAUUGAAGUGAAUCGAAGUGGGAGCAGAGACGAUCUGACUUAGAACAUGGACUUUAUAAGAGAUAUUCAGACAAGUGACAAGUAGAUAGACAAAACUACCACAAGAUGAUGGUAACGCGUCAGAACAGACAAGGGGUCACCAUCAAUAUCACAGUUGUGAACACUGAGCUCCGUGGGAGUCUCAAUAGUGCCGUCAUUAGUAAGAGCAACACGAGCAAGAAGAUCAUGGAUAUACUUUUCCUCGGAAAUAAAAAAGACAUCAGAGGUAGAAGAGACCUCGAUCCCAAGAAAGUAGCGAAGGGGGCCACGACCAGACAUAAGAAACUGCUCAUUAACACGUGCCUUCAGAAAGGCAAUAUACUAGGGGGGGUCGUCACCAGGGAUGAUCAUGUCAUGAACAUAUAGAAGAAGAGUCCGACCACGAGAUGGAAAGUGGACAAACAACACCGGAUCAUGAGCACUCGCUGAAAAGCCAACGACAGUCACCACAGAGGCAAAACGCUUGAACCAGGCGCGAGGGGCUUGCUUAAGGUCAUAGAGAGAGAGCAAUGAAGAUGGCAGACCAUGAGGUACAUAAUACCCAUGUGAUGGCUGCAUGUAAACCUUCUAAGAGCAUGGUUAAUAGUAUAGCCAACUGCUAGCUAUAAGCCAUCUUAUAGCCCAUCUUAUAGCUAUCUUGUACAAUAGUUAGCUAUAGAAGAGUACACUUUUAUCAUAUAUGGCCCAUCUUUCAUUCUCACAAAGCACCUAGGAGCACGUGCUAGAGCCGGCUCUUCACGAAGAGCCCGCUUCCCUUCUCUCUCCUCUUCUCUCUCAUCCAACUCAGCAAAAAUAUAGUAUUUUAAUUCUUACAGCCUGCUGACUGUACCUUAUUGUACUUGCUCUAAUGCAGCUCAACAUUAAGAAAAGCAUUCUUAACAUCAAACUGAGAUACAAGCCAGUGGCGAACAGAGGCCACAACAAGAAGUGCGAACAGUGGUCAUGGGCCACAGGAGCAAAAGUCUCAUCAUAAUCACGGUCAUGCUCCUACUGAAAGCCAUGAGCCACAAGACGAGCUUUGUAACGUUCAAGAGAAUUAUCGGAGCAAGUCUUAACCUUGUAGACCCACUUAUAAGUGAUUGGACGAAUACCAAGAGGAAGAGAAAUAAGAUCCCAUGUGCCAGUGCGCUCAAGAGUAGCAAGCUCUUUUGCCAUCACAAAGUGCCAUUCGGAAUGAACAAUAGCUUGACAAUAAGAAGUCGGCUCAAGAACAACAACACUAGCGCUUGGAAAACCAAGGUGAUCAACAAGCGGAAGCGAACGAGGACGCAAGCCAUAACUAGGCUAAGACGAGGAAGAUGGCACAUCAAUAGAUGCAUCCACAACACGUGGACAAGUAUAAUACUACGGAAAAGAUGGCUGAAGUAGUUGAAUAUCAGCACCGGGAGAGGAGCAACCGCCAACACCGAGGGAAGUCGCUAGAUGUGUCGAUGUAGCACGAUCAGUAGCGUCCGCAAAGGCGGGUGGAGGAGAUGAGGUUGUAUGCAGGCAAGCACCAAGGGAAGACGUGUGCGCGAGGCGUAGUGGCCAGAGCCAUAUGAACUAGCACUGGGGUGAAAGUCGCGCGAAGAAUCGAUGUGGAACGACAAUCACCAUGUGUGGAGCCCGAGAGGGGAGUCGCAGAAGAGCAGCCACAACGAUAGUCUAUAGAGAACGGUGUAGAAGGACCAUUACCAUCUAUGGAAGUCGCCUCAGAGGGCGGCUGCACAAACGGAUGAACACCAAGCACCGAUAAAAGGCUCAUGCAAGACAACAUGGCAGGGGUUGCCCCUCGCCGCCGUGACUUUGAGGGACUUUGGGAGUUAGAUUGGCUUCGUAUUGUUUCCUUUGCCACAUCGUCGCCAGUCCGUCUAUGUCACACCGGCUACCGACUCUUUCCAACAGUGGCAUCACCGUUUGGGUCAUGUUUGUGGCUCUCAUUUGUCGUCUUUAGUUCGUUGACGCCUUAUGCGGUUUAUCUCAAGAGAUGUCUAUUUAGAGUGUCAGGGUUGCCUCUUGUUAAAAAAAUUCAGUUACCUUAUUAUACUAGUGAGUCAAUAUCUCAACAUCCUUUCGAUUUAAUCAUUCCACUGUAUGGGGUCGACCUCCCUUAGCUUCAAAAGGUGGGGGGCAUCGAUACUAUAUUAUUUUACACAUAAUUUCUCUCUCUACACUUGGCUAUACUUCAUUUCUUCUCAAAGUAAGGUUCUCUCUCUAGAUAAGCAUUUUGCCGCCAUGGUCCGCACUGAUUUUUCUACUCCUAUUCGUGUGUUUCAUGUCAAAUUUGCUGGAGAGUAUACUCCCAACAUGUUACACGGAUUCCUUGCUGAGCGAUGUACUCUUGCUCAGUUCUCAUGUCAUGGUGCUCAUGCUCAGAAUAGUAUGGAGAGCGCAAGCAUCACAUCUUCUUGAGACAACUUAUGAUUGAUGCUUCGCUUCCCCCUCAUAUUUUGCAGUUGUUUCCAACUCCGCCUAUCUCAUGAACCUUCAGCCUUCCUUCGGACUCUUGGGUGACAUUCCUCUCGAGGAUCUUUUUGGUUGUUCACCUAAUUAUUCCACCCUUCACGUGUUUUGUUGUGUUUGCUAUGUUCUCCUUGCCUUCAGCGAACGCACCAAACUAACUGCUCAACCGGUUGAGUGCGUAUAUUUGUUGGGAUCCGGUCCUCGGAUGCAUAUUUCUUGGGAUGUGACUUUUGAUCAUUUGUGUCCCUUUCCAUCUUCCUUGGCCUCUUCAGUGGAGGAUAUCUAUUUCCUCACUUUUCCCGCCAUGCAUGUCACUCUGGUUGAGCCAUUUUCCAUUCAUGCCACUGCUCAUGCUCAUUCAACUACUGCAAAUUUGAUGUUGUCAUCUCCUACGGUUCCCCCUCUCAUGUGUCACAUGAUUGUGCACUUUGUCUCCUGUGGUUUCCCCUCCCCCAUCACCUGAGUCUAUUUCAAUGAUUCCACAUCAUAUUCUCCCCUUCUUUCCUCACCAUUAUACUCGUCGUCCACGUGUUGUGGAUGAGCCUACUAAUGAUCCAUCUACUUCUGAUGCGCUAUCUUCCUCGCCUCAUCCUACUUAUCAUUUUCAUGCUCGCUCUCACCCCGCCAUCGGCCGCUAUGAUUUUUCUGGUGGCUGUUUUCGAGCCAAGCUCUUAUCAUGAUGUUGUUCAUCCGGAAUGGCACCAUGUGACGACAGAGGAUAUUGCCCCUCUUGAGCGUAUCGACACGUGGGAUAUUGUUUCUCUUCCACCCUGUGUUCAUCCCAUCACUUGUAAGUGAGUCUAAAAGGUUAAGACUUACUCUAAUGGUUCUAAUGAGCGCUACAAAGCUUGUCUUGUGGUCCGUGGCUGUCAAAAGAAGCAUGGUCGUGACUAUGAUGAGACUUAUGCUCUUGUGGCCCACAUGACCACCGUUUGCACACCUCUUGUUGUCGCUUUUAGUUGGCACUGGUCUGUCUCUCAGCUUGAUGUCAAUAAUAUCUUUAUUAAUUGUGAGUUAAGUUAAGAGGUAUCUCCUCUGGAGUUAGUGUAUUUCAAAAAUUGCCCCGAUGGGCCUGCAUUAAUCAUUGUGUUCACGGCAUCUUCUAUCAUGAAAGGGUAACAAAAAUCCAAUACUCCCUAUAAAUAUAGUGCUUACAUAUCUUAAAAGAAGCCAUCGCUGAACCAGCCCAGGGAGGAGGGGCCAGUUCGCCAAGAUAAGAAUCCAGAGUUAUCACUCUAUCUUAGAAAGAUAUGAUUUAGUUUCCAUAUUGAUAGUUCCUUGAUUAAGUUGUCUCUCCAUCCAUAUAACCUAUGAUCCAAUUCACCAUUCCAAAGUUUCCAAGGUUGUGACUCGUGACAGUGCCCCCAUCAAUUGUCCCUUCCAUCAUUCUUGGUCUUAUUCAUGGCCGUAUCAUGGUGUUGAAGGUUGAACUGGUUGUACCCUACCUUGGGUACCAACCUUCACGGGAGAGAUCAAAGGACAUAUUGAGCAAACUACCAUUCUAAGCUAAAGAGAAUCAUUGUAAUCCUCCCCACUGAUUAUUUCAGUGACAGCAAUCAUAAUACCAUGUGUUAUAUAAAAGAUAUAGUAAAACAAACUGAGAAAUCAUAAUCAUAAAACCAAUUGUUUGCUUCUAAGCUAAGGUGGUAUUCACAUUGAAACUUGAGAUAGAUGAAAACCUCUGGAUGUUGCAGACCAGUUCUUUCAGGAUCGUGCCGCAGAAUACUGUCAAGAGCAUACCGUUCAUUCUUUUCCUCAAUUUUCAUGCACGUUUCUAAAGUCUGCAACAUACAGAAUUAAAAGCAUGUCAUUCCACCAUGAUCAGAGGAACCAAAUAAUAGUAUCUCCAAAAAAACUGCAAUCCACAAUUGCAUACCGCCUCAUCAAGUUCAGCAUGUACGGACAAAGCGGUGGAUCUCAAGGCGUCAAACAAGACAUGCGCGAUCUGAUACAAUUUAGCGAGCUCUUCACUGAGCAAACUGAACAACAGAGACAUUGUCAUCAAAGAGGAGCAAAACAACCAAGUAGUCAUCGUUCCUACUUGAUUGCCCAUCAAGAUAGUAAAAGGUUGCUAACGUAACACAAGUAGGCUCAAGAAAUGCCUCUGGCAGUCUUACCGGUCAGCUUUGUCAACUGCGUCUACAUUCUGAAACGUCUUGAUGAACUUUUCAUAGUAAUAAAGGUAAAACUGCUCUAUCUCUCGGACGUCACUAUGCUCCCUCCUCCACUUCAAUGUCAACAUGUUCUCCUGAAUCAGGGUGGGGAGUGGGGGACACAGAAUCCCACAAGUUAAUUAAAAGCUUGUAUCACAAUUCACAUCGAGGGAGAGAAAAGAAAAACAGAAUUACCCUCUCUAGAGUUUGCAGAAGCAAGGUCUUGAACUGAUGAACUCCAGCGCCGCUGGAGGUCGGGUCCAGCCGAUGCGCAUACUCGGACACGUACAAGCGACCUGAAUACACCAAAAAUGCAAAAUAAGCUGCGAUUGCUAAAAAUCACUGUGGGAUCGGAAGAUUUCUUUUUUCGUGUGUGUGUGUGUGGNUCUGCUUACAGAGGUAGGCGACGCGGAAGUUGCCGGGCUCGACCUCCUUGGCCACACGCAGGAUGGGCAGGAGGUCGACGAGCGAUGGGGGCACUGCCUGUGCGUUGAAGAUGGAAUCCGCCAUGUUCUCCACCGGCUGCGUCUGGUGCAGCCGCCUCGGCGCCCCCCACCCGUUGACGACCGCACCAGCAACGCCAGCUCAGCUCUCCUUCCGACACCCGGCCACGGAAGCGAUCGAGAAGCGUGGCGCGACUUUGUGUUACGAUCCCCGACCAGCUCUACUCAGAUCAGCAAGGUUUACAGAGUAUCUGGGGAGAUUUGGCGGAGGAAGGAGAAGGGGAUCGAGAUGAAGAAGACAGCAGAGAGGAUACAGUUCAUCUGUUCACGCGCACUGGACACCGCACGUGCUCUCCUCACUAAAUAUCCUUGCUGGUCAAAGCGAAGUAGCUGGGUCGAAUUUAUGAUUGCUUCUUCUUGCACUUGGGUCCUGGAUUGCCUUCUCCCUCUUGCUUGAGUCGCCAGAAACUACUCAAUGGUGUAGACUGCUCCUCGUCCUUCUCGAUGGUGCAGUCCGACGCUAGACUAAACCACACGCUAGACUACGCCUCGUCUUUCUCAAUGGUGUAGUCCGACGACGUAAACGCCUAGAGCCUAUGAGGAUCUUCAUGGUUCCAGGUCGACGCCAUCGGGUUGUCCAUGUGGGCUUCCGCCAAUUCCUUUCGCGCAAGCUUGUUUGCCGGUGCACGGCUCGCUCCGCCCUCCUGUUCGUCCAGAACUGGUUCUCCGUGGCGACAUCGUGCAGGAAGCGCUCACGCCACGCCGUCAUGGCGUUCUCGUCCUCCUCGGCGAUGAAGAGGCGGCGAUCCCGCUUCCGCUGGAUGCGGCGAUCUCGUCGGUGAUUAGACGUGGGAGAAGCGCAAGAUCCUACGCCUGAUGGCGCGUCCACACGUUGGAGAAGUUCAUCUUCGCACGAGGCCACCCAAGGUGCCACACCAUCGUAUCGUACACGCGGGUGGUCUCGUGCGCGGUUUUAAAGGUUUUGAGCCCAAGGCGUGUACCGCCGGAGUGGAUCUCCACAUAAUACACGCCAGAGGUGCGGAGGCGGAUGCCACUGUAACCCGAACUGCUUCAGUGGCGCAGCGGCAUGGCGGGGCGUGGGAAGAGGCGAGAGAGAAGGCGCGACAGAGGCGCGGCGCCGAAAGUGGCAGGUGUGAAGGCGUGGCGGCGGCGGGGCACUGGAAGAAGCGGGAAAGAUGGCGCAGGAGAGAUUUCUGGCGGUUGGCGAGCGCGGAGGCGUGCUGCUUUUAUAGCGUGCGCUGCCCCCCCCCCCCCCCCGCACCGGGAUAAGUUUUUUCACGUGCCCGGGUUUCACGCGUCUGCUGGAGUGCGCUGUGUCGCCUCUUGCACGCCAAAACAACAGUUUUUCCCGCGCGCCACUUUUUUGGCCUUCCUGUUGGAGAUGCUCUAAUGCAUGUUCCUAGAGCAACUGCAACGUGCCAACCCAAACUGUCUGCAUGUGUCUGCUUAGGCUGACACAAACAUGACGUUCACCUCUUAUCACCAAUUUCAGACCCAAAUUUGGGUCGUGUUUGCGUCGGCGCGGACACACAGCAGGCGCGUGUGAUGCCCAUGCUUGCCCUCCUCUGGUCCACCAGUCAGUGGCGCAUUACCCAUUCCCUCUUUCUCCCAUCGACAACCAGCACACCCAUCCGCGCACUACAAGAAAUAUGUCAACUUGUGACCUUCUCAGAGUGACCCUGGAAGAAAUGGUCGUAAAUCUAUGACCAUUUGAGACCAAUUGGUCGUAAUUUGUUCGGCGGGCUCCAAACGCUAAACCAUAACGACCAAGUGGUCACAAAUGUCGUAAUUCGCUUACACGAAAUGGUCAUAAUGCAGACAUCGCUGGUCCGCUGCCUUAUUUCUAGUUGAUCAUGACCAACAUAGAUGGUCAUAACCUUGUAGAUUGUGGUGCAUUUCUAUGACUAGGCGACACUCAGUGUGGGCAUUUGGGUACCUGAACCCGAACCGAACCGAAUUAACCAAAUUGACGGGUAAUUCGGGUAUCGGGUUAGGGUUCGGGUUCCAGUCUGGAAAGCCCGAAACACCCAUACUACCCGAAUAAUUCAUACUAGCCACAUUAUACAAGCUAUUAUUAUACUGACAUGUUACCCAUACGAACUAAAAUACCCAUACUAUAAAAAAUACUCACACUAUAAAAAAUACUCACACUACCCUAAUUAUUUAUAUUAUAAUUUGAUUCGUGCUCCGAAUAUUUUGGGUUUUUUGGGUACCCGAAUUACUUGAAGCAAAAUUUUGGGUAAUCUGUGUUCGGGUAUUUUUUUUUGGCAGAAAAAAUUCCGGUUCCCAUCUUGAAGUACGUGAAUUACCCAUAACCUGAACUACCCGAACCAAAAUAACCAGAAUACCCGAACACCCACGCUAAGGCGCCACCUCAUCAGUUUUGCCCAUGUGUCGUCCAUGUGUCAUUUUUUGCCCUAGGUUGUGAAACAACCUACAUUUCUGUCAUUCUCAAAAUUUCCACAAAAAUUCUCAUAAAUUCUUUGGAUCAUAUAUUCCUCAAAUAUGUCAAAACCCUUCCUUCCCUAGUUCAAAAAAAUCAGCAAUAUUUAUUUUCCUAUUCUGUUCAGAAUAACACUUUGUGAAGGAAGUGCUAUUUAUAUUUUCAUAAUGGCCCUGAAAAUUUUUGGGCAGUCUUUCCUGUCCAAAUCAUUGCCUCAUGAAAAAAUUCAUCUCCAUUUGCCUAGUAAAUCUUUCUCAGCAAAUUUUCAAAUUUUCUGUUCAACUAGAGCCUUUGUGAAGGAAGUACUAGCUAGGAAUAUCCUAAUGAGUUGAAAUUUUACCACAUAUUCUAUAUGCCCAAAUCAUAGAUGUCCACAAAAUUUGAGCCCCAUCUAACAAUACAUGUGAGCUCACGGUCGAAUCUUUGUUUCUGGUAAUAUUUUCAGUUUGUGAAGCAACUACAUUUUAUAUUGCUUUAUAAUUGAUGAAAAAUUACCAGGACAUGACCCUGACCAUAUAAACUAUCUCCACCGAAUUUUAGCUCAUUUAAUUUAGCCAAUUUUCCUCAGUAUUUUUCCCAAUGUUCUGUGAAGUGGAGAGCAUUGUGAAGGCAGUACCAUUUUUAUUUAUUCAAAUAGUAUGAAAUUUUUAUGGUGCCUUCAUAUGCCCAAAUUAUAAUCCUCCUCCAAAUUGCAGCUCAAUCUAGUCAUCUAUGCCAGCACAACUGCAAUUUUUAUUUUUUGUCAAGAUUGGCACAUUGCAAAGCAAGUGCUAUCUAGACCCCUCCUAUUGCCCGCAAUUUUUUUUGUCAAUCUCCGUAUCCAAAUAAUUACCACAUGCGAAUAUUCAUCUCUAUUUUCCUAAAUCUUCCUCAACAAAUUUCCAAAUUUCUACCGAGAGAGAAGCUUUGUGAAGGAAGUACUAGCUAGGAUUAUCCAACUGAUCUAAGAUUUUUCCAAACAUUCCAUAUGCCAAAAUAAUCACUCUCCACAAAAUUUGAGAUCUAUCUAGCAAUCCAUGUGAGCUCAUCAUCCAAUCUUUUAUUCUGGUCAUAUUUUCGGUUUGUGAAGAAAAUAUAUUUUAUAUUGCUUAAUUAUUGCUGACAAUUUAUCACGGCAUGUUCCUACGUGUAUAACUUACCUCCACCAAAUUUGAGCUUAUCAUUUUGCCAAUUCCUCUUAAUAUUUUUUCCAAGUUUCUCUCUAGAGAAGAGCAUUGUGAAGGAAAUGCCACUUUGGCAUGUCCAAAUGGUAUUAAAUUUUUUUAUAGUGCUUUCCUAUGCCCAAAUGACCAUCAUCCACCAAAUUUCAUCUCAAUCCAUUCAUUAAUUUGAGCCCAACUUCAACAUCCAUAUUCCUACCCAAUGUGGUACUUUGCAAAGCAAAUGCUACCUAGGAUCCUCCUUUUGAGUUGAAUUUUUUCCAAGACAGUACUCUUAGUAGAUGAUCUUCCUGAGCCAAAACUUAGGCCCGUUGGCCAUGUGAAUUUCCCCCACCUCUAAUCAAACACUUGACUGCUAAUUCAUGUUUGAGCUUAGUGCAGUCUCCUCAUGAUAUUCUUACUCCUAACACCUGUUCGAAAUAUGCCCUAGAGGCAAUAAUAAAUUAGUUAUUAUUAUAUUUCCUUGUUCAUAAUAAUCCUUUAUUAUCCAUGCUAGAAUUGUAUUGAUUGGAAACUCAAAUACAUGUGUGGAUACAUAGACAACACACUGUCCCUAGUGAGCCUCUAGUUGACUAGUUCGUUGAUCAAAGAUGGUCAAGGUUUCCUGGCCAUAGGCAAGUGUUGUCACUUGAUAACGGGAUCACAUCAUUAGGAGAAUCAUGUGAUGGACAAGACCCAAAUUAUAUACGUAGCAUAUUGAUCGUUUCAUUUUAUUGCUAUUGUUUUCUACGUGUCAUGUAUUUAUUCCUAUGACCAUGAGAUCAUAUAACUCACUGGCACCGGAGGAAUACCUUGUGUGUAUCAAACGUCACAACGUAACUGAGUGACUAUAAAGGUACUCUACAGGUAUCUCCGAAGGUGUUCGUUGAGUUAGUAUGGAUCAAGACUGGGAUUUGUCACUCCGUUUGACGGAGAGGUAUCUCGGGGGCCCACUUGAUAAUACAACAUCACACACAAGCCUUGCAAUCAAUGUGGCUAAGUAUAAGUCAUGAGAUCUUGUAUUAUAGAACGAGUAAAGAGACUUGCCGAUAACGAGAUUGAAAUAGGUAGGCAGAUACGGACGAUCGAAUCUCGGGCAAGUAACAUACCGAAGGACAAAGGGAAUGACAUACGGGAUUAUAUGAAUCCUUGACACUGAGGUUCAACCGAUAAGAUCUUCAGAGAAUAUGUAGGAUCCAAUAUGGGCAUCCAGGUCCCGCUAUUGGAUAUUGAUCGAGGAGUACCUCGGGGCAUGUAUACAUAGUUCUCGAACCCGCAGGGUCUGCACACUUAAGGUUUGAUGAUGUUUUAGUAUAGUCGAGUUAUAUGUGUGGUUACAGAAUGUUGUUCGGUGUCCCGGAUGAGAUCACAGACAUCACAAGGGUUGCCAGAAUGGUCCGGAAACGAAUAUUGAUAUAUAGGAUGGUUUCAUUUGGUUACCGGAAGGUUUUCGGGCAUUACCGGCAUUGUACCUAGGGCUGGGCGUUCGGUUCCCCCGAACCGUUCAGGUCGGUGCUUCGGUCUUUUAGAAAAUUCGGUUGUCAAAAAGUACUGACCGAUCGGUCAAUGGCAAAAGCAGUAACCGAUGAAUAACCGCAUUGAGAUUUCGGUUCGAUCAUCGGUCCUGACCGAACAGCCCGAAUAUUUAAAUACUAAGAGGAAUCGUUGCACACUUACACUGCACACUAAACAACCCUGAAUAUUUAAUGAUGGCAGGAAUCGCUGCACACUUGCAGAGUUGCACUGCACACUGAGCAACCUAAACAUUUAAUAAUUUAAUAGUGGUAGGAAUCGCUGUACACUCAAACAACCCUCAUUAUUUAAUAAGUGCAGUAAUGGCUACACUAUUCUCCAGCUCCUUUUGCCAAAACUAUCCACUUUCCUAUCUAUUCUUAACAAUUAGGAAGAACAAACAAUUGAUAAUAUAUAGCAGCAUGAUGUAGACUUAGUACAUAUACCGAUAUACGAUAUAAGAAUAUUAUCAGCACAAAACAAUAGUUUAGCGUGCACAUGAAUUGGGUCCCAACACUGGAAAUAACUGGUAAAUUUUGACGACAAACACACUUAGUUUUCAAGACUUAAAUUUAAAACAUGGAACAAACACAACAGGCAGCGUACAAUAGCAUUAUUGUUGCAAUCCCCCAAUUUCUAAACUUCAAGUAUUAUUGCUUCUGCUCCAGCAACUAUUAGUAGUUUAUUCAGAACCGCAGCCAACCAAAAAGAACAUCUGGAAUAUGAACAAUAAUUUAGUUGAGUUGUCCACAGAUAGAAACAUAAAUAUAUUAUUAUUUUGAUCUGAAUUGAAGCAGCAAGAUNNNNNNNNNNNNNNNNNNNNNNNNNNNNNNNNNNNNNNNNNNNNNNNNNNNNNNNNNNNNNNNNNNNNNNNNNNNNNNNNNNNNNNNNNNNNNNNNNNNNGUUCUUCUUCUUGUUCUUCUUCUUCUUCUUCCACUUCUUCUUCUAAUUGCUUAGCUUAAUUUAGAUAACUUCUUUCUUAUUGUAUUCUUCUUCUAAAUUCUUUCUCAUUAUGCAGAUUUUGAUAAAGCAGCAUGGCAUAUGGAUGGAUGCUCGAGACUUUGUAAUGCACUUGUGUAGUCCUAGAUGAACUUUGUAAUGCAAUUGUAUUUGUGGAUGCACUUGUGAUGCUUUGUAAUACUUUGUGAUCUUGUUUGCACUUUAGUGACAUAUAUUCGUGCUGUUUGCACUUGUGUUGUGCUGUUUGCACUUUGUGAUGCACUUGUGGUGCUGUUUAGGGGCAGAUUCAAUAUAUAUAUGUUGUUGUUUGUAUCUAUGUUUUGCAAAUGCAGGGAAUUAACAGAAAACAAAUAUAAAAAAAGCAGAGAGGGUCUUUGCCUACAGCUUACUGACGGCAAAGGCUUUGCGUCGGUGGACUGACGGCAAAGAAGACACGUGGCGGCAGCCUGUGUAUUCUGGCAACUCCGGGAAUACCAAAUUUUCGGCUUCGCCGUCAGCUGGGCUCCAGCUGUCGGCAAAGAGGCGGCCAAGAGGACCCAGGGGUUUCGGCUUUGCCGUCAGCUCUACUACGGCUGUGGGCAAAGAGGGGAGGCUUUGCCGUCAGCUUUGCUACGGCUGUGGGCAAAGCCUGCCGUUAACCUUCUAACGGAGCUCGGCCUGCGCCGUUGCCGCCACUGCUCUUUGCCGUCAGCCCGUGCCAGAAAGCUGAUGGCAAAGUCUUUGCCGUCGGUCGAGCUCCGGCUGUCGGCAAAGAAGGUGAUUGCUGAUAAAAUCUUGGCCGGUACCUUUGCCGACAGCACACUGACGACAAAGCCUUUGCCAUCAGUUAAACUGUUCUUUGCCGUCAGCUCUGGCUGUUGGCAAACCAGCAGAUUCCAGUAGUGAUACAUGAGAGAAGAAGAAUGUCGACUGUUGUUGUGGGGGGUCGUUUCUCCUUCUUCUCCUUGUGCUAGAUAUUGGUUAUGCAAUAGGGGAAGUAGGAGUAGCGACCAUCAUCUACGGUUGAAAAAUCAGGUGAGCUAGUGUCCACCAUAUAUGAGAGAAGAAGAAUGUCGUCUCUUAUUGUGCGGGUCGCUUCUACUUCCAAAGAGAUUGUCCAUUUUGUACACGAAGUGCAUCCAGUUUUUAAUGUAACCCUCUCAACUUUCUCGCACAUGCUAUGUGGGUGAAAUGAUGAUAGCAUGCCAACUUUCAACAUUUUCAGAGUUCAUUUGUAGUGCUUUUCAAUUUCAGGGUCAACUAAAAAAAAAGUAAAUGCACGAAGAAUACCAAAUGAAGUCAGAAAUUGUUGAAAUUUUGUGAUGUGCCUUUGAAUGGUGCAUUUUGAACACACACAAAUUAUGGAGUUCAAAUAAGUUCAAAAAAAUGAAAUCCCUUUGUAAGAGAUGAGUUCUCGUUCGAAACCCUGAUACUUCGAGAGAGAUUGUCCGUUUUGUACACGAAGUGCAUCCAGUUUUGUCGUAGCCCUCUCAACUUUUUAACACAUGCUAUGUGGGUGAAAUGAUGAUAGCAUGCCAACUUUCAACAUUUUCAGAGUUCUAUUUGUAGUGCUUUUCAAUUUCAGGGUCAACUAGCUCAAAAAAAAUAAGUAAAUGCACGAAGAAUACCAAAUGAAGUCAGAAAUUGUUGAAAUUUUGUGAUGUGCCUUUGAAUGGUGCAUUUUGAACACACAAAAAGUAUGGAGUUCAAAUAAGUUUAAAAAAAAUGAAAUCCCUUUGUAAGAGAUGAGUUCUCGUUCGAAACCCUGCUACUUUGAGAGAGAUUGUCAGUUUUGUACACGAACUGCAUCCAGUCUUUGUCGUAGCCCUCUCAACUUUUUAACACAUGCUAUGUGGUUGAAAUGAUGAUAGCAUGCCAACUUUCAACAUUUUCAGAGUUCAUUUGUAGUGCUUUUCAAUUUCCGGGUCAACUAGCUCAAAAAAAUAGUUUUUAAUUGAAAAUAACAAAAUAGUUAAUAGUUUGGAUAGUCAAAAUAAUUACUUUUGAAAAUAGAAAAUAGUUUUUCAAUUAUUUAUUCAAUUUCAAACACUUUUCAUUAUCAUAGUUUUGUCAAAUUCUCAAAUAUGCAAAAAGAAUUUUAAUAAACAUAGUUUUUAAUUGAAAAUAACAAAAUAGUUAAUAGCUUGGAUAGUCAAAAUAAUUACUUUUGAAAAUAGAAAAUAGUUUUGAAUUAUUUAUUCAAUUUCAAACACUUUUCAUUAUCAUAGUUUUGUCAAAUUCUCAAAUAUGCAAAAAGAAUUUUAAUAAACAUAGUUUUUAAUUAAAAAUAACAAAAUAGUUAAUAGUUUGGAUAGUCAAAAUAAUUACUUUUGAAAAUAGAAAAUAGUUUUGAAUUAUUUAUUCAAUUCCAAACACUUUUCAUUAUCAUAGUUUUGUCAAAUUCUCAAAUAUGCGAAAAGAAUUUUAAUAAACAUAGUUUUUAAUUGAAAAUAACAAAAUAGUUAAUAGUUUGGAUAGUCAAAAUANNNNNNNNNNNNNNNNNNNNNNNNNNNNNNNNNNNNNNNNNNNNNNNNNNNNNNNNNNNNNNNNNNNNNNNNNNNNNNNNNNNNNNNNNNNNNNNNNNNNCGGGCGAGGGCGACGGCGGGCGGCGAUGAGGGCGAGGGCGACGGCGGGCGGCGUCGACGAGGGCGAGGGCGACGGCGGCGGCAGGCCUUCGGCGCGCGCGGCAGAGAAUCGGAGAAGACGAGAGAGAUGGAGAAGACGGCGGCAGGGGAGGCGACCCGCACUUGUAUUUAUACGCCCCCCCCCUUUUAGUCGCGGUUGGGGASGCGACCCGCGACUAAAGGGUAACCUUUAGUCGCGGUUUGCCAGACCAACCGCGACUAAAGGCCCCCCCCAAAUCUUCUUUUAUUUUCAGAACCUUUUAUCUUUUUCUUUUCAGAAAAAUCAUCAUUGCUUUUAUAGAAACUUCAAACAUUUUAUUUUCUGUUUUCUAAGCAUAUUUUCGUAGGAAAAAUAUGCAUAGAGACAAUACAUUGAAUCUGCCUAAAACGGGACAGAAAAAAGAGAAUCCAUUUAAAGGGAACAUUGGCCACAGCCUCUCUCCCCCCCGGCCGUGAGCGCGCCGCCCCUUUCUUCUCCUAUCCGCCCGCUGAGAGGUCGUUUUUGCGUUCCCCGCGCGCAACGACCUUUAGUCGCGGUUGGUCUGGCCUUUAGUCCCGGUUGCACCAACCAGUCGGGACUAAAGGUUAGAUGACCAGCUCUGGAUUCCUCUUCUUCCCGCCAUUUCUUCCCUGUCUUCCCGCCUCUUUCUUCCCGCCACUUUCUUCCCGCCUCCUGUCUUCCCGCCUCCUGUCUUCCCGCUCCCAUUUUUCCCGCCUCCUGGAUAUCCCCCGCCUGCGCUACCCUCAGUUCGAGCCACGAGCGCCGCCCGACGACAGCGACGACAGCAGCGACGACGACGGCGGCAACUUAGAAGGCGACGACUACCAGUACAACGACGACGGCGGCUAUGAAGACUGCAUUGAGGAAUGCACAUAGCUUCACAAUGGCUAAUCGAACAUUUUCCGGCAGGAGCCCCCUCAAAGCAAUCGGAAGCAAUUGCGUCAUAAUCACGUGGCAGUCGUGAGACUUCAGGUUUUGGAACUUUUUCUCCGCCAUGUUUAUUAUUCCCUUUAUAUUGGACGAGAAUCCAGACGGGACCUUCAUACUGCUCAGGCAUUCAAAAAAGAUGACCUUCUCUUCUUUGGUCAGAGCGUAGCUGGCACGACCUUGAAACCAUUCCGGAUGCCGGUCAUCAGGGUCUUUCAAACGUUGUUGGUCCUGCCGUGCUUCCUUUGUAUCAUUUGUCUUCCCAUACACGCCCAAGAAGCUUAGGAGGUUCACGCAAAUAUUCUUCGUAACGUGCAUCACGUCGAUUGCAGAGCGGACUUCUAGGACUUUCCAAUAUUCUAGCUCCCAGAAUAUAGAUUUCUUCUUCCACAUGGCUGCGUGCCCGUCAGCUCCCUUCGGAACUGAUUGUCCGCCAGGACCCUUUCCAAAGAUGACUUUCAAAUCCUUGACCAUAUCAAAUAACUCAGCACCAGUGCGUUCCGCAGGCUUCGGCCGGUGAUCUGCCUUGCCGUUGUAAUGCUUGCCUUUCUUUCUUACUGGAUGAAUUUUCGAAAGAAAUCGACGAUGCCCAAGGUACACGUUCUUCUUACAAUUUGGCAAAUGUACACUUUCAGUCUCAUGUAAGCAGUGCGUGCAUGCAUUGUAUCCCUUAUUUGACAGUCCCGAAAGGUUACUAAGAGCAGGCCAAUCGUUGAUGGUUACGAAAAGCAACGCUCGUAGGUCAAAUUCCUCUUCUUUGUGCUCAUCCCACACACGGACACCAGGUCUGCCCCACAGCUGUAAAAGUUCAUCAACUAAUGGCCUUAGGUACACAUCGAUGUCGUUGCCGGGUUGCUUCGGACCUUGGAUGAGCACUGGCAUCAUAAUGAACUUCCGCUUCAUGCACAACCAAGGAGGAAGGUUGUAGAUGCAUAGAGUCACGGGCCAGGUGCUAUGGCUGGAGCUCUGCUCGCCAAAAGGAUUCAUGCCAUCUGUACUUAGACCAAAUCUUAUGUUCCUUGCGUCAGCUGCAAAAUCUUUGAACUCUCUGUCGAUCUUUCUCCAUUGCGUUCCAUCUGCGGUGUGUCUCAACUCCCCGUCCGACUUACGGUCCUCUUUGUGCCAUCGCAACAACUUGGCAUGCUCUUUGUUCCUGAACAGACGUUUCAACCGUGGUAUUAUAGGAGCAUACCACAUCACCUUGGCGGGAACCCUCUUCCUGGGUUUCUCGCCCUCAACAUCGUCACCAGGGUCAUCGCCUCUGAUCUUAUAACGCAAUGCAGUGCAUACCGGGCAUUCAUUCAAAUUCUCGUAUUCACUGCGGUAGAGGAUGCAGUCGUUGAUGCAUGCAUGUAUCUUCAGAACCUCUAAACCUAGAGGGCAUACAACCUUCUUUGCUUCGUACGUACUGGCGGGCAACUCGUUAUUCUUUGGAAACAUAUUCUUCAACAUUUUCAGCAAGUUUUCAAAUGCCGAGUCAGCUACACCUGCCUGUGCCUUCCAUUUCAGCAAAUCCAGUGUGCAGCCCAGCUUUUUCAGACCAUCAUCGCAUCCGGGGUACAGCGACUUUCUGUGAUCCUCUAACAUGCGAUCCAAAUUCUCCCUCUCCUUUUCAGUUUCGCAGCGUCUCCGUGCAUCAGCAAUGGUCCGACCAAGAUCAUCAAUGGUCUCAUCACGUGCCUCUUCUUCACCUUCACCUUCCCCUUCACCUUCCCCUUCACCUUCAGCAUCCUCCAUGAAAGUAUCACCGAAAUGAGCAAGAUAACUUUCAUCCAUGAAAUCAUCCCCUUCUUCAUCUUCUUCCAUUAUAACCCCUCUUUCUCCAUGCUUGGUCCAACAAUUAUAGCUUGGCAUGAAACCGUGCCGAAGCAGGUGCAGGUGAACUUCUCUUGAGGAAGAGUAACCCUUCUGAUUCUUACAGUCAACACAUGGACAAAUAACAAAACCCUUCUGCUUGUUCGCAUUAGCCACUACGAGGAAAUCUUUCAAACCCGUAGUGAACUCGCGGGAGAGUCGGUUACCGUACAUCCAUUGCCGAUUCAUCUGCAUUAUUAUCAUAUAAAAUAUAUAAUUAACCAUCAUGCAUUUGUUAAACUAACUAGCUAUAAACAAUAGAAAUUAAACAAUGAACAACACACAUGCAUAUAUAUUUUAUCAAUGACACACAUGCAUGAAAGGUUCAAGUUGCUAACCGCGAUCGAGGAGGAAAAAAUAAAUGAGGAACCUCAAGUGUGGCUCCAACACUUCAUAUCAUGUUUGUUUCACGCUCUUGGGGCAUUUCAUCAAACACCUUGUGUGCAUAAGAGGAACCAAAAGCAAACCUACACCCCCUUGUGAAGCUUGUGAAGAGAAGUGGCACCAAAUGGCUAAGUGAGUGUGCUGAACUGGUAUCUAUAGGGGAGGAGAUUUAGUCGCGGUUGGCAUGGCAAACCGCGACUAAAGGCCUUUGGGCACCUUUAGUCGCGGUUGGCAUGGCAAACCGCGACUAAAGCCCCUCACGUGCACCAGCUGGCCACCGAGCGCCCUGGCCCAGGCCUUUGGUCGCGGUUCGUCUGCCGAACCGCGACUAAAGAAAUCAUUAGUCGCGGUUCCUACAGUGUCGCGACUUAUGGGGCUGGACGGAAGCCUCUUUUUCUACCAGUCAUAUGAAUUUGUAGCUAGUUAGUUUGACUGUACAUAAAUUCCUCCAUAGAAAAUCACGGAAUUAUGCAUGGUUGUUACAAAUGGAUAACAUCCAGGAUUGAUAUAUGUCUAUUUCUCCAAUUAGUUGAUGAAGUAGUGAAGUUAUUGUCUCCGAAUAAUAACACCAAUAAUUAGAUUGGCAACAUUUUUAUCAUACAUAUAUACAUGUACAUGUAUAAGUCCUGAAUAAAAAUAAGAUACUCAAGAUAUACCUGUCUAUGUGGAAAGAGGUGUUUUAGCUCCCACACAUGCACCAGGCAUGAAAAGUGGAAUGAUGAAAUAUGAAAAGAUUCAAACAUGUUAUUAAAAUAGUUUGACGUAUACAUGUUCAAAGCUUUAACAUGUAUAUAAAUCUUCAAUCAAAAGAAGACAUUUUUGUGUACUCAAUAAAAAUAUAUUCGUGUAGACAUGUAUAACUCGGACUGCCCUGUUGGGCAAGACUAUACAUGCAGGGCCGCAUGAGUGUCACAUGUGAAUUCUCAUUUAGUGGUGGUAUGUUGCCGUAUUGGUUUUGAUACCCAUAAGUAUAUUUAUGAACAUGAUAAGUUAGAUUAGUUGCAUAUUGAUCAGUCAUCGAUUGAAGUUGAUUAAUAAAAAAGAAAUUUACCCGAUUGGUAGUUAGAUAUAUUUUAUGUGAAUUCUAGUUUUUUGAUAUAUCUUAUGUGAAUUCUAGUUUUUCAGACAAUGGACAAUUAAGGAUCUUAAAUAUAUGCAAUAGUUGUAUGACUCAGACAAUAGGAAAAACUGAUGAUCGGAAGAGAAAUAUUUUAUGAUGAAAAAAAUUAACAGAGACUACUCAUUUUUUCACCUUUUUAUAUGUCGGCCUUUUCUACACUAAAGUGGAGUCGAUUUUUGGAUUUCUAGUUCAAUUUUUCGUGAAUAAUCUGAAAAAUAUUUGGUCAAAAGUUAUGUAUGUACAUAUAUAAGAUCGAUGACAUACAUACAUAUGUAUAUGAGGUUGAUUUAAUGCAUCAUUCAUAUUAGACAAAUGGUUUACCUUUUUCCAUUUAAUUAGGUUGGCAAGAUUAAUAGAUAUUUUUUGAGUGGAAUAUUCAUCUCUGACAUACAUGACCAAAAUAAAUAAAAAAUAUAAACCACAUAUUUAUUCAUGUUUAUAUAUGACAUCUCACCUUAUGUACCUGUGUAUCUGUGUAUCGUUAGCUUGGCCCUUGCAACCAAUCAUAUAAUUAUAUGAAAGACGCUCUACAAAAUUAUAUGAUUGCACUAUCAUCAUAUCCAUGCAUCAUGCCAAAUGGAGCAAAUUAGGGAGAUUUUUUUUGAAUAAUCAGACAAAGAUCCAAGCCUUCCUGCAUGUACAUAUAAAAAAACUGCAUGAAGUACGUACCUGACCUGGAGACAGGUGACGUACGUGGCCGGGCAUUGAUGGGAAACUCAUCUGGCCAAUACGCCCUGUGUUGUGCAGCCGCAGGAAACAAUCGAUCUGCUUGUUGCAUGCCCGUACCUGAUUGUAUUUUUUUUUUUGACGGAAUAGAAGCGACGGCUUUAGCUAGCUAUCCGGUGUAAAGAUCAAGAAUCCAUCAUCAUGUUACCUCGUAUACCUAUACUUCUUAGGAGAAUCAAUCUACGUGUACAUGCAUGUGACACACCUGCAGCAAGCAGAUCAAAUACAGAUCGAGCAAAUUCCAUCGUACAUCUCGCAUUCUCGUCAUAAAUGCUUGAUGUGCUUAGGUUGCAUGGCUCGGCAGCUGAUAGGGUGGAUGGCUGCAGAGUCGAUUUCAUCGCCGCCAUGUGAUCGAUUAGAGGUGUCUCUUCGUUUUUAGAGAGACACACGUGAGACAGAGAAAGACCUAAGAGGGAGAGAGAUACAGAAAUUUUAAGGCUAUUAUUAUAUGGGCCUCUCUAUCGACUUUAGAGAUGGGCUUUUAUCAAUUCUUUCUAAGCCAAAUUAGACUUUUUAUCUAGAUUAAAUCUACACCGUAAUAAUUCGGUCUUACCACAGAUGUACGGUUCGUAAUUUCUAAUUAAUAUGAUAAUUUCUUGGGAGUGCCUAAUUAGUAGAAGUAUAGAUUAAACAUGACUAGUGUUUUUGAUGUAAUUAGCAAUAUGUGAACUAGUAUUAUAGUGAGCAGCUUACAAUAACAGAUUGCAAUCUGCCUACACGUACAUUGUUCUCCUUAGUCUAAGAACCUACAACAGGUUCCAGCUAUCACUUGUAGGAAAAGAGCCAUUAGUCCCGGUUUCAAAGGACCUUCAGUGCCGGUUCGUUAACCGGGACAAAACAAUUGGGAUUAAUGCAAAAAAAAAUUAGUCCCGGUUCGUCCAAAGGAGCUCCACAUGGCCGCUGGGGGCGUCCAGACAGGAGGAACUUUAGUCUCGGUGGGUAAUACCGAUCGGGACCAAAAGGCGGCCACACCUCAACAACUGUCAGGCUCCGGGGGUUUUCAUAUUGUGUUUCCCCCUUUUAUUUCUGUGUUUACCAUUUUAUUUUAUGCUUUUCAUUCAACUCGGCUCUAGCUACUAGAUAUAGCAAUGAAAUAACCAUUAUACAGCAGGGUCAUGAUCAAUAUAUAAAAAGAACCAUCAAUAUCACUUGAAAGUUGUUCAACCUAAGAAACAAAUAACAUCAAUGUAUCACAUUCAUCUUAACGUACUAAUUAAUUAACUAACAGUUCUGGAGCUGAUAGUUCUAAACAUGGUCAACAACAAUCAUCAUCUGAUAGCCCUUGCAGUUGCUCUUCCUUAUAGUGAUUACCACAAGGGUGUCCACCUUUAGUUCUCUCUUUUCCUUGAUGAACUCCUGCCAGCCGGCCUUGUGGAAUGAUAUGCGCAUGUUGUCGUAUGUCUUGUAUUGGACGUUCGUGACAGGUCCUCUUGGUCCAUGGAUUACUCCAACAAUGCCGACAGCGGGGAUGUCCACUCCGGAAAACAUCUUUAAAGGUAACUUCUGAAGACCCCAUGAGAAAAUAGAGAGCACGGAAUGUUAGGCAUCUCACUAUACUUGGUUAUUAUGACCAAAAAGAGAUGGAAGAAUAUAAAAAAUAUCACCAUAACAUUUUCCACCAUGUUUGUUUUUGUUAGAGGUGCACAAAGGGCUUCCUCAAGAAUGCUGAAGAGGAUGGUAACAUUUCUUUCACACUAGCUUUAUCAUCCCGAGUAAGCUUCUUCAUCUUUUGAGAAAAAAUUGCAGAAAUGAUAGGACCGUCAUCUUCAUCUUCGUUGUCCUCCUCUUCAUCUUGGUUGUCCUCAUUUUCAUCUUGGAUGUCCUCAUCUUCAUCUUGGUUGUCAAUGUCAUCUUGGUCAUCAUCAUCGUCAUCGCUUUGGACAUAUAAUGGCCUUAACCUAUUCAACUCUCCUAUUAAGGAAAAAGCUACGAGUUCUCCUCCUCUAAAAGUGUUCACUGCAAUGUACUGCUCCCAUCCAUCACCAUAUAUGAUGGUUUUAUUCUUUUCUUUGUGCAGAUCCAAUUCGAAUUCGCCCUCCUCGUCAUCCACAAUGUACAACACGUUACCAUAUGAAUUGUUGAAGUCCUUCCUUAUGUUGCAUGGAACACACUAUGAAGAAGUUAAUAAUCAACAAUAAAGUCAGUAAAAUAGUUAAACGAAUGACCAGAAUUCAAUACAAAUUCAAGUUAAAGACCGUUAUCACUGAUUUUUGAAAUCCCUUUCUCCAAAAUGCCCCAAACUGCACUACAGUUUCAAAACUGUUCAUACAUGAAUUUAUGCAGACCUUGCAGAUCUUACGCCUCGUGGUCCCUAAUAAUAAGCCCAGGCAGUUGUCAAACAUAAGAAAAUGCAAUUAACACUUUUUUAUAUUUCAUUUCCAAUUGAAAAUGCAAUUUUGGCAGGCAUUAAAGAAUAACAUGGAGAGGCGGCGGCAGAGGACGAGAGGCGCUUACAGUGGGUAAAUUGUGUUCUGAUGAGGAUAUUUUAUAAUCUUCUCUUAACAAUAACACCAAAGUAUGGAAGAGAGUGUAUCAAAAAAACAAAAGUAGACAAAAAACUGAUCAAAUUGGACUCAGAAUUGUAGAAUACCAGCAUGCGUGCACGGUGACCAAUCGGUCCCGAAAAAUGGUACGAUUUAACAAGUUUUUAUCACCACACAAACAUAAACACAAACACAAACAUCCCGAUCUACAAUACAAAACUUGGAUUACUACAAAAUUGCAGAUUUAACAGCAUGGGACACGGAGCACACCAAUUAGUCCCCGCAAUAUUUGUUCGUGUCCACUAGUAGAAAACGGGCCUUUGGCCUGGACCAUUUAGUCUCGGAAUGCCUCUGGGCCGGGACUAAAGGCCCGGCCACGUCGCCCCAAUUCUCAAUGCCUCCCUCGAGGCUUUAGUCCCGGGCCGUAAGGAGCCUUUAGUCCCGGUUCGUGUCCCAAACCGGGACUAAAGGGCUACGCGGCGGGCGGUGGUGGUGGCAACCGUUCGUAUCCCCCUUUAGUCCCGGUUGGUGGCUCAACCCGGGACUAAAGGACUAACACGUGGCAUGCCGUGGUUGUGGCGGCGGUUGGUAUACCUCUUUAGUCCCGGUUGGUGGCUCAACCCGGGACUAAAGGACUAACACGUGGCCUGUCGUAGUGGGGCGACCGUUGGCAUACCUCUUUAGUCCCGGUUGGUGGUUGAACCCGGGACUAAAAGCCUAACACGUGGCCUGUCGUAGUGGUGGCAACCGUUUGAUAUACCUCUUUAGUCCCGGUUGGUGGCUCAACCCGGGAUUAAUGGCCCAGACGGUUUGCAUCCCGCGUCGUUUCGGGCGAUGAAAAGCACGAACCGAAGGGGCGCCAUUUCUCUGUUCUUCUUCUCUCUCGCGUCGCCCUCUCUCUUCUUCUUCUCUCUCGCGUCGCCCUCUCUCUUCUUCUCCUCUCUUCUUCCCAUCUCUUCUUCCACCAUGCCAACUAUCUUUCGUGAGGUGGCCGCGCAUGGCGCGACGAAGCUCCUUGUCAUGUACACGAACCUGAGCAUGGAGGUGCCGUUUUUCCUUCAACAGUUGAAGGAACGAUGGUUUAACCACGCAUCGGAUCAUGAGAAGUUCCUCGGGCUUGAUCUGGAGUACACGGCCGAUCAACGUGGUGUCGCCGUCAUCCAAAUAUGCUUCGCAAUCCAUGUCUUGAUCUUCCAAUGGGCGAAGUAAGUUUUGAGGCUUUCUUUGAUCCAAGAUAAUCCCUCCCCUAGGGUCACUACUCCCACGUUCACAUGGAUUUUGUGUAUUUGUGUAUCUGAUUAAGUAGCGUAGUAGAUUUUGUGUAUUUAUACAUUUGAUUUAGUAGUGUAGUAUGUGUGGAAUACAUUUGAUUUAGUAGUGUAGUACAUUUGAUUUAGUAGUAUAGUACAUUUGAUUUUGUGUAUUUGUACAUUUGAUUUAGUAGUGUAGUACAUUUGAUUUAGUAGUGUAGUAUGCGUGGAGUACAUUUGAUUUAUUUGUGUUCAUUUAUAAUUCACAUUGGAUCGAAUUUUGUCAAUCCGAUAAGACUUAGUUUGUAGUUUGGAUUUACUAGUUAACAAGCUUUCUUUUGUUUGCAUAUUAUGCGUAAUGUCCAUAAUCUAUCAUAGUGAAUUCCACGUAUAAGUUUAUUUGUUUCUAUCAUAGUUGGUUCCCUUCAAAUAGUUGUAGUGAAACAUGUUUCCUUAUUGCAGCAGUAGGUUCAUAAUCUAUCUCUAGGUUCCAUUGCAUAUGUGCUAUAUGAAUCCUAAAGAUAAGUUUCUCUUUAGUUGUAGUGAAACAUGUUUCCUUAUUGCAGCAGUAUGUAACAUUUGAUCCAUUUUAAUUUUUUCUGUUGCAGGAGUGACAAGCAUUGUCCAGGACUCAUGGAGUUCCUUCGCAGCGGCAUCACUUUUGCUUCCGUUGACAUAAGGAACGACAGGCUGAAGAUGAGGCACAGCUUCGAUAUUGAGAUACCAGCUCGUUGCCUCGUUGAUAUCCAAACGAUAUUCAAGCUUCAACAUGACAGGACUUCGAUGGCUCGUAUGGCAGUUGUCUUGAUCGACGAUUCAUAUGCUGAUAUGAAGACCAGUUUCCCAAGGUCUCAGCACAGACUUUGGGAGAAGGGCCCACUUGAUGAUAUCAACAUUGAGUAUGCAACAAAAGAUGCAUAUGUUUCAUACGAGUUGUACCGCAGGAUUCGACUCGUCCACUAUGGCCAGCGUCACCUAUAUCCCCUCGAGGAAGGUGGACAUUCUGAUUCAGAUGAUUCAGACGAGUAGUGUUCUUAACGUCGAACACUUGUAUAUAUAUCUAUUGUAGCUAUUAUUAUGUACUGUUUGGACUAGUAUCAUGUACUUCUUGGACCAAUUUAUAUAUGUCUAGUUUCUGUUUGUGCCAUUAUAGUUUCCAAAUUUGAAUGGUUUAGCCCUUUCUAACUUCAUUUGCUACUUUUGAAUGGUUUAGCCCUUUCUAACUUCAUGGUAUCAUGCAUUUCGACCACAUAUAUAUACAAAAAGUCUUCAGUUCAAAUAAGUUCAAAAAAUGAAAUCCCUUUUGUAACAGAUCUGUUUUUGAUUAAAACAAUCACUUCUCCUUCUUCUCCUUGUGCUAGAUAUUGGUUAUGCACUAGGGGAAGUAGGAGUAGCGAUCGUCAUCGACGGUUGAAAAAUCAGGUGAGCUAGUGUCCACCAUAUAUGAGAGAAGAAGAAAUCCCUUUGUGAUGUGCCUUUGAAUGGUGCAUUUUGAACACACAAAAAGUAUGGAGUUCAAAUAAGUUUAAAAAAAAUGAAAUCCCUUGUAAGAGAUGAGUUCUCGUUCGAAAGCCUGCUACUUCGAGAGAGAUUGUCAGUUUUGUACACGAACUGCAUCCAGUCUUUGUCGUAGCCCUCUCAACUUUUUAACACAUGCUAUGUGGGUGAAAUGAUGAUAGCAUGCCAACUUUCAACAUUUUCAGAGUUCAUUUGUAGUGCUUUUCAAUUUCAGGGUCAACUAGCUCAAAAAAAAUAAGUAAAUGCACGAAAUAUAACAAAUGAAGUCAGAAAUUGUUGAAAUUUUGUGACGUGCCUUUGAAUGGUGCAUUUUGAACACACAAAAAGUAUGGAGUUCAAAUAAGUUUUAAAAAAUGAAAUCCCUUUGUAAGAGAUGAGUUCUCGUUCGAAACUCUCCUACUUCGAGAGAGAUUGUCCGUUUUGUACACGAACUGCAUCCAGUUUUUGUCGUAGCCCUCUCAACUUUUUAACACAUGCUAUGUGGGUGAAAUGAUGAUAGCAUGCCAACUUUCAACAUUUUCAGAGUUCAUUUGUAGUGCUUUUCAAUUUUAGGGUCAACUAGCUACAAAAAAGAAAGUAAAUGCACGAAAUAUAACAAAUUAAGUCAGAAAUUGUUGAAAUUUUGUGAUGUGCCUUUGAAUGGUGCAUUUUAAACACACAAAAAUUAUGGAGUUCAAAUAAGUUUUAAAAAAAUGAAAUCCCUUGUAAGAGAUGAGUUCUCGUUCGAAAGCCUGCUACUUCGAGAGAGAUUGUCAGUUUUGUACACGAACUGCAUCCAGUCUUUAUCGUAGCCCUCUCAACUUUUUAACACAUGCUAUGUGGGUGAAAUGAUGAUAGCAUGCCAACUUUCAACAUUUUCAGAGUUCAUUUGUAGUGCUUUUCAAUUUCAGGGUCAACUAGCUCAAAAAAAAUAAGUAAAUGCACGAACUAUAACAAAUUAAGUCAGAAAUUGUUGAAAUUUUGUGAUGUGCCUUUGAAUGGUGCAUUUUGAACACACAAAAAGUAUGGAGUUCAAAUAAGUUUAAAAAAAAUGAAAUCCCUUUGUAAGAGAUGAGUUCUCGUUCGAAACCCUGCUACUUUGAGAGAGAUUGUCAGUUUUGUACACGAACUGCAUCCAGUCUUUGUCGUAGCCCUNACUUUUAACACAUGCUAUGUGGUUGAAAUGAUGAUAGCAUGCCAACUUUCAACNAUUAUUUAUUCAAUUUUCAAACACUUUUUCAUUAUCAUAGUUUUUGUCAAAUUCUCAAAUAUGCAAAAGAUUUAUAACAUAGUUUUUAAUUGAAAAUACAAAAUGUUAAUAGACUUGGAUAGUCAAAAUAUUACUUUUGAAAAAUGAAAAUAGUUUUGAACUUUAUUUAUUCAAUUUUCAAACACUUUUCAUUAGUCAUAGUUUUUGCAAAUUCUCAAAUAUGCAAAAAGAUUUAAUAACAUUAGUUUUUAUAAAAUAACAAAAUAGUUAAUAGUUUGGAUAGUCAAAAUAAUUACUUUUGAAAAUAGAAAAUAGUUUUGAAUUAUUUAUUCAAUUCCAAACACUUUUCAUUAUCAUAGUUUUGUCAAAUUCUCAAAUAUGCGAAAAGAAUUUUAAUAAACAUAGUUUUUAAUUGAAAAUAACAAAAUAGUUAAUAGUUUGGAUAGUCAAAAUAAUUACUUUUGAAAAUAGAAAAUAGUUUUGAAUUAUUUAUUCAAUUUCAAACACUUUUCAUUAUCAUAGUUUUGUCAAAUUCUCAAAUAUGCAAAAAGAAUUUUAAUAAACAUAGUUUUUAAUUGAAAAUAACAAAAUAGUUAAUAGUUUGGAUAGUCAAAAUAAUUACUUUUGAAAAUAGAAAAUAGUUUUGAAUUAUUUAUUCAAUUUCAAACACUCUUCAUUAUCAUAGUUUUGUCAAAUUCUCAAAUAUGCAAAAAGAAUUUUAAUAAACAUAGUUUUUAAUUGAAAAUAACAAAAUAGUUAAUUUUGAAAAUAGAAAAAAAUUGAAACUAUAUGAGAAUUUUAUAGAGAAAAUUAAACCUAAAUUCAAAGUGACCUCACUUUGAAUUGAGGUUUACUUUUCUCCAUAAUUUCAAAUAUAGUUUUAAUUUUUAAAUUUACAAUCAGUUUAGGCCUGUAAGCCUGCUUUAGAGAGGAGCUCGAUGGAGAUGCUGCGACGGGGCUUAUAAACAAGUGUUAGUCCCCCUCGCUGGGCGAGGUGGGACUAAACUUAUCGUGCAGCCGAGGACGGGCUUUAGUCUCGGGUGGAGCCACGACCCGGGACUAAAGCCCCUCGCCUGCCGCCUGCCGAGCACGGGCCUUUAGUCCCGGGUCCUGGCUCCACCCGGGACUAAAGGGUGUCUUUAGUCCCGGCUCGAGCCCCGACCCGGGACUAAAGGCCCCUGCUUCCCGCCUUUUGGUCUGCCGAAAAAGGGCCUUUAGUCCCGGGUCGUGGCUCCACCCGGGACUAAAGGGUGUCUUUAGUCCCGGUUCGAGCCCCGAACCGGGACUAAAGAUCCACCUAUAUAAGCGGGAGUUAGAAAAUUCCCAACCCAAAUCGCAUUUCGUUCUCUCCUUCUUCCUCGUUCUCCUGCCCGGCGCGACACACCGACGAACUCGACGACGCCGUCAGGCUGCCCGCCGUCCUUCUCGCCGCCGCCUGCCGUCCUCCUCGCCGUCGCCGUCGACCUCCUCGCCGCCGCCGUCCUCCUCGCCGUCGCCGUCGUCCUCCUCGCCGCCGCCGUCCUCCUCGCCGCCUGCCGUCCUCCUCGCCGUCGUCGACUUCUCCGGCCGGUAAGCCCCCCUCCCCCUCCUCCCCAACACUCCGGCCAGUAGAAGAAAAGAAGAAAAAGGAGAAGAAAAUAAGAAAAAGGAGAAGGAAAGAAGAAAAAGGGAAGAAAAGAAGAAAAAGGAGAAGAAAAGAAGAAAAAGGAGAAGAAAAGAAGAAAAAGGGAAGAAAGGAAGAAAAAGGAGAAGAAAAGAAGAAAAAGGAGAAGAAAAGAAAAAAAAGGAGAAGAAAAGAAGAAAAGGAGAAGAAAAGAAGAAAAAGGAGAAGAAAGGAAGAAAAAGGAGAAGAAAGGAAGAAAAAGUAGAAGAAAGGAAGAAAAAGUAGAAGAAAGGAAGAAAAAGGAGAAGAAAAGAAGAAAAAGGAGAAGAAAAGAAGAAAAAGGGAAGAAAGGAAGAAAAAGGAGAAGAAAGGAAGAAAAAGUAGAAGAAAGGAAGAAAAAGGAGAAGAAAAGAAGAAAAAGGAGAAGAAAAGAAGAAAAAGGAGAAGAAAAGAAGAAAAAGGGAAGAAAAGAAGAAAAAGAAAAAGAUCUUUUUUUGUCAUUUAAUUCCUAUUGUUAUUAGGUUUGUGCUAGAUUAUUAGGGUUAGUAAUAUUUAGAAUUAGGUUAGGGUUACAAGAAGAAGAAAGAUGAACAAAAAUAAGAAAAUAAGAUUAGGAAAAAGGAAAAUAAUAAGAGGAGGAGAAGAAAAGAAGAAAAAGGAGAAUAAGAAGAGGAAAAAUAGAAGAAGAGGAGAAGUAGAAGAAGAGAAGUUGAAGAAGAAGCGGAGAAGAAAAUAAGAAAGAAGAAGAAGAAGAAGAAGAAGAAGAAGAAGAAGAAGACAUUCUACGUAUAUAGAUGCUUAAUUAGUGUUUCUUAGAUUAUUUCUUAAUUUUUCUAUUGUAUAUGCUUAAGUGUNNNNNNNNNNNNNNNNNNNNNNNNNNNNNNNNNNNNNNNNNNNNNNNNNNNNNNNNNNNNNNNNNNNNNNNNNNNNNNNNNNNNNNNNNNNNNNNNNNNNCCUCCUCUUCUAAUUUUUUCUCUUCUUCUACUUCUCCUCUUCUUCUAUUUUUCCUCUUCUUCUCCUCUCCUCCUCUUCUUAUUCUCCCUUUUCUUCUUUUCUUCUCCUCCUCUUCUUAUUUUCCUUUUUCCUAAUUUUAAAUAUUACUAACCUUAAUAAUCUAGCACAAAACUAAUAACAAUAGGAAUUAAAUGACAAAAAAAAUAUUUUUCUUCUUUUCUUCCCUUUUUCUUCCUUUCUUCUCCUUUUUCUUAUUUUCUUCUCCUUUUUCUUAUUUUCUUCUCCUUUUUCUUCUUUUCUUCUACUGGCCGGAGUGUUGGGGAGGAGGGGGCGGGGGGACCGGCCGGAGGUGUCGACGGCGCGCGGCGAGGAGGACGGCGGCGGCGAGGAGGACGACGGUGACGGCGAGGAGGACGGCAGGCAGCGGCGAGCAGGACGGCGGGCAGCCUGACGUCGUCGUCGAGUUCAUCGUUGUGCCGCGCCGGGCAGGAGAACGAGAGGAAGAAGAAGAGAAACGAACGAUUUGGGUUGGAAUUUUUCGAAGUCCCGCUUAUAUAGGUGGAUCUUUAGUCCCAGUACGUGGCUCGAACCGGGACUAAGGACCCCCUUUAGUCCCGGGUGGAGCCACGACCCGGGACUAAAGGCCUCUUUUCGGGCAGACCAGAAGGCGGGAAGCAGGGGCCUUUAGUCCCGGGUGGAGCCACGCACCGGGACUAAAGCCCCUCCUCGGCAGGCGGCAGGCGAGGGGCUUUAGUCCCGGGGCGUGGCUCCACCCGGGACUAAAGCCCCUCCUCGGCUGCACGAUAAGUUUAGUCCCACCUCGCCCAGCGAGGGGGACUAACACUUGUUUAUAAGCCCCGUCGCACCUUCUCCAUCGAGCUCCUCUCUAAAGCAGGCUUACUGGCCUAAACUCACUGAAAAUUGAAACUAUAGUCGAAAUUAUGGAGAAAAUUCAACCUGAAUUCAAAGUGAGUUCACUUUGAAUUAAGGUUGAAUUUUCUCUAUAAAUUCUCAUAUAGUUUCAAUUUUUUUCUAUUUUCAAAAUUAAUAAUUUUGACUAUCCAAACUAUUAUCUAUUUUGUUAUUUUCAAUUAAAAACUAUGUUUAUUAAAAAAAAUUGCAUAUUUGAGAAUUUGACAAAACUAUGAUAAUGAAAAGUGUUUGAAAUUGAAUAAAUAAUUCAAAACUAUUUUCUAUUUUCAAAAGUAAUUAUUUUGACUAUCCAAACUAUUAACUAUUUUGUUAUUUUCAAUUAAAAACUAUGUUUAUUAAAAUUCUUUUUGCAUAUUUGAGAAUUUGACAAAACUAUGAUAAUGAAAAGUGUUUGAAAUUGAAUAAAUAAUGCAAAACUAUUUUCUAUUUUCAAAAGUAAUUAUUUUGACUAUCCAAACUAUUAACUAUUUUGCUAUUUUCAAUUAAAAACUAUGUUUAUUAAAAUUCUGUUUGCAUAUUUGAGAAUUUGACAAAACUAUGAUAAUGAAAAGUGUUUGAAAUUGAAUAAAUAAUGCAAAACUAUUUUCAAUUUUCAAAAGUAAUAAUUUUGACUAUCCAAACUAUUAACUUAUUUUUUUUGAGCUAGUUGACCCUGAAAUUGAAAAGCACUACAAAUGAACUCUGAAAAUGUUGAAAGUUGGCAUACUAUCAUCAUUUCACCCACAUAGCAUGUGUUAAAAAGUUGAGAGGGCUACGAUAAAAACUGGAUGCACUUCGUGUACAAAACGGACAAUCUCUCUCGAAGUAUGAGCGUUUCGAAAGAGAACUCAUCUCUUACAAAGGGAUUUCAUUUUUUUGAACUUAUUUGAACUCCAUACUUUUUGUGUGUUCAAAAUGCACCAUUCAAAGGCACAUCACAAAAUUUCAACAAUUUCUGACUUCAUUUGGUAUUCUUCGUGCAUUUACUUUUUUUUGAGCUAGUUGAGCCUAAAAUUGAAAAGCACUACAAAUGAACUCUGAAAAUGUUGAAAGUUGGCAUGCUAUCAUCAUUUCAUCCACAUAGCAUGUGUUAAAAAGUUGAGAGGGCUACGACAAAAUCUGGAUGCACUUCGUGUACAAAACGGACAAUCUCUCUCGAAGUAUCAGCGUUUCGAACGAGAACUCAUCUCUUACAAAGGGAUUUUAUUUUUUUGAACUUAUUUGAACUCCAUACUUUUUGUGUGUUCAAAAUGCACCAUUCAAAGGCACAUCACAAAAUUUCAACAAUUUCURACUUCAUUUGGUAUUCUUCGUGCAUUUACUUUUUUUUUGAGCUAGUUGACCCUGAAAUUGAAAAGCACUACAAAUGAACUCUGAAAAUGUUAGAAAGUUGGCAUGCUAUCAUCAUUUCACUCACAUAGCAUGUAGUUAAAAAGUUGAGAGGGCUACGACAAAAACUGGAUGCACUUCGUGUACAAAACGGACAAUCUCUCUCGAAGUAUCAGCGUUUCGAACGAGAACUCAUCUCUUACAAAGGGAUUUCAUUUUUUUGAACUUAUUUGAACUCCAUAGUUUUUGUGUGUUCAAAAUGCACCAUUCAAAGGCACAUCACAAAAUUUCAACAAUUUCUGACUUCAUUUGGUAUUCUUCGUGCAUUUACUUUUUUUUUGUAGCUAGUUGACCCUGAAAUUGAAAAGCACUACAAAUAAACUACUGAAAAUAGUUGAAAGUUGGCAUGCUAUCAUCAUUUCACCCACAUAGCAUGUGUUAAAAAGUUGAGAGGGCUACGACAAAACUGGAUGCACUUCGUGUACAAAACGGACAAUCUCUCUCGAAGUAUCAGGGUUUCGAACGAGAACUCAUCUCUUACAAAGGGAUUUCAUUUUUUUGAACUUAUUUGAACUCCAUACUUUUUGUGUGUUCAAAAUGCACCAUUCAAAGGCACAUCACAAAAUUUCAACAAUUUCUGACUUCAUUUGGUAUUCUUCGUGCAUUUACUUUUUUUUUUGUAGCUAGUUGACCCUGAAAUUGAAAAGCACUACAAAUGAACUCUGAAAAUGUUGAAAGUUGGCAUGCUACUNNNNNNNNNNNNNNNNNNNNNNNNNNNNNNNNNNNNNNNNNNNNNNNNNNNNNNNNNNNNNNNNNNNNNNNNNNNNNNNNNNNNNNNNNNNNNNNNNNNNUGGGUGACAUUCCUCUCGAGGAUCUUUUUGGUUGUUCACCUAAUUAUUCCACCCUUCACGUGUUUUGUUGUGUUUGCUAUGUUCUCCUUGCCUUCAGCGAACGCACCAAACUAACUGCUCAACCGGUUGAGUGCGUAUAUUUGUUGGGAUCCGGUCCUCGGAUGCAUAUUUCUUGGGAUGUGACUUUUGAUCAUUUGUGUCCCUUUCCAUCUUCCUUGGCCUCUUCAGUGGAGGAUAUCUAUUUCACUUUUCCCGCCAUGCAUGUCACUCUGGUUGAGCCAUUUUCCAUUCAUGCCACUGCUCAUGCUCAUUCAACUACUGCAAAUUUGAUGUUGUCAUCUCCUACGGUUCCCCCUCUCCAUGUGUCACAUGAUUGUGCACUUUGUCUCCUGUGGUUUCCCCUCCCCCAUCCACCUGAGUCUAUUUCAAUGAUUCCACAUCAUAUUCUCCCCUUCUUUCCUCACCAUUAUACUCGUCGUCCACGUGUUGUGGAUGAGCCUACUAAUGAUCCAUCUACUUCUGAUGCGCUAUCUUCCUCGCCUCAUCCUACUUAUCAUUUUCAUGCUCGCUCUCACCCCGCCAUCGGCCGCUAUGAUUUUUCUGGUGGCUGUUUUCGAGCCAAGCUCUUAUCAUGAUGUUGUUCAUCCGGAAUUGGCACCAUGUGACGACAGAGGAUAUUGCCCCUCUUGAGCGUAUCGACACGUGGGAUAUUGUUUCUCUUCCACCCUGUGUUCAUCCCAUCACUUGUAAGUGAGUCUAAAAGGUUAAGACUUACUCUAAUGGUUCUAAUGAGCGCUACAAAGCUUGUCUUGUGGUCCGUGGCUGUCAAAAGAAGCAUGGUCGUGACUAUGAUGAGACUUAUGCUCUUGUGGCCCACAUGACCACCGUUUGCACACCUCUUGUUGUCGCUUUUAGUUGGCACUGGUCUGUCUCUCAGCUUGAUGUCAAUAUCUUUAUUAAUUGUGAGUUAAGUUAAGAGGUAUCUCCUCUGGAGUUAGUGUAUUUCAAAAAUUGCCCCGAUGGGCCUGCAUUAAUCAUUGUGUUCACGGCAUCUUCUAUCAUGAAAGGGUACAAAAAUCCAAUACUCCCUAUAAAUAUAGUGCUUACAUAUCUUAAAAGAAGCCAUCGCUGAACCAGCCCAGGGAGGAGGGGUCCAGUUCGCCAAGAUAAGAAUCCAGAGUUAUCACUCUAUCUUAGAAAGAUAUGAUUUAGUUUCCAUAUUGAUAGUUCCUUGAUUAAGUUGUCUCUCCAUCCAUAUAACCUAUGAUCCAAUUCACCAUUCCAAAGUUUCCAAGGUUGUGACUCGUGACAGUGCCCCCAUCAAUUGUCCCUUCCAUCAUUCUUGGUCUUAUUCAUGGCCGUAUCAUGGUGUUGAAGGUUGAACUGGUUGUACCCUACCUUGGGUACCAACCCCUUCACGGGAGAGAUCAAAGGACAUAUUGAGCAAACUACCAUUCUAAGCUAAAGAGAAUCAUUGUAAUCCUCCCCACUGAUUAUUUCAGUGACAGCAAUCAUAAUACCAUGUGUUAUAUAAAAGAUAUAGUAAAACAAACUGAGAAAUCAUAAUCAUAAAACCAAUUGUUUGCUUCUAAGCUAAGGUGGUAUUCACAUUGAAACUUGAGAUAGAUGAAAACCUCUGGAUGUUGCAGACCAGUUCUUUCAGGAUCGUGCCGCAGAAUACUGUCAAGAGCAUACCGUUCAUUCUUUUCCUCAAUUUUCAUGCACGUUUCUAAAGUCUGCAACAUACAGAAUUAAAAGCAUGUCAUUCCACCAUGAUCAGAGGAACCAAAUAAUAGUAUACUCAAAAAAACUGCAAUCCACAAUUGCAUACCGNNNNNNNNNNNNNNNNNNNNNNNNNNNNNNNNNNNNNNNNNNNNNNNNNNNNNNNNNNNNNNNNNNNNNNNNNNNNNNNNNNNNNNNNNNNNNNNNNNNNUGCUCGCCAAAAGGAUUCAUGCCAUCUGUACUUAGACCAAAUCUUAUGUUCCUUGCGUCAGCUGCAAAAUCUUUGAACUCUCUGUCGAUCUUUCUCCAUUGCGUUCCAUCUGCGGUGUGUCUCAACUCCCCGUCCGACUUACGGUCCUCUUUGUGCCAUCGCAACAACUUGGCAUGCUCUUUGUUCCUGAACAGACGUUUCAACCGUGGUAUUAUAGGAGCAUACCACAUCACCUUGGCGGGAACCCUCUUCCUGGGUUUCUCGCCCUCAACAUCGUCACCAGGGUCAUCGCCUCUGAUCUUAUAACGCAAUGCAGUGCAUACCGGGCAUUCAUUCAAAUUCUCGUAUUCACUGCGGUAGAGGAUGCAGUCGUUGAUGCAUGCAUGUAUCUUCAGAACCUCUAAACCUAGAGGGCAUACAACCUUCUUUGCUUCGUACGUACUGGCGGGCAACUCGUUAUUCUUUGGAAACAUAUUCUUCAACAUUUUCAGCAAGUUUUCAAAUGCCGAGUCAGCUACACCUGCCUGUGCCUUCCAUUUCAGCAAAUCCAGUGUGCAGCCCAGCUUUUUCAGACCAUCAUCGCAUCCGGGGUACAGCGACUUUCUGUGAUCCUCUAACAUGCGAUCCAAAUUCUCCCUCUCCUUUUCAGUUUCGCAGCGUCUCCGUGCAUCAGCAAUGGUCCGACCAGAUCAUCAAUGGUCUCAUCACGUGCCUCUUCUUCACCUUCACCUUCCCCUUCACCUUCCCCUUCACCUUCAGCAUCCUCCAUGAAAGUAUCACCGAAAUGAGCAAGAUAACUUUCAUCCAUGAAAUCAUCCCCUUCUUCAUCUUCUUCCAUUAUAACCCCUCUUUCUCCAUGCUUGGUCCAACAAUUAUAGCUUGGCAUGAAACCGUGCCGAAGCAGGUGCAGGUGAACUUCUCUUGAGGAAGAGUAACCCUUCUGAUUCUUACAGUCAACACAUGGACAAAUAACAAAACCCUUCUGCUUGUUCGCAUUAGCCACUACGAGGAAAUCUUUCAAACCCCCCGUAGUGAACUCGCGGGAGAGUCGGUUACCGUACAUCCAUUGCCGAUUCAUCUGCAUUAUUAUCAUAUAAAAUAUAUAAUUAACCAUCAUGCAUUUGUUAAACUAACUAGCUAUAAACAAUAGAAAUUAAACAAUGAACAACACACAUGCAUAUAUAUUUUAUCAAUGACACACAUGCAUGAAAGGUUCAAGUUGCUAACCGCGAUCGAGGAGGAAAAAAUAAAUGAGGAACCUCAAGUGUGGCUCCAACACUUCAUAUCAUGUUUGUUUCACGCUCUUGGGGCAUUUCAUCAAACACCUUGUGUGCAUAAGAGGAACCAAAAGCAAACCUACACCCCCUUGUGAAGCUUGUGAAGAGAAGUGGCACCAAAUGGCUAAGUGAGUGUGCUGAACUGGUAUCUAUAGGGGAGGAGAUUUAGUCGCGGUUGGCAUGGCAAACCGCGACUAAAGGCCUUUGGGCACCUUUAGUCGCGGUUGGCAUGGCAAACCGCGACUAAASSCCCUCACGUGCACCAGCUGGCCACCGAGCGCCUGGCCCAGGCCUUUGGUCGCGGUUCGUCUGCCGAACCGCGACUAAAGAAUCAUUAGUCGCGGUUCCUACAGUGUCGCGACUUAUGGGGCUGGACGGAAGCCUCUUUUUCACCAGUCAUAUGAAUUUGUAGCUAGUUAGUUUGACUGNNNNNNNNNNNNNNNNNNNNNNNNNNNNNNNNNNNNNNNNNNNNNNNNNNNNNNNNNNNNNNNNNNNNNNNNNNNNNNNNNNNNNNNNNNNNNNNNNNNNUAGUUUGGAAGGACACCACAGCUAAACGCAAGCUUUGAUCAUAGAACAUGUUCUAAACUUUCUGACCGGUCAUAAUUGCUCCUUAUAAGGAAGAUUCUAUAUCCUCACGUUUACUUGCUAUAUGCACUCACAGGAAAUAACAAUUAACUUAAUCCCAAGGUCCUAUAUUUUGUACCAUUAUUAACUUCUACGGGGCUAGAUAUUAAGAUGUACCAACUACAGUACUACAAUAUUUGUUUUUGUUACCAUCAACAUGAUGAAGUUGAGCCUUUUGUCGACUAUAUACCAUAUAUUUAGAUAUGUUAUAGUUUUUAACAUAUAUACUUGCCGUGAUCAAGUCAUAAAGAAGCCUCAACAAUUAUGAUCAACAUGAAAAUACUAAUCGAUCAUGUCUCGUUCGUUCGUAAUAAUUGAUGCCAAUACGUUGGUGUAUGUAUGUAUGUUUCCACAGAUAACUGCAAUUUUAAACUGUAUGGAAUGUUAUUUUAUAUUUCAGUAUUAUUUCUACUUACAAACAUGUACACCAGGUGUUAAAAACUAUAGUUUCCUGAAAAUAUGCAAGCUUUUGGAAUAUUUGUUGAUAAGUAUAUAUAUAGUAGAUAUAUGACCCAAACAAUGKUGUUAUAAUAAACAUUGUAUUUGCAAUAAUGUCUAUAUGCUCACUGUAACAUUGUGGGUAUCGCAUCCUGUUUUUAUGUGUUAAAGUUUUUUCUAAGUAAAACAUAUUGUAUCUCGGCUUCUUGCACUUGAAACCUCACGUGCAUCAUCCAUGUAGCGCACAAGACAUGCAACUGCGUAUCCAGGAGACGUCGUUGCCGCCGUGGCUACCCGGAGCUGCCCAUGGAUCAGAAGGAUCGAUGACGUUAUUCAAGGGAGAAGUGUUUGACUACUGCGAGUUGUAGUUCUCCGGAGGUUAGCACGAGACAGUACUACUUUAUUUGUACUCCCUUCAUUCUUAAAUAUAAGUUUUUUUAGAAGUUUUUAUUAGGAGACUACAUACGAAUGUAUAUAGACAUACUUUAGAAUGUAGAUUCAUUCAUUUUGCUUCAUAUGUAUUUUUCUAGUGGAAGCUUUAAAAAGAUUUAUAUUUCAAAAUGGAGGGAGUAUCUAUUAAUUUCAAGAAACUUAGAUCAUCCUACUUGCUGUAAUAGGAUAGAUGCUUAGGCAUCUAGGCCUGUUUUGCUGGUUGUGGCAAUUUUUUGCUUUACUUUUACUUCUUUACUGCUAUGUCGGGGACUAUGUUAAACCGAGAUCCGUUUGUUUAUUUUAAUAAAGAAGACGUAUGCAUCGUGUUGAUGCAGAGGCCAGAGGUAACCCUCCUUUUCUAAAAAAAAAUCCUACUUGCUCUCAUUGGCACUCCUGACAAAUAAAAUAAAACGGGAACCCAAACAAUCAUCAGUAUACGUGCAUGCACACGUCCGGACAACUAAAAUAAAARUUAAGUUUAAAAAAUGUAUUAUUCAUCUACAAACAAAUAAAAACUUACGUAAAGAAACUAUUAAGUAAACUAGUAGUCGUCAACCCAUCGCGCCCGCACGGGGCUAGGUGAUUUUCUAACUACAAAGUAUAAAAAAUGUUUACGAACUAUUUUUAACGUGUCAUUUGUAUAGGAGUUACAACUAUAUGAGUACUUACAGUUUGAAAAAUUCAAAANNNNNNNNNNNNNNNNNNNNNNNNNNNNNNNNNNNNNNNNNNNNNNNNNNNNNNNNNNNNNNNNNNNNNNNNNNNNNNNNNNNNNNNNNNNNNNNNNNNNGCUUUCUUAUGCCUACCGCUUCUUUUUGGGUUUUUACCGGUUACGAUGAUAUCACAUUAGUAAUUACCUUCGUUCGUCACGACGUUUCUUUGGGUAUGUGUUGCUCAUGUUGUGAGAUGUUGAAUUCUUACUGCAGGUCUGCUGUCAGUGGAAAUUGUUACUCCUCCUCUCGCACGCAAGGAGGUGCUCGAGAUGGCUGAUGGAGCUGCUCAAGCUCGCUGCGGCGGGCACCCCUCCUCUCGCACGCAAGGAAGUGCUUCAGUUCGCUGACGCAUGCAGCAUCUCCGAGAUCGAUCUCAACAAGGUGGUGCCGGAGUUUUCCGAUGUGUAACGGCCCUUUGCGCCAUCGCCGGCGGCGAAGCCCUCCUCCUUGCACUUCCGCCUUCGGCUGCUGCUGUGUUUGCUUUGGUUUUUUUGCCUCAUUUCGCCAGGUCCUACCGGCUAGUUCCUUCGCUUGUUCUAUUCUACUCCCUCCGUGCCUAAAUAUAAGACACUAUAUCUUCCUUAACAAUAAAGCGCGCAGCGCUUUUGUCGCCCGUCGUCGGUCAUUUUGUAGAAAAGCCCUUGCAGUUUCAGUUAAUUAACCCGCAGUCCAACUUGAAGUCAGAACGAACCGUUUUCUGUCCUUUUGCAGAAAAUUCCUCACAGUUUUAGAUAAUCAACCCGCGGUCCAUCUUUUAGUCCGCGCCGAACCGUUUUUUUUUGCACUUUACAGAAAACUCCUUGAUGUUUCAGGUAAUCAACCCGCCGUCCCUAUUUAAGUCAGCCGAAAUGUUUUUUGUUUUAAUAAAAAAACCCUGACUUUUCAGUUAAUCAAUCCAUAUUUUAUCUAAAACAAAUUAUCCAUAUCUUUUAAACCGUAACUCCGAUUUUAACAUGUUAUAUAUGAAAUUUGAUUGAAAAAAUGUGUAGAAUCUAAAUAGGAUGUUAUUUUUAGUUGUUGAAUACUUCUUAAAUAUUAUUUUUGAUGCAAAGUUAAUUUGUAAUGCACUGUCUUUUUUUUCUCUCUUUCCGACGACCAUACGAAUUGCAAUAAAUAUCCAUUAAAUUAAAACCAAAUUGAGAGAAAAGAAAACACCGUUAACCACACAUGCACAUCUUUGGAAAAUCUCGUGGGGAGAAACAACAUAUUUCUCAUCUUAUUCCGAGUGAUUGUACAUUCAAACGCGUUUUCGUUGUGUGAGCACUGAGGCCAUCGUCGACAACACAAAUGUGCUAAUAUAUUACGUUCAAAACGUGUGUUAUUUUCUCUUCCGUUACAACGCACGGACUUUUUUGCUAGUACUACAUAAGGAUGUAUGUAGUCAUAUUUUAGAGUGUAGGUUUACUUAUUUUAUUCCAUAUGUAGUCUAUAGUCAAAUCUUUAAAAGGUCUUAUAUUUUGGAACAGAGGGAAUAUGUAUUUUAAAUCCCUGAGGCAUAGUUCCUCUAGCACUGUUCCUAUGGUUGCUGUCACUGUAGCCUCCCAUCCCCUAUCGCNNNNNNNNNNNNNNNNNNNNNNNNNNNNNNNNNNNNNNNNNNNNNNNNNNNNNNNNNNNNNNNNNNNNNNNNNNNNNNNNNNNNNNNNNNNNNNNNNNNNGGCCUGCACAAAUUCGUCGAUAAGUCUUUUCUGAAUUAGUUCUGUUUCCGCAUAAUCUAGCAAGCAUGCAUGUUGCCACUGUUUUACCUUAAUUAUUUGUAUGGAGAAGGUAAUAUUGAGAAAAAGUAUUGAACCUGCAUUUGUAUGGUUUUCAUUUGACGAAAUGAUAUAAAAUAGUACAUACUGCAAGUCGGGUAGUCUCUGAUUUGCAUCAAGCCCUAGGCGGUAAUAUCAGGUACUCCUGGGCAGACUAUUUGGAAUAAUAUUUGACAUGUCGACUAAUCAUAAAUAUAUAUUUAGUCGGGCAGACUAAUCACAAGAUACUCCUAGAGCCUGAUUUGGAAUAAUAUUUAGUCGAGCAGACUAAUCACAAGUACAAAUAACAAAUACAAAAAAUGCGACUCCAAUUCAGUAUAAUGUUGUUGUUUUUGUUUUUCUUUCUUUCGCAGUCAAGUUAUUUUAGUUUUAUAUCACAUAAUAAGAGAGAGAACAGAUAGUAGUUCCAAAAUGAUGAUAGACUUUCUCCUCCUACCUGAUUCACGACCUUAAUAGACAAUUAGAGCCAGAUACUUCUUCAGUAACAACUGUCACUUUUUUUUACGGUUGUUACGGCGGGCUUACGCCGGCCUGAACCAUUUCAUUAAUUAAAUCAGUACAAUUACAAGGAAAGGGGGGUUGGAGGUAGGGAGAGGGUACAAAGUAUUUAGGUUACAAUCUCUCCGAAAGGUGAAACAACAUGGUGCACCAAUCCUGAAGCAGGAGCAUGGGCUGCUCCUUUGAGCAUCUAUUAGACCAGAGCAUUGAUAUCAUCUGUCGCAGAGCGGGCAAUGAGGUGGAUAGGUUGCAGUUUCCCCUGAAUACCUUUGCAUUUCUUCUUUUUCAUAUAUUCCAUAAGACAUCAAUGAUUAUUGUGGAGUGAGUCUUGCUAGCAUGGUGAGGCCCCCAAAGCUGUCUAAAGUCCGUUGGUGAAGAGGCACACAGUGCUGAGAGCUCUUGCCACAGAGGUCUAAGAUGGCUGCAAAGAAGGAAAAGGUGUUCCUCUGAUUCCGAAGCUGAACAGAACGGGCAGGUGCAAGAGUCCAUUAACCCCCGCGUUGAAGCAUCUUUCGUUGGUGAAGAGUCGAUUUUUGCAUGAAAGCCAAAGGAAAUUCUGCAUUUAUGGGUGCAUAGUUCUUCCAGAUGACCGACGCAAAAGGAUCGACGGGUGUGUUGGCCCAAACAGCCUUAUAUGCGGAGUUGCAAGUUAGAGGCUUGUCGUCGAUAUGUCCCAUUCGUUUGUCCUGAACCUGCACAUUCAAGGAGACAGAUGCCAGUAAGGUACACAGAUUAUCCAGUUCAAUGUCUGCAGCAUUAGAUAGUCUCGGAGCCAAAUCAAGCUGCAAUUGAGGAUUAAGAACGCGUGCAACGAAGGCCGAAGGUUGAAGAGAGUGGGAAAAAUGUCGGGGUAAANNNNNNNNNNNNNNNNNNNNNNNNNNNNNNNNNNNNNNNNNNNNNNNNNNNNNNNNNNNNNNNNNNNNNNNNNNNNNNNNNNNNNNNNNNNNNNNNNNNNACAGGGUCACGCACAAUACUAAUAUACAGUAGCACUGACUGCCAGACAAUAGAAGAGAGGUGCACACAAUAGAAGAGAGUAGCAGCGACAGAAACAUCAAAGUCCUGAAGUAACCAUCGUAACCAAGUCACCUCUGCCGUCACAAGAGCCAUAUACGCAACUCAGCCUCUGCACUCAAAUGGGAAUUGCAGUCGGUUUCUUCAUCUUUCAGGCAAUGAGAGAACCACCAAGAAAAAACACAGUAAGCAGAAAGUGAACAACGACCGAAGGGAUCACUAGCCCAUGUAGCAUCUGAAUAGGCCUGAAACUGUAAUGAACUACAGCGAGGAAAUAACAAAAGGUGAGAGAUCGUGCCAUGAAGAUAUCGGAGAACACGAAGAAGGUGAUUGAAGUGAAUCGAAGUGGGAGCAGAGACGAUCUGACUUAGAACAUGGACUUUAUAAGAGAUAUUCAGACAAGUGACAAGUAGAUAGACAAAACUACCACAAGAUGAUGGUAACGCGUCAGAACAGACAAGGGGUCACCAUCAAUAUCACAGUUGUGAACACUGAGCUCCGUGGGAGUCUCAAUAGUGCCGUCAUUAGUAAGAGCAACACGAGCAAGAAGAUCAUGGAUAUACUUUUCCUCGGAAAUAAAAAAGACAUCAGAGGUAGAAGAGACCUCGAUCCCAAGAAAGUAGCGAAGGGGGCCACGACCAGACAUAAGAAACUGCUCAUUAACACGUGCCUUCAGAAAGGCAAUAUACUAGGGGUCGUCACCAGGGAUGAUCAUGUCAUGAACAUAUAGAAGAAGAGUCCGACCACGAGAUGGAAAGUGGACAAACAACACCGGAUCAUGAGCACUCGCUGAAAAGCCAACGACAGUCACCACAGAGGCAAAACGCUUGAACCAGGCGCGAGGGGCUUGCUUAAGGUCAUAGAGAGAGAGCAAUGAAGAUGGCAGACCAUGAGGUACAUAAUACCCAUGUGAUGGCUGCAUGUAAACCUUCUAAGAGCAUGGUUAAUAGUAUAGCCAACUGCUAGCUAUAAGCCAUCUUAUAGCCCAUCUUAUAGCUAUCUUGUACAAUAGUUAGCUAUAGAAGAGUACACUUUUAUCAUAUAUGGCCCAUCUUUCAUUCUCACAAAGCACCUAGGAGCACGUGCUAGAGCCGGCUCUUCACGAAGAGCCCGCUUCCCUUCUCUCUCCUCUUCUCUCUCAUCCAACUCAGCAAAAAUAUAGUAUUUUAAUUCUUACAGCCUGCUGACUGUACCUUAUUGUACUUGCUCUAAUGCAGCUCAACAUUAAGAAAAGCAUUCUUAACAUCAAACUGAGAUACAAGCCAGUGGCGAACAGAGGCCACAACAAGAAGUGCGAACAGUGGUCAUGGGCCACAGGAGCAAAAGUCUCAUCAUAANNNNNNNNNNNNNNNNNNNNNNNNNNNNNNNNNNNNNNNNNNNNNNNNNNNNNNNNNNNNNNNNNNNNNNNNNNNNNNNNNNNNNNNNNNNNNNNNNNNNAAACAACCACCCAUCAAAUGGAGGGAGAACUUAAGGCUAGUCAAAAGUUGACGAUGACACAAACCAAACACGCUCAUAGUUCUAGCGGCCAGCCCUCUGUGGACUGUGUGGUACGCUUAGAGGCACCGCUGCAUGGGUCUUCAUUGUUUGCCCCUCUUGGUCUUGGCCUUGGCCUCUGUCUCACUGGCUUGUGUACUGCGUUGCGCAUCCUUCGCUACCAUCGUAUACUGCCGUUGCCACCGGCCGGGCGAGUCGGCGGUCCCUCUGGGUCUGGGGUUGCACGGACAAAGUCUUCCGCUUCAGGCGCAUGGUCUGUGAGUUGAUUCACCACCAUCAGGUCGCCAUCUUGGCUGAUUCUGCGGUCGCAUCUCGGCUGUCCCAUCAGGUUCAGAUUCUUCGUUCCUUUUUAAAUGCCAUACCGUUCAACCUGUGCCUCGAUCGUCCUAGCUUUUUAAUUGCGACGUCUCAAAUGGAUAGGCGGCCGGAAUGUUUCAAUCUUUGGUUGUGCACACCUGCUUGAGUUGGCAGCCGAAUUCAAGAAAACAUAUAAAAUUCACUAGUGCGAUGUUAUCUGAUUGUGCCCACUAGCUACCCGAAUGAAGAAAAUUCAUCACAUCAAUUGUGCAGAAGCUAAUCCACUCAACACAGGAAUUGCGACUUCUUGGCCAUUUCUUCCUGUUUUGGUAUACGUGGUGCUCUACAUAAAUCAGGGCAGCCCUCCUCCCUUUCCGGUCAAGAAGAAAAGAAACAAGCGUAAUUCUCUGCUUAGAGUUUCGACUCCAGCAGAGUGCAGACCAAUGGCUUCAACAUGGCCAAAACUGCUGUUCUUCCAUUGCUCCUCGCACUCGCCACCAUUUCCAUUGCCCGCGCUGAAGGUGGCCUCAACCUCCGAUGCCAUCCAGGCCAAGAUGCAACACUCCUCGANNNNNNNNNNNNNNNNNNNNNNNNNNNNNNNNNNNNNNNNNNNNNNNNNNNNNNNNNNNNNNNNNNNNNNNNNNNNNNNNNNNNNNNNNNNNNNNNNNNNUGGACUGAACUCCAGGCACUGUAUUUAGCCUGGGCCAGCCGACCUCGUUCGGACGCCUAGGCAUGCGGCUACACGCUAAAUACCAUCCUGAAUGGGAAGUUAGACUAAAAAAAUWAGCUUCACAUUUUCUAUGAUGGCACAUUGGUCCUUUACUUGGCCAGGGACCAAACCAAAUAGUACUUCAUUGCCGCACUAGCCUGGUCAGGCAAAAAAAAUUCAAAUCUAACGUCCACAUCAUUCAUAUACGCAAAAAAAAAAAAAAAAACGUUAAACACAUCAGGCAGCAUAAAACUUUCAGGCACGAGGGUCAGGUCACGAAACAAACUCACCCUAUAUCUCAAAGAUAUCAAUUACAUUCAGCCUCUGCACCAACAAGAUAUCCAAAGACAUUUGGGAUGCACACACCAAAAAACAAAAUAAACAAGAGAGAAAAAAACAAAGACCCCGUCGCGGUGUACAACACCUUGCAACAGAAGCACUCUAACCACCACCGAAUACAACACCAGUCCUACAACCUAGGCUCUCCAAAAGCAAUGCCUCUAAGAAGGGAACAAUGCAUAAGCGUUGUUGUCGCCGAUCGAAGAUCUUGGGUUUUCACCCCGAAGAAAGACUGAGUUUCCAAAACAAUGCCUUCAACAAGGUCAUUGCCGAUAUAACCAAUGAAGGCCAGACCAUGGGUUUUCACCCUGGAAAUCAAGGCUCGGUACUUGACGAGCACCACCAAAGAUGCAGUCCACCUGUGUUGCCACCCUCGCUUGCCCAGGCUGCUGCUGCGAGUCACCGCGCNNNNNNNNNNNNNNNNNNNNNNNNNNNNNNNNNNNNNNNNNNNNNNNNNNNNNNNNNNNNNNNNNNNNNNNNNNNNNNNNNNNNNNNNNNNNNNNNNNNNUUUGCUAUAGGCUGCUGUAGAUUGAUGGUGCGUGCUUGCUUGCUGUCGAGCUGUGCUGUUGCCGAAUCUUGCUGCUGCCUGCCGCUGCCGAAUUAGCUGCUAGCUAGUUGGUUGUAUUAUGUGCCUUGCUGAAUGUUGCUAGGCCGCCGUCAACUAGUUGCUGUUGUUUGCCUGCUGCCUUCCUUGCUGCUGCCAGCUUGCCUGCUACCGUUGUGUGCCGAUGCUAGUAGUUGCCUGAUGUGUUGUGGUUGCCUGCCGUAGCUUGCCGUCAGUUGUUGGUUGGUUGCUUGUCGUGUCGUUUGCUGGUGCUGCCGCUUGCCGUCGCCGCGUGCACCAUUCCUGCCUCUCGUGUGUCGACGACGAGCUCGUCGAGUACCACGUCGCCCUCGACGACCCCCGGAAACGAGUUCGACUUCCUCGACGUCCUCGACGACCCCGACCAUCUUCGAAAUCCGAGUUCGACUACCGACGCCGAAGACCGGGAACCACGACGCCGAGCGAACGACUACCGUCGACGAGACCGUGUACCACUACUUCAACUACCGGCGCGUGAACAACUACUUCCACGACGACCACGACGUCCGCUUCGACCGAACCCCUCCGAUUCGCUCGUGUCGAAGGUAUACCGAUGGGACAUGUCGCGUACCGUGUGCUAGUGUUGUAUGGAUGUGUGUGUUGUACAAGUCGAAUGCAUGUAUGCACCGUAUUUAUGCACCGUUUGUUUGCACCGUUUAAUUGCCGUGCACGUCGUCUUCCUUUUCGUCGAGCCCUCGACACAUGGGAACCCGAGAUACGGGAUCACCCCACCUUUAUUUACCGUUCCCGCACGCGUUCGUAUACGUUGGCACCGGUUUCUCCUCGAGUUAUUGGGAACCGGGACGUUGCCGUGUCAUCGUUUCCGAUUUGCCGCCAUGGUUCCCUCUCACUCGCCAUGACAACACCAUGCUUGUUUCCCUCCUAGUCGUGAUGUGUUGAUCUCUCAUGCAUGAAGCAUCCAUGGCAUAUUUAUUCUGUGUUGCUUGUUCUUGUGCCGUAGCUCCGUUCAAAGUCCGACGUGAUGUCGACUAGGUUGUCAUGUAGGUUCAUCGCUCACCCCUUGCCAUGUUAACAACAUUUAAUAUUGCCGUGACAAUUAACGGGAGUUUAUUAAAUAUUUAAAUGUGGAGUUUCGUCGAUAUGCAACCCGUUGCAUAUCGAGCUUCAUUUAAUGUGUAGUGUAGGUGUGAGGUGUUUUGCCGUGCCAUCCCGUGCAUCGAUGACCUGUUCAUGCAUCAUAUUAGGGUUGCAUCCUGUCUUGCUUUAUGGUGGUGAAUACUUGUGUUGAUGUUUGUUUCCGGUUUCCUCCGUCUCGAUAGAGUUCCGCAAGCGUGUCGGAAUGUGAGGACCGUUCGACUACGUCGGUUCGCUGACUUCUCCGAGUUGUCCUUCUUCCAAGCGGGAUCUCAGGCAAGAUGAUCAUUUUCCCAGAUACCAUUACUAUCAUUGCCAUGCUAGUUUUAUCGCUUCUAUCGUUUAUGUCUUGAUGCCUACCACAUGUUAAAUGUCAUCCUCUCAACAAUGCCAUGAUUACCGUCAACCUGUUCGACCUAGCAAACCACUGAUUGGCUAUGUUACCGCUUGCUUAACCUUGUGUUAGCGUUGCUAGGGGGGGGGGGGGCAUGUGAAAACAUGGGUUCCUUGUUAUAUCAUCCUAUUAAAUGCUAUUUAAUUUAAUACACCUAUAUACUUGGUAAAAGGUGGAAGGCUCGGCCUUUCUAGCCUGGUGUUUUGUUCCACCUUUGCCCCUGUUAGUUACCGGCUACCGGUGUUAUGUUCCAUAAUUGAGCGCUCCUAACACGAUCGGGGUUGUUAUGGGGACCCCCUUGAUAAUUCGUUUUAGAUUAAAGCUGGUCUGGCAAGGCCCAACUUUGGUACUACAUUUGCCUAAUCACUAAUGAACUGCAUAGGGAGUAAUUAACCCGAGGAUAAUUUAAUCAACCCCCGGGCCAGUGCUCCUCAUGAGUGUUGGUCCAAAUUGGCAGACUACGGGGCCACCGCGGGGCAACCCGAGGUUUGGCAUCUCCUAGUGUGACCCAUCCGUCGUGUCCUGAGAACGAGGUACGCGACUCCUAUCGGGAUCGUCGACACGUCGGGCGGCCUUGCUGGAUUAGUUUUACCUUUGACGAGAUAUCUUGUGCAUCGGGAUUCCGGUGAUGCUUUGGGUAAUCUCAGAGUUGAGGUUUUCCACUAGGGAAUCCGACGAGAUCGCGAGCUUCGUGAUUGAGGAUUUCCAUGCGGCUUGUGGUAAUUUGUGAUGGACUAGUUGGAGCACCCCUGCAGGGUUAAAUCUUUCGGAAAGCCGUGCCCGCGGUUAUGUGGCAACGUGGAAACUUUGUUUAACACUGGUUCUAGAUAACUUGAAGUUAACUUAAUUAAAACUUGCCAACUGCAUGCGUAACCGUGACUGUCUCUUUCGUGAGUUCCUUCUCCGAUCGAGGACACGGUGGGGUUAUGUCUGACGUAGGUAGGUGUUCAGGAUCUUUCAUUUGAUCAUCAGUAGUUCACGUCCGUUAUGCGUAGAUCUUCCCCCUCUUAUUUCUUGUACUCGUAAGUUUAGCCACCAAAUAAAUGCUUAGCCGCUGCUGCAACCUCUCCACUUAACCACACCUCACCCAUUAAGCUUUGCUAGUCUUGAUACCUUUGGAAAUGAGAUUGCUGAGUCCCCUGUGGCUCACAGAUUACUACAACUCCAGUUGCAGGUUCAGGUAAAUGUUACUUGAUGCGAGCGCGUUGAAUGUUCAUUUGGAGUUGCUUCUUCUUCUUCAUCGAUCUAGGAUGGGUUCCAGGCCGGCAGCCUGGGAUAGCAAGGAUGGACGUCGUUCUUCUUUUGUCGUUUGUUUUCGUCCGUAGUCGGACCCUGCUCUUACUCUUGAUGGUUAUGUAAUGUACUGAUGUGACUCUGAUGUAGCUUGUGGCGAGUGUAAGCCAACUCUUUAUAUAUCUCUUCUUUUCAGUACAUGUACUUGUAACGAUAUCCAUUCUUGCGACACGACGAGAUGCGCUUCUAUCCCUGACGAGGCCCUCGUGCCAAAUUGAGGAUAGGGUCGCAUCUUGGGCGUGACAGUAUGACAACCGGCAGGAGCCAUAGGAGUUGUCUUAAUUUAUUGUAUGAGAUGCAACGCCAUGUGCUUACUACUUUUACUUCAUUGCUAACGGUUAGCUAUAGUAGUAGUGAUAGUAGUAGUUGGCGUGACGACUUCACGGAGACACGACGAUGGAGAUCAUGAUGAUGGAGAUCAUGGUGUCACGCCGGUGACGAUGAUGAUCAUGCGAUGCCUGAAGAUGGAGAUCGAAAGAGCAAAGAUGAUAAUGGCCAUAUCAUGUCACUAUAUGAUUGCAUUGUGAUGUUUAUCAUGUUUUACAUCUUAUUGCUUAGAACGACGGUAGCAUAAUAAGAUGAUCCCUCUUAAAAUUUCGAGAACGUAUUCCCCUAAGUGUGCACCGUUGCGAAGGUUCGUUGUCUCGAAGCACCACGUGAUGAUCGGGUGUGAUAGAUUCUAACGUUUGCAUACAACGGGUGUAAGCCUGAUUUACACACGCGAAACACCUAGGUUGACUCGACGAGCUUAGCAUGUACAGACUGUUGGGGAACGUCGCAUGGGAAACAAAAAUUUUCCUACGCGCACGAAGACCUAUCAUGGUGAUGUCCAUCUACGAGAGGGGAUGAGUGAUCUACGUACCCUUGUAGAUCGUACAGCAGAAGCGUUAGUGAACGCGGUUGAUGUAGUGGAACGUCCUCACGUCCCUCGAUCCGCCCCGCGAACAAUCCCGCGAUCAGUCCCACGAUCUAGUACCGAACGGACGGCACCUCCGCGUUCAGCACACGUACAGCUCGACGAUGAUCUCGGCCUUCUUGAUCCAGCAAGAGAGACGGAGAGGUAGAAGAGUUCUCCGGCAGCGUGACGGCGCUCCGGAGGUUGGUGAUGACCUUGUAUCAGCAGGGCUCCGCCCGAGCUCCGCAGAAACGCGAUCUAGAGGAAAAACCGUGGAGGUAUGUGGUCGGGCUGCCGUGGAAAAGUCGUCUCAAAUCAGCCCUAAAACCUCAGUAUAUAUAGGUGGGAGGGAGGGGACCUUGCCUUGGGGCUCAAGGAGCCCCAAGAGGGUCGGCCGAGUCCAAGGGGGGAGGACUCCCCCCCAAACCGAGUUGGACUUGGUUUGGUGGGAGGGAGUCCCCCUUCCUUCCCACCUCCUCCUUUUUUUGGGGGGUUUUCUCUUCUUGGCGCAUAGAGCCCUUUUGGGCUGUCCCACCAGCCCACUAAGGGCUGGUGUGCCACCCUCAAGGCCUAUGGGCUUCCCCGGGGUGGGUUGCCCCCACGGUGAACUCCCGGAACCCAUUCGUCAUUCCCGGUACAUUCCCGGUAACUCCGAAAACCUUCCGGUAAUCAAAUGAGGUCGUCCUAUAUAUCAAUCUUCGUUUCCGGACCAUUCCGGAAACCCUCGUGACAUCCGUGAUCUCAUCCGGGACUCCGAACAACAUUCGGUAACCAACCAUAUAACUCAAAUACGCAUAAAACAACGUCGAACCUUAAGUGUGCAGACCCUGCGGGUUCGAGAACUAUGUAGACAUGACCCGAGAGACUCCUCGGUCAAUAUCCAAUAGCGGGACCUGGAUGCCCAUAUUGGAUCCUACAUAUUCUACGAAGAUCUUAUCGUUUGAACCUCAGUGCCAAGGAUUCAUAUAAUCCCGUAUGUCAUUCCCCUUGUCCUUCGGUAUGUUACUUACCCGAGAUUCGAUCGUCAGUAUCCGUAUACCUAUUUCAAUCUCGUUUACCGGCAAGUCUCUUUACUCGUUCCGUAAUACAAGAUCCCGCAACUUACACUAAGUUACAUUGCUUGCAAGGCUUGUGUGUGAUGUUGUAUUACCGAGUGGGCCCCGAGAUACCUCUCCGUUCACACGGAGUGACAAAUCCCAGUCUUGAUCCAUACUAACUCAACUAACACCUUCGGAGAUACCUGUAGANNNNNNNNNNNNNNNNNNNNNNNNNNNNNNNNNNNNNNNNNNNNNNNNNNNNNNNNNNNNNNNNNNNNNNNNNNNNNNNNNNNNNNNNNNNNNNNNNNNNGUUGAUGGAGUCGUACUCACAACGAUUCCGAUCUAGUGCCGAACUACGGUACCUCCGCGUUCAACACACGUGCGGCCCGGUGACGUCUCCCGCACCUUGAUCCAGCAAGGAGGAGGGAGAGGNNNNNNNNNNCCUAUGGAGAGACCAGCAACGAGAGAGGGGUAAGAGAAUCUUCAUACCUUUGAAGAUCGCUGAGCGGAAGCGUUGCUAGAACGCGGUUGAUGGAGUUGUACUCGCAGCGAUUCCGAUCUAGUGCCGAGCUACGGCACCUCCGCGUUGAACACACGUGCAGCCCGGUGACGUCUCCCGCACCUUGAUCCAGCAAGGNNNNNNNNNNCGGAGUUGUACUCACAACGAUUCCGAUCUAGUGCCGAACUACGGCACCUCCGCGUUCAACACACGUGCAGCCCGGUGACGUCUCCCGCACCUUGAUCCAGCAAGGAGGAGGGAGAGGUUGGGGAAGAACUCCAGCAGCACGACGGCGUGGUGUCGAUGGAGAGAUGAGGUCUCCCGGCAGGGCUUCGCCAAGCACCGGCAGAGAGGAGGAGGAANNNNNNNNNNNNNNNNNNNNNNNAACGACGUGGUGUCGAUGGAGAGACAAGGUCUCCCGGCAGGGCUUCGCCAAGCACCGGCAGAGAGGAGGAGGAAGAGAGGCAGGGCUGCGCCGAGAGAGAGAGAAAAUUGUGUCCCUCAAUGGCCAAAACUGCCCGAUAUAUAUAGGGGGAGGGGAGAGGGGGUGCCACCCCUAGGGUNNNNNNNNNNNNNNNNNNNNNNNNNNNNNNNNNNNNNNNNNNNNNNNNNNNNNNNNNNNNNNNNNNNNNNNNNNNNNNNNNNNNNNNNNNNNNNNNNNNNGGAACCACGCGGAACCGAGCAGGUGCGGCUCCCUCUCCCUCUCUGGCGUCGCCCUCUCCCUUUCCAUCUCGAGCGCCACCUCUCCGGCGCCUCCCUCUCCCUCUCCAGCGCCGCCCUCUCCCUCUCCCUCUCCGGCGCCGCCCUCUCCCUCUCCCNNNNNNNNNNAACUAAAGUCUACAUCUGGUCCCUCAAUUUUUGUUUGGGCGACAUUUAGGGUGUGUUUGGUUACUGUCAUCAAGUAGAAUGUAACGGGUCCAUUCCGUUUUCGAGGGUCGUUCUCGUGUUUAGUUGGGUACAGGAAUCGGAACCAACUGAUUCUUCGGAACACAUAUUCCCCCAAGAUCCCGAAUGCGCUGGUACCUCCAAAUCGAGGAACCACGCGGAACCGAGCAGGUGCGGCUCCCUCUCCCUCUCUGGCGNNNNNNNNNNAGGUGCGCGGCGGCCCGAGCAGGUGCGGCGACGGCCCGAGCAGGUGCGCCGCCCUCUCCCUUUCCAUCUCCGGCGCCACCUCUCCGGCGCCGCCCUCUCCCUCUCCCUCUCCGGCGCCGCCCUCUCCCGCCCCCUCUCCGGCACCGCCCUCUCCCUCUCUCUCUCCGGCGCCGCCCUCUCCCUCUCCCUUUGCGGCGGCUCGAGGAGCNNNNNNNNNNNNNNNNNNNNNNNNNNNNNNNNNNNNNNNNNNNNNNNNNNNACGCCGCCCUCUCCCUCUCCCUCUGCGGAGGCUCGAGAGCAGGUGCGGCGGCGGCUCGAGGAGCAGGUGCGGCGACGGCGACGGACAGAGCAGGUGUGGUGGCGGCGACGGACCGAGCAGGUGCGGCGGCGGUGGCAGGCCCGUUCCAUCUAUUGUUUCAACCAAACAUAGAAACACAACCUGAUGGAAUGGAAUGUCAUGGAAUCAUUCCAUUACGUUCCACCUCGUUCUUNNNNNNNNNNUAACCAAACAUAGGAACGCAACCUGGUGGAAUGGAAUGUCAUGGAAUCAUUCCAUUACGUUCCACCUCGUUCUUCAACCAAACACACCCUUAGUCCCUCAUGUUUCAAAACCGGAUGACUUUCGUCUGAAAAACGGAUUAGAUGGGAAAACCGGCCAGAUGGCACAAGUUUUCUCCCUGAGCUCCAGAUCCACCUGUCGAGCACCUUGCAUGCAUCGAGUGGCCGUCGCCCGAGCAAAGACUCUUAACCUUUGCCGCGUGCCUCACCACACGACCAUGUUCUACUUCCCCAUGAACCCGUGGUGAGCCCGCCUUUUCACCUUCUUCCACCGUGAUCGGUUUCAUGAGCUACUUCGCCACCGACAACCUCCUCUACUCCUCCCACACCUAGCCCUGCUACGCAAGUCAUGACACAACACUCCACUCCUCCCACUCCCUGAUGUCUUCUGGGCAUAAGAGAAGUCUUUCGAGAAUUCCAUGUACUUCUGUCAUGCAACCAUUCAUAAUUGUAGUUGAUUUCUACACUCACAUGCAACAUGGGUUUUCAAUUAUGUAGGCUAGAAUGGUAGAAAAAAUGCUACAUGCGCACCACUGAAUUAAGGUAAUAAUUCGCAAGACCGAAAGGACAAUAUGAUCAAAGGUAUGGGAAAAGCUGCUGGUUAUGUACUCCAACUAGCUUGGAAGCCUGCUUUAAUACUAUUUGGGUACAUAAUCUCACAUUUGAAGCAACACUUAUAGUUCCACAUCAUAUAAUGUUUAUGGUGAAUACUAGUACAAUGAGAUGGAUUAAUAACGUGACACGAGGAAAACCACUAUCUAGGAAUUGUGGCAGAUAUGGUUAUAUCAUUAAUACUGCAUGACUCAGGAGCAUUGGCCGUCUCUUCAUUCCCCACCCUUACAUUGAUAUAUGCUGGCUGCUUGGGCUUAGCCAAGAUCAUAGUAUCACUUCUUAGCAUUGAAACAAUAUGUCCCAUGGUUGGCCGAUGGGAUGCAUUCUCUUGUACACAUACAAUGCUAUAUUAAUGCAUCUCAUUAACUUUGACAAGUUACUAUCGGGAACCAUUGAUGCAUCAAGGAGAUUGAUCCACUUUCCGUCUUCCCACAAUUGCCAUGCCUGUUUGCAAUACCAUUGCAUAAAUUAGGUUUUAUAGCAAAUGAAGGGAAAAAAUGCAAGCUUAAGUUUGUGUGUAUAAGCUCACAUAUCCAAGCAGAUUGAUGAAGCCUCCACAUUGUUGUUUACCAGAAUUCCGUUUUCCGCUAAGGAUCUCAAAAAUGACAANNNNNNNNNNNNNNNNNNNNNNNNNNNNNNNNNNNNNNNNNNNNNNNNNNNNNNNNNNNNNNNNNNNNNNNNNNNNNNNNNNNNNNNNNNNNNNNNNNNNAUGGGCAAGAUGACUAAGACUCCGUUCUCCGGAACUAUGGAGCGUGCAAGUGACUUGUUGGAAAUCAUACAUACCGAUGUGUGUGGUCCGAUGAGCGUAGAGGCGCGCGACGGAUAUCGUUAUUUUCUCACCUUCACUGACGAUUUGAGUAGAUAUGGUUAUGUCUACUUGAUGAAGCACAAGUCUGAAACAUUUGAAAAGUUCAAGCAAUUUUAGAGUGAAGUGGAAAAUCAUCGUAACAAGAAGAUCAAGUUCCUACGGUCUGAACGUGGGGGUGAAUAUCUGAGUUUCGAGUUUGGUGCUCACUUAAGACAAUGUGAAAUUGUUUCACAGUUAACACCGCCUGGAACACCGCAGUGUAAUGGUGUGUCCGAACGUCGUAAUCGUACUUUAUUAGAGAUGGUGCGAUCUAUGAUGUCUCUUACUGAUUUGCUGUUAUCAUUUUGGGGUUAUGCAUUAGAAACAGCUGCAUUCACUUUAAAUAGGGCACCAUCAAAAUCCGUUGAGACGACACCUUACGAACUGUGGUAUGGCAAAAGGCCAAAGUUGUCGUUUCUUAAAGUUUGGGGAUGUGAUGCUUAUGUCAAAAAGCUUCAGCCUGAAAAGCUGGAACCCAAAGUGGAAAAGUGCGUCUUCAUAGGUUACCCAAAGGAGACAGUUGGGUACACCUUCUAUCUCAAAUCCGAGGGCAAAGUGUUUGUUGCUAAAAACGGAGCUUUUCUCGAGAAGGAGUUUCUCUCGAGAGAAUUGAGUGGGAGGAAGAUAGAACUUGACGAGGUUGUCGAACCUCUCAUCCCCCUAGAUGGUGGCGCAGGGCAAGGGGAAACCUCUGUCGUUGCAACGCCGGUUGAGGAGGAAGUUAAUGAUGAUGAUCAUGAAACUCCGGUUCAAAUUUCUGUCGAACCACGCAGGUCGACGAGACCACGUGCUGCUCCAGAGUGGUACGGUAAUCCCGUCUUAUCGAUCAUGUUGUUGGACAACAAUGAACCUGCAAAUUAUGAAGAAGCAAUGGUGGGCCCAGAUUCCAACAAAUGGCUAGAAGCCAUGAAGUCCGAGAUAGGAUCCAUGUAUGAGAACAAAGUGUGGACUUUGGAGGUACUACCUGAGGGCCGCAAGGCUAUUCAGAACAAAUGGAUUUUUAAGAGGAAGACGGACGCUGACGGCAAUGUGACCGUUUAUAAAGCUCGACUUGUGGCAAAGGGUUUUUCACAAGUUCAAGGAGUUGACUAUGAUGAGACUUUCUCACCCGUAGCGAUGCUUAAGUCCGUCAGAAUCAUGUUAGCAAUAGCUGCAUUUUUUAAUUAUGAAAUCUGGCAGAUGGAUGUCAAAACGGCGUUCAUUAACGGUUUCCUUAAGGAAGAAUUGUAUAUGAUGCAACCCGAAGGUUUUGUCGAUCCUAAGAAUGCUAACAAGGUGUGCAAGCUCCAACGAUCCAUUUAUGGACUGGUGCAAGCAUCUCGGAGUUGGAACAAACGCUUUGAUGAGGUGAUCAAAGCAUUUGGGUUUAUACAAGUGGUUGGAGAAUCUUGUAUUUACAAGAAAGUGAGUGGGAGCUCUGUGGCGUUUCUAAUAUUAUAGGUGGAUGACAUAUUGCUGAUUGGAAACAACGUGGAGUUUCUAGAGAGCAUAAAGGAUUACUUGAAUAAAAGUUUCUCUAUGAAGGACCUAGGAGAAGCUGCUUACAUUCUAGGUAUUAAGAUCUAUAGGGAUAGAUCAAAACGCCUGAUAGGACUUUCACAAAGCACAUACCUUGAUAAAGUUUUGAAGAGGUUCAAAAUGGAACAGUCCAAGAAAGGGUUCUUGCCAGUUUUACAAGGUACGAGAUUGAGUAAGACUCAGUACCCAGCAACUGAUGAAGAUAGAGAGCAUAUGCGCUCUGUCCCCUAUGCUUCAGCCAUAGGUUCUAUCAUGUAUGCAAUGCUGUGCACUAGACUGGAUGUUAGCCUGGCCAUAAGCAUGGCAGGUAGGUUCCAGAGUAAUCCAGGAGUGGAUCACUGGACAGCGGUCAAGAAUAUCCUGAAGUACCUGAAAAGGACUAAGGAGAUGUUUCUCGUGUAUGGAGGUGACGAAGAGCUCGCCGUAAAAGGUUAUGUCGAUGCAAGCUUUGACACAGAUCCGGACGACUCUAAGUCGCAAACCGGAUACGUAUUUAUUCUUAAUGGGGGUGCAGUAAGCUGGUGCAGUUCCAAGCAAAGCGUCGUAGCAGAUUCUACAUGUUUAGCGGAGUACAUGGCUGCCUCGGAGGCGGCUAAGGAGGGUGUCUGGAUGAAGCAGUUCAUGACGGAUCUUGGAGUGGUGCCAAGCGCACUGAAUCCAAUAACCUUGUUCUGUGACAACACUGGUGCCAUUGCCUUAGCAAAGGAACCACGGUUUCACAAGAAGACCAGACACAUCAAACGACGCUUCAACCUCAUCCGCGACUACGUCGAGGGAGAGGACGUGAAUAUAUGCAAAGUGCACACGGAUCUGAAUGUAGCGGACCCGCUGACUAAACCUCUUCCACGGCCAAAGCAUGAUCAACACCAGAACUGUAUGGGUGUUAGAUUUAUUACAAUGUAAUUCACAUGGUGAUGUGAGGGCUAGAUUAUUGACUCUAGUGCAAGUGGGAGACUGUUGAAAUUAUGCCCUAGAGGCAAUAAGAAAUAUAGUUAUUAUUAUAAUUCCUGUAUCAAGAUAAUCGUUUAUUAUCCAUGCUAUANNNNNNNNNNNNNUUCACAAGAAGACCAGACACAUCAAACGACGCUUCAACCUCAUCCGCGACUACGUCGAGGGAGAGGACGUAAGUAUAUGCAAAGUGCACACGGAUCUGAAUGUAGCAGACCCGCUGACUAAACCUCUUCCACGGCCAAAGCAUGAUCAACACCAGAACUGUAUGGGUGUUAGAUUUAUUACAAUGUAAUUCGCAGGAUGAUGUGAGGGCUAGAUUAUUGACUCUAGUGCAAGUGGGAGACUGUUGGAAUUAUGCCCUAGAGGCAAUAAUAAAUAUAGUUAUGAUUAUAAUUCCUGUAUCAAGAUAAUCGUUUAUUAUUCAUGCUAUAAUUGUAUNNNNNNNNNNNNNNNNNNNNNNNNNNNNNNNNNNNNNNNNNNNNNNNNNNNNNNNNNNNNNNNNNNNNNNNNNNNNNNNNNNNNNNNNNNNNNNNNNNNNGAGGGGAGAGGGGGUGCCACCCCUAGGGUUCCCACCCUAGGGGGUGCGGCAGCCCCCCCAGAUGGGAGGUGCGGCGGCCAGAGGGGGAGGAGGGGGGUGGCGCACCAACUGGUGGGCCUUAGGCCCACCUGGCUUAGGGUUUGCCCCCCCCUUUCUCUCCCCUGCGCAUUGGGCUGAGUGGGGAGGCGCACCAGCCCACCUAGGGGCUGGUUCCCACCCCACUUGGCCCACCUUACCUCCCGGGGUCGUUGCCCCCCUUCGGUGGUCCCGGUGGUCCCGGUACUUUACCGGUGACGCCCGAAACACUUCUGGUGUCCGAAACCAUCCGUCCUAUAUAUCAAUCUUUACCUCCGGACCAUUCCGGAGCUCCUCGUGACGUCCGGGAUCUCAUCCGGGACUCCGAACAACUUUUGGUAACCUCGUAUAAUAAUUCCCUAUAAGCCUAGCGUCAUCGAACCUUAAGUGUGUAGACCCUACGGGUUCAGGAGGCAGGCAGACAUGANNNNNNNNNNNNNNNNNNNNNNNNNNNNNNNNNNNNNNNNNNNNNNNNNNNNNNNNNNNNNNNNNNNNNNNNNNNNNNNNNNNNNNNNNNNNNNNNNNNNAGGAGCUGGCGGACGGCGGCAGCGACGAUGCCAGCGUUGCCGGGGAUGAUGGCCGUGUUGAAAUACUGGAAGAAGGUUCCGUUACCGGUGGUGCCGGACGCCGGGCUGAGGAAGCCGCGGUCGCCGG
rnacentral:lncRNA from 1 species